UUAAUAUCUUUAUUUUUAGUCCCUAUACUUUUCCAAAUAUUCCACAUUCGAUCUAUAUUCGAAUGGUGCGAAAAAAAUAUUGGAUCCCUUCCAGCGGAGUAAAAAUUCCCCAUGUCUUCAAAUUAGGUUGCGUGUUAUCUCCGGUCCAUAAAUGAACCGGACCAUGUGGGGUCGUUUCGAUUGAACCGCCCCCUGGAUCUGGUUCAGUGCCAGCCCUGUAGGGCGAACCAAAGAACAACAGCGGUUUCUUGGAGUUGGAAACCAUCUGCCUAUACAUAAUUUUGAGGUUGGCUUCGAUUUGAGCAUCGUUGGACAUUGUUUCAUCCGUGCCGUUGAAGUCAAGAUCGAUGAGAGUCGGCGGCUGAUGGCUGGCAGCGCGAAGCUCGUCGUAAAGCGGAGAGUCCGGGUUAGCGAACAAGGCAGGGAGUUGCAUGCCAGCUGGCGCGUCCCAGUUCCAAAACGGCAACGCGAACGUCGGAUCGUCUAUGAGUUUGGCCAAGAUUCUUUCGUGGAAGUAUAGGUAGUAACGAUGGAAGGGGAAGAAAAGCCAGCAUUGAUGGAUUUGGAGCUCGAGGUUGGGGAAGCCGACUUGGUCGUACGCGCCGUCGCAAUAGGCACAGUGGAGAUCGGCUUGCUGGGUGAAGCUACGCGGAUCGUCGUCCGGGAGGGCUUUCAUGAGCUCGAUGGCUUUUGAAUAUUUUUCGAUGUAGGCUUUAUCCACGGUGUGAGCUGCCGGCCUGACGCGGAGUUUGGUAGGGGAGGGGAAUUUGAAGUCUACGAUUUUUUGGGACGUUGGCGGGCAACAGUUGGUCGGGACUGCUCCACUUGGAAAGUCCGCAGCUCCGCAUUUGGCUAGGUCAGGCGGCGACACUGGCUUUGCAACAGCGAAGGGGUCGCUGCCAAGACCAGCCACUCCACCGUAUAGGCUUCCGAGACCUAUAAGUACAUUUCUUCUGUCUAGGUUUACUGGAGAAGGGUUUUCAUGGUCGUGAUCGUUGGAGCUAGUGGAAGGGUUUUUGUUUUGGUCACUACUAUUAUUUGUGGCUUUGCAUGAGACAGCUUGUAAAUUGGAAUGCCUAGGGUUUCCAAAUGAGGAUAUUCGGUGAUACUUUUGGGAGAAAGGGGAGAGGAAAGUUGUGGGGAUGAUACUUGUGGCGGAGGUGACGAGUGGAGCUGACAUAGAAGCCAUGGUUACUUUUGACUCUGAAUAAUACGUUGUAUUGGCUUUGCUUUUAUAAUGUGUUCUAGGUUGUACUUUUCUUUGCACAGGUGGCAGGCCGUACACACGUGGUCGGUCCUUAAGGGUUUGACGAGGAAUACUACGUAGUCAUUUAGUACAGGACAACCAUACACUAUAGCAAGUGGCAUGUAUUUAGAGAUCGAGAGAGAAUUGGGUAAGGUUCACGAGGGAUUUGUAGUUUCAGAAGGUGAAUUGGUUUUGGUCUUCUUGUGUACCAAUAAUAUUUACUUAGUCAUUUAGUGCAGGACAACCAUGCACUAUAGCAAGUGGCAUGUAUUUAGAGAUCGAGAGAGAAUUGGGUAAGGUUCACGAGGGAUUGUAGUUUCAGAAGGUGAAUUGGUUUUGGUCUUCUUGUGUACCAAUAAUAUUUACUUAGUCAUUUAGUGCAGGACAACCAUGCACUAUAGCAAGUGGCAUGUAUUUAGAGAUCGAGAGAGAAUUGGGUAAGGUUCACGAGGGAUUGUAGUUUCAGAAGGUGAAUUGGUUUUGGUCUUCUUGUGUACGGCUGUGGGUCUGCUGUCCCGGACUCUCUGUCUCAUUUGUGUCUUAUUUUUUAUUUUUUCACACGUGUCUUUUACUUAACGUCAAAUCAUGAUAGCAAUGUUAUGCAAUUGGGAGCUAAACGACCGAUGCUUUUAUUUUUUAGUUUGCUUUUUUUCCAGAUCUGAUCAAAUCAUGAUAGCAAUGUUAUGCAAUUUUCAAGAGGGAAAGAUGCACCUGGGAGAGAAACGGUACGGUGACUUCUAAAUCACCGUCCAACAGAACAAUUCUCAGUAGAGACUACUAGAGAGAGAUGCACCUCACCAAUGAAAAAUUUAACUGCAAAAAUUCUGGGUAUUGGGUAAGGAAAUUCGGUGAUACUUUUGGGAGAAAGGGAAGAGAGAAGUUGUGGGGAUGAUACUUCUCGUGGAGGUGACGAGUGGAGCUGACAUAGAAGCCAUGGUUACUUGACUCUGAAUACUACGUUGUAUUGGGUUUGCAUAUAUAUAUAAUUAGGAUUGAAGGAUGUAGAGCUUAUUUUGUUAUGUAUUUUAACGAUUUAAGUGCUUAUCUUUUAGGUUUUCUCUUAAACAUCAUGUCUAUAAAAAAUCACCAAAAUUCAAACCAUAUGACCAUUAGAUCCAUAGUCAUUUUAGUGUUUAUUUGUAAAAUGUAUUCAUUCAUUUUCUUCACUACAAAUGAGUGAAUUAAUGAUUUUAGAAUUUGUCUAAUUUUUUACAUUGAUUAUUUAUGAAUGUUGAAUUGAAAUUUAGACGAUUCAAAAAUAGUUGAUAUGCAUUACAAAAUGAACUCCACAAAAUAAGUGUCAAAAUAUGUAUAAAAAAUGGACAGCGUGAAUGGCUUGGAAAUUGGAAUAGGUUUGAAAAUUGUGCUUUUUGUAGCAAAUUUUAGCAAAGUUUGCUUGGACUUUCACAACCGUAUAAAUUAAAGGGAAACUUGAUAUAACUCCAAUUUUUUGAGCCAAUAGUAGGAAUAGUCCAGUUUAUUAAAAUAAGUUCAAUUCUUUAAAUUUAAUUAUUUAGUUAUCAAUAAUUAUCUCUUAAAAGAAAAAACUUAUUGUAAAAAUCAAAUUUCUUCCUAAUUAUCUCUUUGAUUAUUUCUUUUUAUUUAUUUAUUUGUUAUUUCUUGUUCUUCCUCCUGCUUUAACCCAUUUAUAGAUUUUUUUUUUAAUUUUAUAAUCAACCUAUGUCACAGGUUAAUUGUAUUUAUCUACCUAUAUGACAUAUUCUUUUUCAUAGUCAACAUUUCACAGAUUAAUGUGUCUUGCUUGUAGAUAUAUUAUGUUUUUUUCUACCUUUUAGUUAGGUUUCAUAUCUCACUUAUAGGUAUAAUAUACAUUCAUAUAUUUGCUACUUGAGUUAGGGUAGAAUGUUUUGCAGAUAGAUUUAUGUUAGUAUAUUAAUUUUUUUUUGUUUAUAAGAUAUUAAUUAGAUAUUUUGGAGUUGAAAAAUGCAUAAUAUUAAAAGCUUUUAAUUGAUUUUUAAUAUUUUUAGAAAAUAUAAAAGGAGUAUAAAAGAAAUCAAAACAUAUAAUUAGAUAACGGGAGUCACUCCUAAAAACACUCUAUGUUUUUUGACCUGGAUCUUAAAGCCCCUAAAUUAAACUGUUCGCUUUGUUGGGAAAAAGAAGUGGCCCUAGUUUCCCUUUGAUUUUUCAAGCACGGUGGGAGACUGGUCAUAGUUUCUAGAUUGAUGCUCUAAUUCUAAUGUUAUACAACGCGUACGCUAUAAUAUUUUUAUCAAAAUAUUAGUUUUAGUGUUAUCAAAACAAUAUGUUAUUCUUACCAUGUUUUUGUAUCACAAUUAUAUACCACCUUAGAUGGUAUCUGAUGUGGACAGCCACAUCAUUUAAAUUAAUAAGCAUUUAAUUUCAAAAUGUUAAUCAAUAAUUAAUAAAAAGAUUGUUAAUUAAAUGAUGAUUGUGGUAUACAAGGAGUCUCCUUCUUCCUUCCUCUUUCCAUUCUGCUUUUUCUUCUUACCUCUUUUUUUUUUUUAAUGCCAGUUUUGUAUUGAUUUCUGUUGAUUUCCAUGAUUAUGGUCAAUCUUUAUAGAAUUUACUAGUAUGCCACAAUCACCAUUGAUUUCUAUCUCCAGACUCAUGCCCCGUAGCCCUAAUCCUCAUUCCCCUUCAAGUAUUUCUGUCUCCAAUCUUCUUUGGUACUCCAUGAUUGUUCAUCUCGUGAUAUUUUUUUUUUUGAUUAUUUCAUUAAGUAACGCUUAUUAGCUUUCAUGCGAAUUAGGAGUCAAAAUCAAAUUUGUCUAUCGGAUUAGGGUUCAUACCCAAUUAAGUUACUAACGCCAGAGGGAUUUUGAAGUAUGCAAUUUUCCUUAUUUAAGUGUUUUAAUUAAUAAGAAAAUUGAAAUUAAACAAUUUAGCUUGUCCAACUCAUCUGCCACCUAAGAUGGUAAAUAAAUGUGGUAUAAAAUUGUGGUAAGAAUAUCAUUACUCUUAUCGAAAUUACAAAAAAAAAAAAAAAAGCUGAUUCAAUAUUUAGUUAUUAAAAAAAAAAUGAUCAAGUAACUAUCCAAUACCCAUGUAUUGGGUGCUUUGUUUGAAAAUUUUCAAAAUGAUAUUGGGCUCGUUUGGAUAUGUUUUUAAAAUGACUGAAAGCAUUUUUAGAGAAAAUAUUUUUUUGAUUCCAAAAGCACUUAAAGUGCUUUCUGCAAGAAGCACCCGUUAUGUGCUUCUUCCUGGAAGCACUUUAAGUGUUUUUCCAGCAUUUACUUGCUUUUUUACUAAGGACUGGUUCCAAAAACAUUUUCACAAAAAGUGUUUUCAGUCAUUUUAAAAGCACAUUCAAACGAGCUCAUUGUUUUUCCUAUUUUAAUCGAGUGCGUCGUCCUCUGUUGAGAAUGAAUCUCAUAUUAUGGGAGGAGGGAUCUUGCAUGAAUGGGAGGAGGGACCUUGCAUGAGCUUAUAAGUAAGUUGGGUUACUCUCCAUAUUGCCAAAAGAAAUUUUAUUUGGACCCAGUUUUCCUCUCUCUAAACCCAACUUUAAUAUUUUGUUACCUAUAAACUCUCUAGUUUACCCUCAUAAAUUAUAAACAUAAAUAAACUAGAAAAAGAAAAACUCAUCAAACCCAUUUCCCAACUGUUCUGGCGUCUCUUCCCUGUAUUUGUUGGGUCUGUCUCCCUCCCGACUGUUUUUUUUUUUCUGAUAUCUCUGUGUGUUCCCCCACCUCUCCCACACCCACCAAUUCUUUGUGGUGGCUAUUCCACCAAACGUCCAGUGAAUCUUUCCAUUUUUCUUCUAUUGCGCGUGAUAGGGCCUUGCUAUUAAUAGGCAAAACUAAGCGGCAUCGUCGACUCCGUAAGCGACUUGUUGCAUAAGUCCAAAAUGGAGUCAAAUGGAUUUUGUAUUGGGUCGGGUUGUUGAAGGCGAUGGCUGAUUUAGCAAUCCCGCCUAACUAUUUCUAUAUGUAGGAGAAGGAAGAGGGAGGGAGGUCUGAAGUGGUGGUUGAGUGGUGGCGAUGUAUGUGGGUUCUCUCUCGGUUGAAUGGGUGUAGAAAGAUAUUUAAUUUUCAAUAUCUUAUUUUAUUUUGUAUAAGGGAUAAUAUAGGAAUUACAUAAAAAGUUUUUUUUAUAGCUAGGUGUAGAAAUAGUAUUGUUGGGUCUAAAUAAAAUUACCCUAUUGCCAAUUAGUUUUAUGGUGAAAUCUUAACUUUGUUCAUGCUUUCAUAGUAGGUUGUUCCACGUGUGAAGUCAAACAUCCACACGCGCUGCACGUCACCCCGUUGUGUUGUUCACGUGUUAAGCUUGAAAAUUCAUCACACAUGAGGGAGCGUGUUGAGAAUAAAUUCCACAGUUUAUAAGUAAGUUGUACUACUCCGUAUAUUACCAAUUAAUUUUGUGGAAUUCCGUCAAAGCUGAAUUUGACGGAAAAAAAUAACUUCAUGUUUGUUCUUAACUAUAAAGUCAGUGAUACACUAAUUCUGGUUUGUUUGUUUUUUCCUUCCUUCUUAAGGAAAUUCCCAAUCCAACCAAAAAAAUGAAAUUCCCAAGAGAAUAGUAGCACGAACAAUCGUAGCUUUCUUCUUCGAUAAGCCUUGGGGAAACAGAAAAGGGAAAACCGGACUUUAACCCUAAUUUCUCCCAAUGCCGCAGCACUCUCUAUUUUCUCUCUCGCUCUAUAUCGCGGUCCCUCUCUCUCGCCGUCCUCUAUUGCUCAAACUCAAUGUCUCCAACUUCCUCUGUAUGGUUCCCGAGGAAGAUGGUAAAACAGUAAGGGCAAGAAAUUGUGACAAGGUUAGAUUUGGGUAUUAAUCUGGUGGGGCUACAAUUCUCCAAUCCACACCCCUUUCAUCUGUGCUAGUGUUUGAACCCAAUAUUAGAUAACCGGUCCAUGCAAUCGAUGCCGUUGAAUGAGAAAAAUUCUAGGCCGUGGGAUCAAAUAUAAUGAUGUGGAUUAAAUAAGGAAAAUUUAAAGAGUAAUGAUAUUCAUACCAUGUUUUUGUACCACAUUUUCAUACCACCUUAGGUGGCAUUUGAUGUGGAUAGCCACAUCAUUUGAAUUAAUCAGAUUUUAAAAUUUAGUUGAUUAUUUAAUAAACUAAUAAUUAAGAAAAACUAAUUAAUUAAAUGAUGAUUGUGAUAUACGAGGAGUCUUUCUCGUUCAUUUCUUUGGGUUUUGCAAAUUUUUCAAAUGAUGUGGCUGUCUACAUCGGAUGCCACCUAAGGUGGUAUAGAAAUAUGGUAUAAAAAUAUGGUAUGAAUAUCAUUACUCAAAUUUAAAUGUUUAUCUUGGUUAAAUUACCAUGAUAAUAUUGUGGAAUUAUCUUUUGCAUAACGGAAGAGCGAGAAAAGUCCAAGGGUGUAGGGAAGUUGUGUGGUUGACUACCGCUAUUUUGAUGGUAUAAUCUGUAGAGUAAUAUUACAUUUAACAUCUAUUUGUAUCAUAUUUCUAAUAAAGAUAAGGACCAUCAAUGCAUAAAUAAUUAAACAAAUAUAUAAUAAGAGUAUCAUUUUUGUAACUAGAAUAGGAGAAGAAAGACUUCAAGAUGGGAUCAGCCAAAUAAUUAGCGUUAAGAUAAAAAUAUUGAAAGGAAAACUAAUGAAAAUGGCUUGAAAACUUUGAGUUUUAACGAUAAGGACAAGAUAAAGGGUAAAGUGAAUAGUACCAGGAUUGACUUUUUAAUGUAAAAAUAUAGUUUUUCGUUAAAGUGAACAUUACCGGGAACUUUUCGUUAAAGUUUCCAAUGAGAUAAUAUUGCAACAGCUGGCAUGAGACAAUGAUGGUAUAAAGAUGGCUACUACGGCCAAACUACUACAUAGGAUUCCAUACAUGCGGUCAUUAUUUCGACAAAUCAAUGGCUGCCGCAAUCAUGUGCUCAUUAUUCCGACAAAUCAGUAGCUACUUGCAUUGGAUUAGGAUUGCAUGCGUGUGGUCAUUGAAUGAGGAUUGCGUGCACGUGAUCUUUAUUCAAACAAAUCACUAUUGACCAUAUAUUGCAAUUGGUUAAUGGUAGGCAAAUUGAAUUUUUACAUCAAAUAAUGUGAUUGCUGAUAAUUGAAUUAUUAUUUAAAUGUUGAUUAAUAUGCUUAUUUUUUAUUUGUGAUAUAUCAUUUAAUUUGUACAUUUAGUUUACCUAACAUUACCAACUGUAAUUUGUAUAAAUGGACUGGUACCUAACAUAACCAGUUGUAAUUUGUAUAAAUGGGACUGUAAUUUGUAUAAAUGGACUGGUGCCUAACAUUACCAGUUGUAAUUUGUAUAAAUUUACUGGUCCCAAGAGCACAUGCUACUGCUCAAGAAGCAAAGUUCUUAUUUGCCCAAAAAAAAUCAUGGUUUUUUAAUUGAUGCUCUCAUUUUAAUUUACUAGCCCCUUACUUGGCCUUUUUUAUUUAUCAUUUUAUACAUAUUAAUAUUUUUUUGUAAAAUAUAUUAGUUUGAGUUUUAUUAAAAUUAAAAAUAAAUAAAAAAACUUAGUUUUAGUUUUAUCAAAUUAAAAAAAAAUGACUUAAUAUUUAGUUAUUGAAAUUGUAAAAAAGUGAUCAAGUAUUGGGUGCUUUGUUUGAAAUUUUUCAAAAUGAUAUUGUUUUUACCAUUGAAACCCUGUUAUAUACAGUGAUGGCUAAUUUGUCAAGUUCUACGAAGUUGGGAUACCCAGCGUUUUAGCAUAUAACAUAGCUUAGUAUUACAAGCAUAAUUAAUUAAAAUAAAGGCAAAAUAAGAGGAUAGCUUAGUAUUACAAGCAUAAUUAAUUAAAAUAAAGGCAAAUUGUAACAGCCCGUCCCUAAAAAUGACGAUUUUAUAAUCUUAACACGUGAGUUUAUGAAGAUGCCCUUCGAGGCAAAGUGUUGACUACCGCGUCGUGUCAUGUGAGACUCAUCUUCUUGGCGUAUUCUCGUUUUACUCGUCGCUACGGAUGCGUGGGCGCAAACGACACGUGAUUUGGAGCUAUAACAAAAGAGUUAUUAACAUUUAAAGUUAAGGACAUUUUAGUAAAUUAAUUAAUUUCAGAUUUUGUUGAGGGGAAAAUCUGGAGUGCCAUGUGGGUGGCCCAGAUUAAAGGAAAUGAGGAAUGGAUGGUGGAGGUGUAAAGGAAAGAAGAUAAAAGAAAAAUGAGAGGAAAUGUGUGACUAAUAGGGAGAUGAGAGAGUUAGGAUGGCCCAAUUAGAAACAAACGAAAGGAGGAAAAAGGAGAGAAGAGGGGAGCAGGGGAUCCCUUCAACCCGGUUCCACUUUCCGACCCGACCCGAUCCUUUUCAUCUUUUCCGGUGGUUUUUCGUCAGUUUUUCCGGCGAACCACGUUAUCUAACCCCGUUGAAAAUGUUCCACGACCUUCCCUCUACCAUUACAACCCAAAAUUGUAGAAAUUUAGCCAUGAAAGUAUGAAAACCGCACCGGUGGGUGCGGGAAACCUUUGUCGUCGAUUCUCCCAUUAUUGAAACGAUUUUCACCAAUUAUCACCACCUACAGCAUCCUCUUGAGGUCUGGAAUAAAGCCCAAACAAGUUUUGGGGCGUUGGAGUUCGUUUAAGGUCGAAUUGAGCACACCCAAAUUCAAGGGUUCCGUACCGUUCAUGGUGAUUUGAGGUGUUUCUCGGCCAAAUUGGCCUUAGUCACAAGUAUGAAAGUUGCUCCACUCGUUGAGAUCUUCAUUUAUGUGAAAUUUGAGAAUUUUUUGAAAUAUUUGGAUUUUCCAGCGAGUCGGGGUGGCGGACCGCCACCGGCAGCAGCGCAUGGCCAGUGGUCCACCAAUGUCAUUUUACGUUAAAUUGAUAUCUUGAUUUUAGAUUUGAUGUCUAUAUGUUAUGACUUGAUUAUGUGAACCUAGUUUGAUUAAGGUGCGUUAAUUGGUAAAAAUAUGAAACGACGAUCCGACCGUGGGAUCGUCACCAAACUUUAAUAUGUUAUAGUACAUAAUAUUUGAGAAUCAUAGGGACUGACAGAUAGGAAAUCCGAGAUACAGAUCUUCCCGAAAUGGAAUUGUAAGUUUGAAGAAUAAACGUUAACCGCCACUUUGUUUUGACUAUUGGUGGAGAUCCAACCGUUGGAUCAUAAUGAAAUUUUAGGAUGAUGUUUUAGAAGCAUAAUGUGGAUCUUUGGAAGUUACUGAUCGGAAAUCCGAGGAGUGAAUCUUCCGAAUUGAAUUACGUAGGGUUGUGGACCUUACCGUCGAUCGUUGACCGAUGAUCGACUUUUGGUCAAUGGGGCUUAAAUCAAUCUAAAACGUUUUUAGGGAUGUGUUUUACGUAAAUUACAUGAUCUAUUGAUAAGAAUUAUGAGAUGUGGUUUGAUAAUUGUCCUAGGUGCCGAUCGUUAGGAACGCUUCGAUGGUUAUGCUAGGAAAUUGUAGCACAGACUCCUUGUGAGUGAAUCUUUUCCUUCUUAUCAUAUAUAUAUAUAUAUAUAUAUAUAUAUAUAUAUGAUUGACAAUUCCACAAACGUUUAUAAAUUGAUUAUUGCAUAUAACUACUGUGAAUACUUUGAAGUACUUAUGCGAACUACGAAUGGCUUGAUCCGUGUUUAGGGUACGUAGGCAGUCUAACAAGACGUUAGAUGUAGUCAUACAAUAAUUGAGAUUAAACAAUUGAGAUAAAGCCUUGUUUGGGGAACUGGGCAAGGUGAAGGAAUUUGGUAAAAAGGUGAGAUUUAACCUUAUGAAUUGGUGAUUAAAUGUUGGUCAUAAAUCAAUGUGUAAAGAAUCAAGAAUUUGAAGUAAGGAAACGUAAGUAAUGAUAAUUAAUUAAACUAGUGUCUAGUUGGGCUUGUCACCUAUAAUUAUCCCCGAAAAUGAAUAAUUCGGGAGUAGGGCGUUACAGCUUCUGCAUUUUUAUGCCACAUUAUAUAUAUAUAUAUAAUUGGAAAUGCUAUAACAUGGUUGAGUAUCAGAUUUCAUCAUGGUUUAUCUAUAUGUAUAUUACCUGCACACAAUUAUUAUGAACGCGUUGAAGUGCAAAGGUGAAUGCACGACACCCAGGUAAGUUCAGGUGAGUUUAUGGUAUUAGUUGAAAUGAUGGGGUUAUGGUAUGACUACAUGUAUGUUUAGGUUGCAAUGAUAGGCAACUCCAACACUGUCGUACAGGUUGCCCAUGAAUUGUACAUGUUACAAUAGAUACAGUUAGAGCUCAUAAACCUACACCCCGGUGUUAGUACUCCCGCUCGUGGCCAGGGCACAGUCCUUCACGUGAUGUUCACCUCCCGCACCUUACGCUCACCUUGGAUCCAAGGUAGGUGCACAAUCAUGUCGUACCACUAUAGGUGGUUCCGACUCGUAGAUGACCCGCGAUUAUUUGCACAGUCUUCACGUGAUUGUAGCACUUGAGCGUAUUUAUUUACACCCAGUUCUAUUGUACAGACCACUUUAGGUGGUUCCGACUCGUAUGCAGGUAUACUUAUUAAGCUAUGGAUAAGUCGUACAGGUCACUAGAAGUGACUCCGACUUAUGAGCUAGCAUAUGUGAUGAGCUAGCAUAUGUGAUGAGAUAAGUGAUGAGUUAGUAUAUGUAAUGAGAUAUGUGAUGAGCUAGCAUAUGUGAUGAGAUAUGUGAUGAGCUAGCAUAUGUGAUGAGAUAUGUGAUGAGCUAGCAUAUGUGAUGAGUUAGCAUAUGUGAUGAGCUAGCAUAUGUGAUGAGAUAUGGGUAAGUCGUACAUGUCACUAUAGGUGACUUCGACUUGCGUGCUAGUAUGGGUUAUUAAUCACAUGAUUAUUGAUAUUACUGAUGAGAUGCUGUGUUGUGGUAUAUUUAUGAUCUUUCUGGAAACUAUGCAAGUGUUGUAACGAGGGGUUAUAAUGAGGUGUUGUAACGAGGGGUUAUAAUGUUUUAUAUGGUUUCUGUUAAAAUUUUAUUUCUAGGGUCACUCACCCUUAUUUUGUUUUCACCCUCUAGGUUUUAUUAGCUGAGCUUUCUUAUCGUCGAAGAUUCGUGGCGAUUCUUAGUAUUGGAGAUUAUUUCGAGAGUACGAUUCUUAAUUCACUUUACUGUACUUGCUUAAGCUGUAACGUCACGUGUGAAGUGGGUUCAUUUCCGCUUACCAGCGCAUUCUGGUAUUUAGGCACUCUUAGGUUUAAAUUUAUUCACAUUUUUCCACAUCAUCAAACUUUAUGGCUUUGUCACUCUUUAGGUGUCGGCCAGCACAGCUCGAUUUGGAGUCCUAGUGGACAUUCCGGGUCGGGGUGUGUCACAAAUGAAGAGGAUGGUUGAACUUGUUAAGUUUCUUAAGUGUGUCUACUUGAAGUGUGUUGCUAAUAAAUAUUUUGUUGUAGGCAUAAUUUACUGAACAAUUAUGGAGGCAGAGAGAGAGAGAGGGAAUAUGCGGCAUAGAGAGAGAAGAGAGAGAUGUGUAAUUGUGAGGUGUGUUCUAUUCCACCCCAUUGUACCUUUAUUAUAUUAGUAGGGAAAGUUAAUUCCUUACCCUUUUAGGAUUACAACUCUAAUAGGAAAAUAUCUAGUCUAAGAGAUAUGAUAGAAUCUCAUAAGGAUAUCCUAGAUAUGUUAGGAUUUACACAAUCAUAUUCCUAUUCCAAUAAGACUGCAACACAUUUGUAUUUUUUUAGAAUUUUUUUGAUAAUUUGUUGGUAUUCUCAAUUUUUGUUAACAUUGAAAAUAUAACGGUUCAGAUGAAAAACCUUUGGAAAUCCAACAGCUUGCAAGACGUUGGGCUGUGCUGAAGGAAGCUGGGCUGUCACGUGGAUGGGGCCCUCCCUCUCCCUCUUGUUGAUUCAAAGGGCGCAGGCCCGUGCAACAAUUGGCGAGGCAGCCCAUAGAGAUCCUGCGAUUCACCCAUUCGCCAUUUUUUCCACCGCUGGAGCACCAAAAUUCGGUCAAAAGGCAGGGGUAUCAAUGGCAAGGGCAAUUUGGCUUCCGCUGGAGGUGCUCUUUGUCGACUUUGUUUUUUCUCUCAUUUUAGCUUUUGCAGUAAUAUUGAAGUAAUCACUCCAAUUUUAUCCAAACUUUUGUUGUCCGUCAAUUUUUAUCAAAACUAUUGGUUAAUUUACAUAUUCAGACUAACCUUCUCAUUAUUUUUAGUAUUUUUAUCAUAAAUAAUAUCUGAAAUAGUCACAUUUUAUUCAACAACCACUCAAUUAAAAAUUAAUUAGUGUUGUUUCUAAACCAUUACAUCAAGCUUUUGUAGAUACACAUCAAUAUUGCAGCGAUCCGAGGCAUUGUUUUAGUGACGGUAGUACUUUCUACUCCUUGGAUUUGGUGAAUCGGAAAAGAGAAGAGUUACGAGUAAAAGUCCCUCGCAUUGUUUUGGGGAGAUGAAGAUGAUGAUCUUUUGUUUUUGUUUUUUAAUGAUUAAUCCACGCAGCAACAUAUAAUUAAAUUGUUGGGAUCUACUCAAGUUCCAUAUCACACACUAACAUAAAAUUUGACAAACGAAACGAAAUAUGUGUGUAGACAUCGAAAUUUCGUAAAUAAAUGUUGACCGAUAAAUCAAAGUGUCAACGCUCAUGUAUUACAUAAAUUUUACACGUAGCGUGUGACUCAACGAAAAUUGAAAUGAGUUGGAAAAGUCAUCAAAUAGGACACGUGUCAACACCUGGCAGAAACGACUUAUUUCAUCUGGGAUAUUAUAUUCAAAAUUAGCCAUUGGAAAAUUCUAUAAAUACAAGCCCAUUUCAUUCAUUUAAGGAGAGGAAUUCAUAUUACACCUUGAAGCUCUGAAGCUCUGAAACUCCGAAGCUCUCAAGCAUCCAGGUUCCCGAAGAAUCAAGAAAGUGUUCUUCGUUCUUCGUUCAUCGUUCUUCCAAGAUCAAGCCUCGACGGCCCUUGGAUCAACAAUCAUCCACCUUCAAGAUCAAGCCCCGACGGCCCUUGAAGAAAGCGUUCUUCGUUCUUCGUUCAUCGUUCUUCCAAGAUCAAGCCCCGACGGCCCUCGGAUCAACAAUCAUCCACCUUCAAGAUCAAGCCCCAAAGGCCCUUGAAGAACUUCCACCAAUUCAAGAUCAAGCCCCGACGGCCCUUGAAGAAAGCACCAUCGUUCAUCAUCCGUUCAUCCAAGAUCAAGCCCCAACGGCCCUUUAGAUCAACAACGUCGACAAAUCCACACAUCCAACCGUUCUUCAAGAUCAAGCCCAAAAGCCCUUGAAGAUCCGUUCAUCACUGUUCUUCAAGAUCAAGCCCAAAAGCCCUUGGAGAUCCGUUCAUCACUAUUCUUCAAAGAUCAAGCCCAAAAGCCCCUUUGAAGAUCCGCUCAAAUCCACCUUCAAGAUCAAGUCCACGGCCCUUGAAGAACGUUCAUCCUUAGAUCAAGCCCAACGCCCCUUUGGAUCAAUCGCACAUCCACAAAUCAACACCUUACGGAGAUCGAAUCAGAGGAUCAAAAUAGAGAGAGAUUGUAACCCAAAAUCAUCAAAUACAAAUAUUUGUUUGUGCGCGUUGUUCUUGUCUCUUUCGUUUCAGGAAUUUUCCGUGUUCACAAUGUGCUCUUGAAAUCAAAAUGAGGGCACUGCUCCAAGAACAAGAAGGGCACCUUGUCGAGGUCGCCAUCCGCCGUGAGGGAAAACCGGAAGAAGUUGGACAACAAUGAUAACAUCAAUUUGCGGCACCCAUAUCGGGACAUCACACUGUGAAAUAAAUAUUGAAAUAAAUACUCAAAACUCCUGGAAAGUCCUCGAGACAACAAACUUUCAUCUCCUUCAAACAUUUCAUUUUACUAAGUUUUAUCUUUGAAGGGAGGGAAAAAAAGAGAAGAGAGAAUCCUACUCCUUAUUCCUGAAUAUAUUCAAGAAUAGCUAUUGAAUAAAGAGAGAAUGGAGGGUGAUCGAAAGAGGAGGGAAGAGAAUUCUAGUUCCAAACAUAAAAAGGACCACAACUUUUAAAUUAUCAGCACAAUCAUCACCUAAUUGAAGAGACCAUUCACUGUGAAACAUAUUGUCAAUCAGUCUAUCUAUAUCUAUUUAUAUACCAUAUUUUUAGAGUAAGAUUCUCUCACCUCCUAUUACCAUCCCCUUCCAUCCUUUCAUCUCAUACUCUUUUUUUGUUGUCUUAUUCUCUAUAUAAAAAAAUUCAAAACAAGAUGUAUACGUGACGUAAUCGUAACCGUUUAAAUAAGAGGGGAUAGAAGAGAAGAGAGAUUAGGAGAAGGGAGAAUCCUACUCCCACAUUUUUCUUCUUCAUAAACAAAAGAGAGGUUCUAGAUUACUUGACUCUAUGCCUCAUUUUUUUCAUCAAGUAUUUGUGAUAAGUGGGUUCAUUUUCAAGUAUUUUAGUUUUUUUGUCAAAAUUGAGAAAACUGAAAAUCAAACAUUAAUAUGAAAAAUUAAAAAAUCAACAUAUAAUUAUUUAGAAAUCGCAAUAGAAAAGAAAAAAAAUGGAGGUUUGUGAUGAAAAAUCUUUUAUACUAAGUAAUUUAGUAUCCUUAUGCAUGAAGAUAAAUCAAUUUGUUCGUUACGGUCAUACUCUUUUUUGAAUUUUUGAACACAUUCUCCAUAGGGCCUUCUUAUAUGUUCCUUCUCCAAGCUCGGGUUAUGGAAGAAGUAAAAGAAGGAAUCGAAAAGAAAGUAUUGGUAACAACCGAUUUCAUUACGAGACAACUCUUGAUAUUCAUAUCAAUCUAUUAUGUACCUUUGCAUCUAGCAUUAGACAAUAAUUGUCAUAGCUUUACCAUAUUUUUUUGUUUCAUUUCUUCUGAAACAAUCUCACACACUUUUUUAUUAUGUGUCUACUACUAGGAAUUCAAUACGUAAUCUUAGCAUUCAAUAGUUAUUCCUAAAUAAUUUCAAUUUUCAAAUGAUCAACCAUUUCAUUUUACCAAGUUCAAUCAAUGUUAGUCAGAUUAGUCAACAUUUAUAUAUUUUGAUGCAACAACAAGAUGUUAUUUGUAACAAGUGAUUUUGUUAGUUGGUUAAUUGGUCACAAGUUAAUGUUCGGUUCAGUUUAGUUUUUCUCUCGAUUUUUUGUGAUUCGGUUUUUUCAAUUCUCUUUAGGGUCGGUUCGGUUUUGUUUUUUUAUUUAUACUUGAAUUUUAUUUUAAUUUAUUUUAAUUUAUUUUAUUUUAAAUCUGGAAACACCAAGAACAACACAAGCACAUAGUCAAUCAAACAACUAUCCUUCUCCACAAAUCAUAGUAAUAAUUACAUUCAUUGAGCUGAAAUGCAAAUAACUAACAAACUCACAAAAAUCAAAUAAAAACUACAAAUUGCUUACUCUUUUUCUUUGGGUUUCACUCGAAAAGUGUCGGUAAAAUUUAGGGUUUGCAAGAACGCAACUGAAAUCUAAAACGGAGGCCUUGUGGCCUAUGGGUUGCUAUUGAGUUCCAGUACAGAGAACCUUGCUUAAUCUCGAUCACGGUACAAAGUAUCGAGUACCUUUAGCACUGUAUUUUGGUAUGAUUGGUAGAACCAAAUUAAAAGCUAACAUCAACAACAACUACCAGAGACAAAAGCUCUUAUCAAUGCUUUGGAAACAUUUAUGUAUCUCCAAGUGUAAUGAUAUAAUUGGUUGGAAACUUGUGAUUUCGUAUCAAAUCAAUAAAAAGUUACAAUAUUGACAAUAUAUUAGCAAUUUUUAUGUUAAUUAUGAACAAGUCAAUCAUGUAGAACCAAAUUAAAAGCUAACAUCAACAACAACUACCAUAGACAAAAGCUCUAAUCAAUGCUUAGGAAACACAGUCCUGUAUCUCUAGGUGUAUUGAUAUAAUUGGUUGGAAAUUUAAAAGAAAAAUGGUGAUUUUGUAUAAAAUUGAUAAAAAGUUACAAUAUUGACAAUAUAUUUGACACACCCCGACCAAGAUCAAGGCAUGCUGGCCGUCACAUGAGAGUGACGUAACCAUGUGCACAGUGCGGAAGCAAUAAUGAUAAGAAAUAUAUGAAUAAUUAAAAACCGAAUCUACUAGAGUGCACUACUAAACAGGAAGUAUUAGGAGUAAGAUACAAAAGUAAAUACUCCUAAUCAGAGCAUAGAAAGUCUAGGUGCAAUCCAGUAGGACAAGUACUAAUUAUACAGUAUAAAAUGUCUUACAAUUAUUUAGAUAGGUCAGAACCGCCGAAGUCCUCACACCCAACAACUGCAAACUUACUUAAAACCUGAAGGGGCGCAAAAUAGAAAACGUGAGUGGGAAAAAACAAAUGUUUUACAAAACCAUUUCAUUUAUCAAUAUAUCUAACCCCUCGCUGUAAACAUGUAUAAUUUUUCCCAGAAUCAAGAUAUAAGCAUAUACAUAAAUAUAUAUAUAAAUAUAUCAAUUCAAAUCAUGCUUCACAUAAUCAUAUUCAUAUGUAUGUCAUGCCAAGAUAUAACAGAGUAAGCAACUCAGGUAAGAGUAAUUUCAUAGAAAUAUAACAUGUUAGCCGGAACCCCUGUAGUAGUCUGUACGGCUGAAUUCAUAGCUCAAAAGUCAAUCUAGCCGAAGUCACUACAAUGACCUAUACGGCAAUAUACUGCACAAGAGUCGGAACCAAAUGAAAAGAUCUGUACGACAAUAAUGGGUGUUGUUGAUGCACAAAAUCAGUGAGGACUUUGGUACAACAGAAAGUGUUAAGUUUGUGACAUUCUCUAGAUUACUCCGAUCACUAGUGUGGAUAAGUAUGUAAAUGGAUAAAGACAGGGAAGCAAACACAAGAUGUACGUGGUUCACCCAGAUUGGCUACGUCCAUGGAGUAAAUGAGUUCUUAUUAAUUGUGAAGGGUUUACACAAGUAUAUAGGUUCAAGCUCUCCUUUAGUGAGUACUAGUGAAUGAUUUAGUACAAAUGACAUUAGGAAAUAUUGUGAGAGAAUGAUCUCUAUUUAUAGAAGAGAGUUUCUAGUUUCAUUCUGACAUUGACACGUGUCAUGUUGUGAUUGGCUUCUGAUGUUGACAUGUGUUGCACUAUGAUUGGCUUUAGAUGUCAACAUGUGUCGCGUUGUGAUUGGCCUCCUGGUUUGAGGGAAACUCUUCUGGCUCCUUGACGGUAUAACGUUGAUCGAUGCUCAGUAGUUUCGGGAUUGGUCAAGUAUGGUACAAACAGGUGUAAUAUAAUCAUACUCAAUACUACUCUCACAUAAUAGCUGGGUGAUAAAUCGCUAGUCACCUAUGAGUCAGAACGAUAAUAAAGGUCUGUACGAAGACUGUGCACCUAAAUUGGAUCCAAUAUGACCAUAUGGUGCGGGAUGUGACAUUAUAUACAGGCUUGUGCCAUCACUGGCGGAGCUACACCCACGGCUACAGUAGGCUGUAGCCUAGGGAGGAUUUUAACAAACUGCUGGUAUAAUAGUUUAUAUAUGAGUUUGUUGUUGCUUAUUGUAUGUAUAAUAGCCCACAUAAAUCCUGCCAAAAUUAUUAGUUAAUGUGUUUCUUAAUUUAUAAAUAAUACUUUUAUUACCUUUUAUUAUUUUAUUAUUUUUAGGCUAAAAGUAAAAAUGGUAAAUUAAUACAUAAUUAGGUUUCUCCUAUUCCCCAUGCUUUUUACCUAUUCGUUCAAAACAAAAAAAUUAAACCCUCUACCCUAAGAAAAGAAAAACUAUGAAUCACCAUCAAAUUAUUUUCUAAUGAAAUUCAACACUAGAUAUGCUCUUCAUGUCUUCAUUUAACCUAUUUCUUGAUUCAAUUGUUCAUUCCAUAUAUCUACAGCACGACUUGAAUUGGUAUCCCCUAACCUUUUUUCUUUUGGGUACUUGUUAUCAACAAAAGUGAUAAUAUUUGUUCUCUUUCUAUUGCUUUUUUGUAUGCAUGUUUUAUUUGUGUAAAAAUUAGUUGGAAAGUAAUUAAUAAACUUGUUUGGAUUAUUAGUACUUCAUGUUCCUACUUUUAUGUAGAUUACUAUAUAAUUUUAUGUAGGCAAAAAAAAAAUUCAUAAGAUUAUAUGCUAAUGAUUUUAGUUAGCCCACCCAAGAAAAAUUUUCUGGCUCCGCUAUUAUGUGCCAUAACUCUGGCAAAAUCACAAUCACCCUAAGUGCAGUUUUAUGAGUUCAACGUUAUUCUAUCACAUAUCACAUCAUCGAUAAUUCACAUAACCAAACAUAACUCACAUGAGCUUACCUGAGCGUCCACAGUACCAUAAUUAUAUAUAAUGCAUCAUAUACGAAAUAUAAAUUCAUAUGCAUGGCAUUUAAGGUAUACUUUCAUUUAAACACAUAUUUCUGGGAAAAUAUCAAGUAUAUAAAUAUAUACUGAAAACCAAAAGCCCACUCAUUGGUAUGUCGAAGGGUCGUAGCCCCCGAGUCGCCUUUGAAUACUCUCGUCCUCGUGAUAAGUCUCACCUAUAUGCGAAUUAACUAUAAAAACGUUAUUUUAGAGCACAUACAAAAAAUUAGCUAAUAACUCUCAUACAAUGCUCAAUUUUUGUAUUUGAAUAUAUCACAGUGACCUACACAACCUCAAGAUCAUCCCUAAAUUUUUACAAUAUUUUUCUGACCCCUCACGCGCUGCCACGCACCGGCAAGGGCAACGCCUUACUCGCCCCCACGCGCGGCCACGUGACAAGCAUACUGAUGGCGUCAAUCAACAUCAUCAGGAAUAUUCUAGGGAAUAUUCUGUUAAAACCCAAUGGUAACUGUUAAAGAUGACUGACGGCAUGAGCAUAUUCUGUCAACCUUGACGGAAUAUACUCCUUUCUUCUCCGAUGAGUCGUCGGUCGCCGGCGACUUCGCCGAUUUCUUGGUAAAACUUUAAAUCGCUUAUUCUUCUUCGUUUCUUCGCCAUUUUUCAUGAAAUUGGUACCAAAAUGAAGCUAAUAACAUGUAGAAUCACUUUGUAUAAGUUUCAAGGCUUAAAAUCUACUAGUUUUUCCCUGAGAAAGCUCGAUAGUUCGGCUUACCUAGAUAUGCGUCGAUCUCAGCCCUCCGACGUCCAAUUCCUUCCAACGAAGUACCCCAAGACUCGUGAGGACCUCCUUAAGCUUCCUAUAAGCUUCAAAUUCCCUGAAACACAAGAUUUUACGUAUGCAUGAACAAUGCACAAAGUCGGAGCUAGGGUUUCCACGUGAAAUCGAAGGUUUCCUUACCUGAAAAUGGUUCCUUUGAAUUCGUAUGGUUCUCACGAACACAAUGGUGAUCUUAAAACCUUCGAUCUACAAGGUUUAAGAGGGUUUCUGGGUUGGUCCGUACGAAGAAGGGAGAGAGAGAAUGAGAAUCUGCGAGAGAGAGGGCACGGGAAGGAAAGAGAAAUAAGAUAGGUGUGUGUAUGGUCCAAAAGCCACCAAUCAAAACUAAGAAAAGUCUUAGUUGUAAUUGGGUCACCAAUCUAAAACAAUUUAACCCAAUAAUAACUUACACACAUCAUUUAACAUCCGAGGGUAAUUCCGUCAUUCUACGUCAUCGAGAAUAAUCUUCCGGGACGGGCUGUGACAAUAUCAGCAAUAUUUAUGUUAAUUAUGAAUAGGUCAAUCAUGUAUUUAAUACUUAAAUGUAUUUAAAAUAAACACCUUAUCAAUGUUUUCUGAACUGUGCUCGAUUUUUCUCCUUCGCUUUGGUUCUGUCCCAUUGGAUUUUUCAAGCAAGAUUUUAUCAAGGCAACUAUCAUUAACUGUGAACAUAAUUUAUCAUUGAGACACGAACAUCCAAGGGGGAGUGUCGUGGAAAAAAAUGUAGAUAUCUUUAUACGUUGUAUGGUAGUAAACCAUCAUAAACACCAUAAAUAUGUAGAAACGCCCUUGCGGUACCUUUGAAUGAUAACUCAUGUAUUUGUUGCCCUAUGUAAAGAUGGCUAAUGAUAAUGGAAGACUAAUUUUCUCAUCCCAAUCUCUCCUGUCUCUCUUAUUCUCUUUUCUCUAUAUUUUAUUUCCAACAAGUUGUGUUUUUUUUUUAGUAUUGUUAAGCAACCCAAUAGAUUUUAAUCGUAGUCUUUGUUUUUUUUCUUUUAUAUUUUUAAUCAAUUUCAGUUGCUUAUCAGUUCUAGCUAAUUGAGCUCUUUUACAGCAAUUUUUUUCUUUAAAUAAAAUUAUUAUUAUUAAAAAGAGUGAGAAAAUUCGAAAUUGUUACAAUAAUUUAAAAAAAAUAGGAGUUUCAAAUCAUGAAGGUAGAGGGAGUUAACAACAUUUUAGGGGGGGGUGUAGUCAAACUAGGAUUUUGAAGGAUUUUAAAAGUGAUAGAUUUGAUAGGAUUUAAGAUGAUUAAAGACUCUUACAAAAUUCAUAUGGAUUUUAAAGAAUAUGAAUGGAUUGCGGUGGAUUGUGGGGGAAGGAUUUGAAAUCCUAGGGGGUGAGGUUUGAUUCUUUUUAGUUUUGGUUAUAUAUGGUAUGCUUUCAAAUCCCAGAAAAUCCACAACUUUUUAAAAUCCUUUAAAAUCUUAAUUUUUUUAAUACACUUAGAUUUGGAUGGAUUCUAAAAUCCUUUAAAAUCUUUUAAUUGACUACACCUAGAUUUGAAUGGAUUCUAAAAUCUUUUAAUUGACUACACCUAGAUUUUAAUGGAUUCUAAAAUCCUUUAAAAUCUUUUAAUUGACUACACUAUGAUUUUAAAGUCUUUAAAAUCCUCUCAAAUCCAAGUUUGACUACACCCCCUAAAGAUUUUAAGGAAAACUAAUGAAAAUGGCUUGAAAACUUUGAGUUUUAACUAGGGGUGGGCAAACGGGUACAGGAACCGCGGGUAGGGGUGGGUAAUUCAAGUUCGGGGCAGGUAUGGGACAUGUCCAAUAUUUCUAAACACAAAACGGGGCGAGGCUGUUCGGGUAUAUGAAAUUAUCGGGGCGGGGCGGGUCUUAAAAUAGAAGGGAACGGGCCCCCAGCCUGACCCGUUUCUUUUCCUCAUCCCUAGUCUUCUCUAUCUCUCUUCCCCGACACUUUUCAUUUCACUCAAACCCGGCCCAUUUCUUUUCCUCAUCAGUCAUCCCUAGUCUUUUCAAUCUCUCUUCCCUAACUCCUUUCAUUUCACUCGUACCUCGAGACCUCCUCUUAACUCGCUCCCAGCCUCCCACCGUCCUAGCUCCGUACCUCGCCAUCAUCAUCGUCAGACCUCCAUCUCUCCUGAUUUACUCAUGUCUUCCUCGCUGCGUCCGCCGCCAUGUCUCUCUUUCUGUGACGAACUUAAAGGGACGGACGAAGUUGAACAACUCGAAACGACGCCUCUUCUGUCUGAAUUAGACCCAUAUUUGCAGCGCACGACUCUGCUCAUAGUCCUCUUCGGUUUUAAGGUAUUACGUUUUAGAGAUUUAGGAUUGAAAAUUAAAUUAGGGUUUUCUAGAUUUAGGGAUUUUGUUGGGUUCUUGAACCUUGACCUCUGUUAUGUUCCAAUUUCAAAUAUAUAUUGAAUUGAAUUUGAAUCGACUGUGUUUGAAACUUCUGUUGAAUUAAAUUGAAUUUGAGCAGGAGAAGAGGCAGAUGUGGGUUGGGCAAUGUCGAAUCUCAUUGUGGGUGGUGAGGUGGGCAUGGCGGGCGACAAUAUUGACUGGCAAUGGUACGGGCGGUGCUAUUAAGUUGCAGAAGAAUACGAAGGAGGGGGUGUGGGCAUGGGUGGAUAUCGCAAGCUCAAUUGAAUUUUUUCUGGUUUUGUUUGUGAUUAAUUGCUUGUAUAUGAUAGUUAUUGAUGGAUCUUGACAUGCCCAUUUAAUUGUUAUUGGCAAUGCUAGUUUGAUUGUAACAAAUUCAAACCGAUUGAAUUGUAUCCCAGAAAAAAAAAUCAAUAAAGGAACUGAGGACCCGGCCCGAACCAGCCCAUUUCAACCGGGCCAGGUUAGGUUCGGUUCUUAUAUUAGAAAAUGUUGUUCCCGGCCCGUUUCUCUUAAGCCCGGAUCCAGUCCGAUCACUUCGAAAUUGGCCCCAACCCGGCCCGGGCCCACCUCUAGUUUUAACGAUAAGGACAAAAUAAAGGGUAAAGUGAAUAGUACCAAGUUUGACUUUUUAGUGUAAAAAUGUAAUUUUUCGUUAAAAUAAGAUUUUAAUGGAUUCUAAAAUCCUUAAUUAAGAAAUUAGGCUUCAACCCAACUCAUCUUUGCAACGCCGGUUCCACUUCACAUCAACAGGCAAUGUUUUCUCCUCAACAAAUAGUAUUCUUUUAUGAGACAAAGACUAAUGAGGGUGAUAUAUAUAAUUAAUAAUAAUACUUGUGUUCCCUUUGUGAGUGAAUGCACUUAUUUUACCAUUCUCUAAUAAUGUAUCUUUAUUAUAUAAAUUUAUAUCAUGUGGAUAUCUUCCUAUAAAAAAGUUAUUCAAAUUGGAAAUCCUUACGUCAUCAAAAUAUAUAAAAAAAUGGACGAUCUCAUCGUAAAUAUGUUAGUUACUCACACUAUAACUUUGUAUAUUCCCUCACGUAGGAAACGCAAUAAUUAUCCUCUAAUUAAUUCUUCUUGAGAGUAGAAUUUUUAUUGUUGGUUUUUCGCAACCUUCAGACCUAAAGCUGAUAUGGACCUCUCAUUGUUUUUUGGGUUGCCGUUCUUAUUUUGCUUGGUCCUUUUACCUUUUCUAUAGUUGUUUAUCUAGUUCUUUUGAGCCUCGUACUAAUUUUUAAUGUAAUGAAAAUUAUCUUCGUGAUAAAAAAAAAAAUCAUUAGUCCUCGUAUGAACAUGCGAUGUAACACACUUUCAUGGAACAACAGAUGAUAAAGACGAUAUCCAAAUUUUCUCUGUGUUAUGUGGACUUUCCCAACCAAAUAAAUAAUAACCAAUAAACAAAUAAAUAAGAGUUUAACUUCAAACAUUGAGAAGCGAAAUUCCAACACUACGAGCCUAACUUUUGUCUUCAUCAUCAUCAUAGACUAGUCUCCUAUCCAUCAACUCCUACAUCAAUUUUUUUUUUUACUAGAUUGUAGCUCACUUUCAAAAGAGUUACGUAAAGUAUUUAAGCACCAUAAAAGAAAAUUAAACGACAACGAUUGACAUAAUAUUAGUAGUAUCAUGGUCUAAAAUAUUCAUAAUAUCUUGAUAUUUUUAUUGAAAUUUUCGUGUUUUUAGACUACCUAUAUUUUCAAUAUCAUCGAUAUUUUAAACCUUGCUAAGUCACUCAUGUAUCUUACCAUGCAAUGUAUAAAGUGUAAAAUAUUGUACUAAUUCAUUAUAUAUAAAUGAUUAUAGUGUGUUUAAACUUCUUUCAUUAAUUACUACAUAUUUUCUACACUCACAAUGUUUGCCAGCUCGCUAUAUAAUCAACUUAAAUCAAUUAUAUCUAUCAUGUAAUGCAUUUCCUUCCAAUUUUUUGUGAUAAACUAAUAGAUAAUUGACUAAAUAAACAUCCUGCAAAGUUUCAAUAAAAAUUUCCAAGUUUUUCUUACAAUUUCCGUAGUUUUUAUUCAAUUUUUAUCGAUAUCGAUAAUAUCCCGAUAUUUCCAUCGAAAUUUCCGUAUUUUUAGACUACUGAUAUUUCCGAUAUCAUCGAUAUUUUAUACCUUGGUAGUUAUACAUUUUAUCGGCCUCAUUUUUAUGCAACUUAUACAUUAAAUUAUUGUCAAAAUGUACAUAUAAAGUAGCUGAUCAACGAUGAGAUUUUAGGCAACCAUUUUCUUCUACGACGUCAAAGGUUGUAGAGGUGGCCAUGUGCACUACAUGCGUAAAUCAACUAGGGACUUGGAUCCUCUCUUAAGCCCAAGGAGAGGAUCCUCCUAACCAAAUGACUUGGAUUGUUGGAUGAAAAUCUAACGAUUACAAACAGAUGAUCUCUUUAAAGUUAUAAUAUUUAUUACCGUUGAAUUUUCAUCAAACGGUCAAAUAUCAUUGGUCAAAAGGGUCCUCUCAUUGGGCUCAGAGAGGACCCAAGUGCAUCAACCAGAACUAUUGCUAUUAUAACAAUUCAUGAAAUCAAUUAAACAAUAAUUUUCCUUCUGGCAGGCAUGUUAGUUAUUUCUUAUUUGGCCAAUUGCCUAGUGGAUUUGGUAGAUUUAACCUCUCCACCACAAACACAUUUAAAAAUUUCCAGAAAUCCGUAACGUAAAAUUUAAAAAUAAAUAUUAAUAACAGCAAGUUCUUUUCACCGACCGUGACCGAGAUCUGUCACAUAUCCAAAAUGUCACCUCCUUAUCGCAAAAACCAAAUUUGACUUGGGAUAAAUACCGUGUACAAAUUAAACGCGUUUCUCUAGCUUUUGCGUAAAGAGGCAACCCAACACUAAACUAGGAAAACGUUGGGUUGACAAAGAUACCAUGAAGAAUAAAGGGGUUAUGCAAUCCACUUUGCAAGAUAAUCAAAGUUUCCCGUUGUAGACUUGUCUUAACCCAACACUAAACUAAGAAAACGUUGCUUUCCCGUUGUAACAUGAAACAACAUUAAACAACAUUAAACAAUAUUAAAUAACAUUAAAUAACAUAAAAAUUAUACAACAUAAAAAAAACCAUUUAACAACAUAAAACUUAAAAUGCGUACUUCUUGCUUCUUGUGGCCUAAAGAUGUGCAACAAGAUCUUGAUGUAGGUACUUGUUUGUGGCACGAAAACGUAUCAUCCUAGCCGUUGGAUUUGAAUUUUUUUUGUUUUCGGCCAAAAAAUUUUAAAUUUAAAAGUUGAAGAUGGUGAGAAAUAUGAUCCUACACUGUUCAUUAAAAUAUUAAUUUCUUGAAUGACCAAAAGGCUAAAACAAGCCAUCCUUCGGUUGGAGAUGCCUAAGGAGAGACUAGAGAUAGAGAGUUUCCUAUAUAUGAUUUUCAUUAACAAGAUUGAAAUGAUUUCAGAGAGAAGAUCAAGUAUGGUUAUUUUUAUUUUGUAGAGUGUAGACAUUAUAACUAUACAUUCAUAAUAACAUGAGUAAUGUUAUAUUUAUCACAUUUGUACUCUUUCUCUGAUAAAGGUAGGGUUCAUCAACACAUGUGGGUUCUAUUUGCCCAUCAACACAUGCGGAUCUCAUUUUUAUUAGAAAAAUAGUACAAAUAUGGUACGGAAAAUAUGAUAAGAUCGCAAUUUUGUAAUAACAUAUAUACUCAACUAUUUAUAUACCGACCCAUCUCCUUUUAGUGUAGAUAAUAUCGUUUGUUAAAAAAAAUGUUGAACUUGUCAUAAUCAUUGAAUCCAUUUACCAUGAACAAACGGCAGUUUACUAAACUUGCCCUCAGAGUAUAUAUAAAAGGUGAAUCACAAUCUAUUGCAUUAAUAUAAGGAAACAAUUUAUAGGGUUUGACGGGUGACUUAAUAUGCUAUAUGGCACAAUGAAAAUUAAGUUCACACUUUAUCCCAAAUAAGGUGUUGCACCUUUAAUUUAUGGAUGCUGGUUUGACGUGUGACCGAAAUAAUCAAAUUGUAGCCAUUAAUCAUUUUACAAGUAAUAAUAUGUAGUUUUUACUGUUUACGAUUCACACAACAAUCUGCUAGGAAGUAGAAAAUGCAGUACUUGUCCCUCUCACAGAAGUCAUGAAUAAUUAUCAAAUUCAAAGAUAAAGAAAAACCACACAAUUUACAAGAGGAAAGAAAAUGAAGGGAUAAAGAAAGUAAGAAAGGAAUACCUCUAUGGGAGGACUCUUAUUUGCUUCAGAUGCCUACAAUAUUCAUCAUAUAAACACUGAUUAAGUAGUCAUCGAAAACCAAAACAAAUGUCGAACAUAGGGUGAAAAACAGAAAGAAUAACCGCAGCUCAUCAUACCAAUAGAGAUAGAACUGCCCGAUGCCCAAGUAUGACUGAAAAAUGGCAAUCCAAACAUGGCGCCUUCUAGCUCAUCAAACUGUCAAAACCUAGGUUCCACCAAAAAGAUACAAGUCACCUAGUUACUUGUAAAAUAAAAAUCUGUUUCAAAAUAGUGGAAAAUAUUAUUAACAUUGUUCAAAGUCCACAUUGUUGUACCUACCAAGAAACAAGAAGGAUUGUAUCUUAUCAUGAAAAAGAACAUAGGUACCUUUUCAAUUGUAAUUGUACAAAAAUGAGAGACCACUUCCGAACUUCUCUUGGAACUUCAAUCAAUUUCUGCCCACUUUUAAAUGCCUUGACAUACUUAAGCCUAUUUCUUUGAGCUUCAGUUUUGGCUUCUGAUGCCUUUAAAUUUCUUAAAGAUUCUUACCAAGUUUUACAAACUCACUUCUAUACAACCAUUUGUCAGUAUACAUACCAUUUUCUUUGAGCUUCAGUCUUUGCAACACCAAAACCCCCCAAAUAGACCCGGAAUUUUGCAAUGUGCAGGGAAUAUACAAAAAAAACCCUCCUAUCCAUCUAAAACGAAAUCAGAACCCAAACCACAAUCAAAAUCCGUAAAAUUAAUUUAGCCAACCCUAAAUCUAAUAAUUCUAACAAAUAUUAUAGUAUCAAUUGAGAGAGAAUUUGAGAAGAUACCUAGAGAUGAAAGGAAGAGCGUUUCCUCUGAUAGGGGUUCCGUGAAAGCAUCUGUUGACCAGAAAAGAAAAGGCAAAAAACCCCAAAUUACAUAUCAAGCAAUUAUAGAUAGAUCGAACCUUGAAAAUUGAAAUUUCAAACAAGAGAAAGGUUAUAAACUUACAACGAUCUGGGUGUUGGUUACUGGGUUUGGAUUUGGGUUUCUGAUAAGAGAGAGAAUCGUAUGAGGAACCGAUAGAGGAACUGCACCGGCAACAGAGAGCAACUGAUAUGGUGGAGAAUAGAGAUGGGCAAAAUAUCCCGGUUAUCCGCCCAUUUAAAGUUCACAGUUACGGUUAUGGUAAUUGAACGGUUAUGGGUACUACCCGUGGUUAUAACGGGUAUCUAUUGGUUAUGGGUAUUAUCCGCGGUUAUAACAGGUAUUCAUUUACCCAUUUAAUUUCAUAUAUGUAAAAUUUAUAAUAUUUUUAACAGUUAUAACGCGUUUUUGUAUUUGUUGCCAAACUUUUCGUAUACAAAAAAUUUGAAGCACAAGAAGCCAACAAGGAGAAAGAUCAAAGAGCUUACUUGAAGCUUAUGAUCUAUCCUGCGGUUAAUAGAAAGUACUGGUAUUAGUGUAGAAAAAUGUUUGUUUUUAGAAGCUUUAUUUUGUAAUCAUAUGAAUUAUAAUUAAAGACUUGCUUGGGUGUAGUAAAAAAAUAUCGUUUGUAAACUAUUAUUUCAAUUAUUAGAAUUGUAUGAUGACCUAAAUGAUUAAAAUAGAGAAAUGCAUGCUAAAAUGUAUUUAUAACAGUGUUUAAUUGUCAGAUUUUUUUUUUUUUUGUAAUUUUCAAGUUGUUAAAAAAAACAUGCAGAGAGGUGAAAAAAGGGAUUAAAAAAUGAUAAACGGGUUCAAAACGGGUAAACGGGUAAAUGAUUAUGGUUAAAUAGGUAAACGGUUAUGGGUAAAUGGGUACACGGUUAUGGGUAUGAGUAUAACCGUUUAUGCAAUUACCCAACGGGUAAACGGCUAUGUGGGUAUGAACAUAAAUGGUUAUGAGUAAAUAACCGCGGUUACCCGCCCGCUAUAACCAUUGCACAUCCCUAAUAGAGAACAUACGAGAAUAGCCGCUUGGAUGGUCAAUCCAAGAAGAGAAAAUCUUGCCACAAUCACGGUACUUGAAAAAAAAAACAAUUUUAAAGGAGGGAAACAAUCGCGCCUUUUUUUUAAUAGACUCUGUCGACGAUAUUCUUGACAAAUAGUCGGGUGAGCUUAUUUUUCACAACAUUUUAUUUAGGACUAGGUUCGGUUGGCAAAUCGUGUCAAAUUUCUUGUGCCAUUUGCCAGCCACAUAUACAUAAUUACCAAAAAUCAGUUACCGUUCGCCAACCAUCUUCUUGCGGUUGCCAAAAAUCGGUUCAACCAAAAUGAUUGGCUGGUUCGGUUGGUAAAUGGCACAACCGGUGGUUUCCACUUCUUCCUCGCUAUCUUCUAGUUGCAAGGGCUCAAUUUGAUUUUCAGAUUGGGAUGCUUGUUCGGUUGCAUUGUGUGGUUCAUUUUGGGUUAAUCCAUGUUGUGCACUAGCAAUUAAUUGGCUAGACUCCAUCAUCCUAAACAUAAGCAACACAUAUACAUUCAAAAUCAUAUAUAUGUACGUGUAUAUAUAGUAUCAGUAAUCAUCAUGUUAUCAAUUUUGUUAACAAUAUUUUCUAUAUUGAUUAUGGCAUGAAUCAUAUACAUAUACAUAUAUUUUUUAAACCCUAAAACUAAGGAGUUAUUUAUUUUCUAAGCCCUAAAAUUGAGGAGUCAAGCAUGUAAAAAAAUACUUAAAAUAUCUAAAUAGAAAAAGAAAAAAAAAAAAAAAAAUAUAUAUAUAUAUAUAUAUAUAUAUCGGUAGGUAUGGCAUACCGCCGACAUACAAAAUCAAUUACCAAAGCCAUGCCAUUAAUUGUCGGUUCGGUAAAAUGCCAACCGAUUAUGAAAAAAUGCCAAAACUAUACCAUACCAUUUUGAGCCAACCGGUAUGGUUCGGUCGGUAAAUCGGCUUAUGGCAAAAUUUCUCACCCCUAAUUUUAUUUGUCGCCUUAAACCUAUUGGUUUCUAGCCUACAAUUUGGAUAUUUUGUUGGGGAAAGAUUUUUGUACCAAUAAAAUUUUGCUUUGUCAGCUUAGGAUUUGUCGGCAAAAUGACAUUUUCUAGUCGUUAUAAUAUUAGGUAGAUCAAAUUUGUAAACUAUGUGAUGUGUCACCAAUAGGAAAAAAAUUCAGUGUGCUGAAAAUACAGUCUAGAACACCAAGUGUCAUAAUAUAUACUUGGUUGGAAAUUUUUUAUUUUCAAGUUUCCAACUAAUUGUAUUGUAACAGUUGGUGUUCCAAGCUAUUUUCUCGAUGCGUUGGAAAAUCUCUUCACCAAUUAAAAAUAAACAUAUUAAUUAACACUUAAGUAAUAAUCAAAGUAUCAACAACUACGUCAUAAAAUUUACGAAAUAUGAUCUUAAUUAAUGAUCUCCAUGGCAUUACCCUUUAUCUUAGCGUAUACGUACGCCUUCACAUGUUUAUUUGCUGAUAUGCAGCUUGAGUAAAAAUUUCUUUUUAAGAACAUAUAUGUGAAUAUAAACAUAUAUAUCUAGUGAUCCAUGUUGCGUUAUUUAAAAAUAAACAAAUUAAUUAAUUAAUAAAUGAACUGUGUGCAUGUCUGUGUAGAGUAAUCCAUAUGCAUGCUUGAAUCCUGAUCACCACGAAACCAUAAUAUAAGCUACUCAAGGCCCGGAAGCUAGGAUUGAAGAGAAAAACACCCAGUCAGAUUAAGCCAAUAUAUCAAAGUUAAUACUUCGAAAUGUAAGCUUUAAGAUAGAAAAAUCACUUACUACCUUGAGCAGUCGAGCUUCUUCAAUGGCAUGAAGCUUUUAGCAUGAGAUUGACUGCAUCACAACUAAAAUUUUCUCUUGGAAACUACAUAAGGAAUAGCAUGUAUACCUAUAACGUUGAGAAAGUACGCCAAUUUUUUCCUUCUGCACAUUCAUGUUUAAAAGUAAUCCUCAAAUGAACUUGCCCACAAUGAAAUGCAAUUUGAGGUAGUCGAGUGUGUUCCAUUUCCAUUCCAUGGGAAUUACUACUAAACUUUGAGAUGGUAAAGGAUUCAUGAAAUUUUUUACUUUUGAGAUAGCCUCUUUAACAUUUCUCGACUAUAACAAUGAGGGAAUACUUCACCUUGUAUCAAACAAGGGAGAGCGAAAAUCAACUACUAAUAGCAUCACAGAGCCAGCAGAAGAUUGAGGAGGCCAUGAAGAGGAGAGAGAAAAUACACUCUUUUUUUUUGUAAGGACAGAGAUAAUACAUUCAGUAAGGGGUACUGAUGUUUAUAUGCAAUGCUGAUUAGGUUUAAAUAGUCCUAUUUAUUCUGUACAGUGCCAAUAUUACCACCCGUUAGUACACUUUCAAGACACUGUACUCCAGUGUGUGCGCUAUGCAGUACGUAGUACUCCUCAUUUUUUGGGGAAAUUCAUUAUUGGUCUUCAUAUCUUCUUUAUUUUCCUUUUCCUCAUUGUGCCACGUGUUUAAAUCACUAAUUGUAGGUAAUCUUUCAAUUUAAUUAAAUCUUAUGUAAAAAAAGAUAUUUAAAUAUCAUUUAGUAUUACAAGAUAGUGAUAUUCCUCUUUAGUAUAAAAUUUUUAUAAUUAAAAGCGUUCAGUUUUUUAAUCUUCAUUUGAAUACUAUCUAUAAAGAAAAAUUAUUCGAAUAAGAGAUCGUUUAUGCAUUCAAAUGUACAAAAUGCAUCGACAGUGUGAGAACGAAUUAAUAUAUUUUUGAUGAAGUACAAUUAUUGAAUACAUUUGAAUGAUCAAAUGAUAUAUGAUUCAAAAUACAUAUUAAGAUAAUAAAUAUAAGUGAAUUGUUAUUAGCACUCCAAGAAUCUUAUUAUACACUCUAAAUUUUCUAUAUUUUGAAUGAAAAAUAAAUUUAUGAAGAGUGUAGAAUGAGAUUUUUUAAUGCUAAUAACACUUCUCUAAAUAUAAUUAUGAAAUUAAUAAAGUAAAGAUACAUGACCUCGUGAAUGAUGUAUGUAUUAUUCAAAAAAUUAUUAAAAACAAAUUGAAAAAGGACGCUGUUGUUGCCACCACUUAUGCAAUGAUCGUCGCUGCCAUCACCAACCCCCAACACCCCAUUACAGCUCAUAAAAGCACAUCAUAAGCAAUUUAUGAAAUAAAUUUACUGGAAUACUAAUUUCCCCCUUAGUUUAGGUCACCAAUGUUUAAAUUUAGGGGUGUGAUAUGCACAUACCUUUUUUUGCUUCUCUCACACUUUUUUUGUUGUUGUCGAAUCAGAUGAAUUGAAGAAGAUCAAUUGACAGAAAUUAACAAGGGGUGUAUGAAAAGUAAAAAUGGAUGUGUAGAUAACACAUCCCUAAAUUUAUCACAACUUUCAUUCCAAAUUUAAUUUUUAUGCGUAGUUUUGUUUGUUCAAAUUUACUUUGACAUUUCAAUUAGUAUUAAAAUCUAAUUUAAAUUUUAGCGUUCAAGCUAGAAAAAGUGUUCCAUUUAAUAUUUAAUCUCAGUUUUUCUCUUUAUUCUUUUAUUCCGAUUUGGUUGCAUCGUAUCUCCAUUUUUCUCGGUGUUGUAUGUUCAUAAGGCCUGGGAAACGUUGGCACGGAGUGAAGGGUACUCACUUUUUGGCCCAAAAUGCAUAAGGCAUGUAGAUAUGUUAAUCAAAUUUUGUAAACUAAAGGAUAUAGAAGUUGAUACUUAGAUUAUAAUUUAAGAUAAUACUAAAGAGACUAAAUUUGCAAACUAAAUGAUGUGUCACCAAUAAAAAUAAGCACGUUUAUCAACGCUUAAGUAAUAAAUCAAUCAUCAACUUUCAUGUCCUUUAGUUUCCAAAAUUUAAUAUACAAAUUUAGUCUCCCAAGCAUUACUCUAUUACUUAAGUAUUGAUUAACAGACUUAUUUCUUAUGGUGACAUAUUAUUUAAUUUACAAAUUUAGUCAACCCAACAUUACUCUUUUGAAAUUGUCUUGUCCACUGAUAUAAUUCUAUUUUUCUUGUGAUCAAAACUUCAAAUGUUAGCAAGUCGCACGUAAAGUCACUUCUGAGAGAAUGUGCUCACAUUGUAGUUGAAAGAUUAUGUGGCUAGCAACAUUACAAAUUUAAUUUGGUAUAAUUUAAAAUAUAGAUUGAGGAAAAAAUGAUCACAUUAACUAGAAACUGAAAAGGUUUCAGCACAGUUUGUUCAAGCAAGAAACUCAAUUUUGAUGCUACCGAUCUUAACAGCCUGAGCGCCGUACCUGGGCACUAAAGUCACCACCACACUCUCAUCAUCUUCAGCACCCAAAUCCUCCAACAGGUCCGUUAACCCCAACCUUAAACAACUCUUGCUCUUUUCCUUCUGCUUAUGUGGAACACUCACAAAACUCCCAGCAAACUCGCUCUUGUCGGGUCCACUCGGUGCCGCAUCCUCAUCGUCCACGUCAUUCACAUACACAUCAAACUUCACAGCCACAUCUUUGUCAAGCUCAAUCCCCUGAAUCACCAGUAUCUCCUCCUCAUCCUCUUUCUCCUUCUUGCUCCUCUUCUUCGGCUUCGGCCUUGACACCACCGUACUUAUCUUUGUCUCCAAAUUUAUUGGAAAAUCUUUACCCGCCACCACCUUCCCCGAUGACGUCGUCUCAGCGGCCUUCGCCACUCCAGCCGCCUUUGCCUUUCUCGCAAGCUUUGUCCGACGUGGCGUCGGUCUAGACUUGAGCCAUGGAAUCUCAACAUCUUCAUACGUAUACCCUAGCUUUUUAUUAUCAAGAGUGUCCCUCACCGUGACCCUAACAAGCUCAGCAUUCUCGUCAUAAAACAAAAACCCCGUAUCCAACCAAUCCUUAUCGUUAAUAUCUUUAUUUUUAGUCCCUAUACUUUUCCAAAUAUUCCACAUUCGAUCUAUAUUCGAAUGGUGCGAAAAAAAUAUUGGAUCCCUUGCAGCGGAGUAAAAAUUCCCCAUGUCUUCAAAAUUAGGUUGCGUGUUAUCUCCGGUCCAUGUAUGAACCGGACCAUGUGGGGUCGUUUCGAUUGAACCGGCCCCUGGAUCUGGUUCGGUGCCAGCCCUGUAGGGCGAACCAAAGAACAACAGCGGUUUCUUGGAGUUGGAAACCAUCUGCCUAUACAUGAUUUUGAGGUUGGCGUCGAUUUGAGCAUCCUUGGACAUUGUUUCAUCCGUGCCGUUAAAGUCAAGAUCGAUGAGAGUCGGCGGCUGAUGGCUGGCAGCGCGGAGCUCGUCGUAAAGCGGAGAGUCCGGGUUAGCGAACAAGGCAGGGAGUUGCAUGCCAGCUGGCGCGUCCCAGUUCCAAAACGGCAACGCGAACGUCGGAUCGUCUAUGAGUUUGGCCAAGAUUCUUUCGUGGAAGUAUAGGUAGUAACGAUGGAAGGGGAAGAAAAGCCAGGAUUGAUGGAUUUGGAGCUCGAGGUUGGGGAAGCCGACUUGAUCGUACGCGCCGUCGCAAUAGGCACAGUGGAUAUCGGCUUGCUGGGUGAAGCUACGCGGAUCGUCGUCCGGGAGGGCUUUCAUGAGCUCGAUGGCUUUUGAAUAUUUUUCGAUGUAGGCUUUAUCCACGGUGUGAGCUGCCGGCCUGACGCGGAGUUUGGUAGGGGAGGGGAAUUUGAAGUCUACGAUUUUUUGGGACGUUGGCGGGCAACAGUUGGUCGGGACUGCUCCACUUGGAAAGUCCGCACCUCCGCAUUUGGCUAGGUCAGGCGGCGACACUGGCUUUGCAACAGCGAAGGGGUCGCUGCCAAGACCAGCCACUCCACCGUACAGGCUUCCGAGACCUAUAAGUACAUGUCUUCUGUCUAGGUUUACUGGAGAAAGGUUUUCAUGGUCGUGAUCGUUGGAGCUAGUGGAAGGGUUUUUGUUUUGGUCACUACUAUUAUUCGUGGCUUUGCAUGAGACGGCUUGUAAAUUGGAAUGCCUAGGGUUUUCAAAUAAGGAAAUUCGGUGAUACUUUUGGGAGAAAGGGAAGAGAGAAGUUGUGGGGAUGAUACUUGUGGUGGAGGUGACGAGUGGAGCUGACAUAGAAGCCAUGGUUACUUGACUCUGAAUACUACGUUGUAUAGGCUUUGCUUUUAUAAUGUGUUCUAGGUUUUACUUUUCUUUGCACAGGUGGCAGGCCGUACACAUUGGCGGUCCUUAAGGGUUUGACGAGGAAUACUACGUAGUCAUUUAGUACAGGGCAACCAUGCACUAUAGCACGUGGCAUGUAAUAUUUACGUAGUCUCAGAAGGUGAAGCGGUUUUGGGCUUCUUGUGUACCAAUAAUAUUUACGUACUCAUUAUUCCACUGGAUGGAUUGCGUGCACGUGAUCUUUAUUCAAACAAAUCACUAUUGACCAUAUAUUGCAAUUGGUUAAUGUUAGGCAAAUUAAAUUUUUACAUCAAAUAAUGUGGUUGCUGAUUAUUGAAUUAUUAUUUAAGUUUGAUUAAUGUGCUUAUUUUUUAUCGGUAAUACAUCAUUUGAUUUGCAAAUUUGAUUUACCUAAUAUUACCAGUUAUAAUUUGUAUAAAUGGACUGGUACCUAACAUUACCAAUUGUAAUUUGUAUAAAUGGACUCGUACCUAACAUUACCGGUUGUCCCAAGAGCACACGCUACUGCUCAAGAAGCAAAGUUCUUAUUUGCCCAAAAAAAAUCAUGGUUUUUUAAUUGAUGCUCUCAUUUUAAUUUACUAGCCCCUUACUUGGCCCUUUUUAUUUAUCAUUUUAUACAUAUUAAUAUUUUGUUUGUAAAAUAUAUUAGUGUUAGUUUUAUCAAAAUUAAAAAUAAAUAAAAAACUUAGCUUUAGUAUUUAGUUAUUGAAAUUGUAAAAAAAGUGAUAAAGUAUUGGGUGCUUUGUUUGAAAAUUUUCAAAAUGAUAUUGUUUUUACCACUGAACCCCUGUUAUAUACAGUGAUGGCUAAUUUGUCAAGUUCUACGAAGUUGGGAUACCCAGCGUUUUAGCAUAUAACAUAGCUUAGUAUUUCAAGCAUAAUUAAUUAACGAAAAAUUAGUAUCCGGUCCCUAGUUUUUACUGUUCAUUGACUAAGACCUUAUUAGUUCUCAAAUUUUGAUUCAAGUCCCUAGCAUUAAUGUGAUAAUGAAUUUACAUGUUUAUUAUAUAAUUUUUUAAUAUAAAAAUUAGUAAUUAAUUUAGGGUUUAAUACUCACACCUCUAUUAAACUUCUAAUUAAUUUUCAAUUCAGACAUUUCCAAAAUAAUAAAAAAUUAAAUUAAAUUAAGUUUGUACCUAUUAGUUUUUUUUUAUAUAUAAAAAGAUUCUCAAUUUUUAAUCUUAAAUGUACAUCUUAAAUGUACCCAUUCUCAAAUAUAUCAAUUUGUUAUAUGUAAAAUGUACCCUUUUUUAAUAUAAAAUCCAUUCAAAAUUUUUAAUCCAUGUUUAAACUUAUAUGGGUACAUUCUUUUUCGUUGAUUUGAGAAUGUAUCCAUGUUUUGGUACAAUAAAUUUUUUGUUAAUUUUGGUUAAUGUACCCAUACAUAUAUGUACACACACACACACACACACACACACAAUAUAAUAGAGAGUAUAAUUUAUAUUUUAUUAUUUUUAAUCCCAUAAAUGAUGGGUUUUAUUUAAAAUCUCAUUAAUAUAAACAAUUAUAAAUUUCAAUUUUUAAUUUUUAAUUUAAAAAAUAUAGUAACUUACAUUAUUACAUUAAUGUCAGGGACCUCAAUAAAAAACUAAAAACUAACAAGGUUUCAAUCAAAGAAUAUUGAUAGCUAGGGACCACAUCCAAAGUGUCCCUUAAUUAAAGGGUAAAUUACAUAGUAACCCCUCAGGUUUGAUGUCUAUUACAACCCCAUACAACAUCUUUAAAACAUUUCACUUUCAUACCUCAAGUACUAUUUUAUUUCAAUAUAAUACAUCUGUUAGAUUUUCCAUCCAUUAAUCCGUUAAAUGCUGACAUGGAUACCACAUUUGUGCCACGUGGCUGCCAAAUGCGUGUCAUGUGGCAAAAAUAAUAAUUUUUAAAUUUAAAAAAAAAUGAAUCUUCAACCCAAAAAAAAAAAAAAAAAAAAAACCCCAAACCCAGAUCCCAUCAACCCCCCCCAAACGAUUAUCCCUUCCCCAUAUCCCCCAUCCCACCCCCCAACCCCCCCUCUGCGACCAACCUUACCAUAGCGCCCCCCAACCUCGCGACCCACCUCACUCAAGGCCCUAAUCCACACUACCUACAACCCAGAAACGAAAAAAAAAAACAAAAAACAAAAAACUCAUCUCCCUUUCCCUGCAACCCAAAUCCCAUCUUCCCUAAUGGGUAUGGAUUUAAGAAGUGGGGUGUGUAGAGGAGGGAAGAGGGUGGGUGCGGAGGAUGGGUAUGGUGGGUUGCAAGGAAGGGGGGUCGGGUAAGAUGAAGAUGGGUUUUUUUUUUCUCUCUCUCUUCUUCUUCUUCUGGGUUGCAAGUUGUAGGUUGGGGUUUUUUUUUGGGGGGGGGGGGGAGGGAGGGAGGGAAGACGACGUGGGGUUUGGUUUUUUUUUUUUAAUUUAUUUAGAAGAUUUAGGUUUUUUGAAAAAAAAAAAAAAAUUCCACGUGGCACAAAUGUGGCAGCCACGUCAGCAUUUAACAGAUUAAUAGAUGGAAAAUCUAACGGAUGUAUUAUAUUGAAAUAAAAUAGUACUUGAGGUUAGAAAGUGAAAUGUGUUGAUGCACAAAACCGAAGGUCUUUGAACAACGUAAAUCCGAUCGUGAAUAUGCAAGUAAUGUAAAUAACACAAGAUGUAUCGUGGUUCACUCCAAUGUUUGGGCUACGUCCACACUGAUUAUUGUAUUUCUCUGAGAGGUGAGGGGGAGAGCUUUGAGAAAGCUUAGAGCUUAGGGGAUGUGAGAAGGCUUAAGAAUUGGCCUCCCUUAUUUGUGAGGGUGAUGAGUCCUUUUAUAGAAUAAGGGAUCCUCACUUAUUACAUAUUUGCCCAUUCCUUUAUUACAUAAUUACAUUUAAGUCCCCUGAGUACUUGUACAAGGUCUAAAUACGGAGGCCCUAAGUAUGGUACAAACAGUAGUCCCCCAAGUCUUCAGUCAAGAGAGUCUUUUGGCUAGAGACUUGAAAUUCUGUCCAUGUGUGAGCCGAAAUAACUAGAUGUCGUCUAGAACUGAUAUUUGAUAUGCGGCAGUGCCCAUUUUGAAAUAAUGCUCAACUAGAAGUAGCACAUGCUGCGAGGCUGCUCUGCUUGUGUUGCCUUGGUUGGCUCGACUUGUGGCGUUGAAGGUGAGAGAGUCCCUUUUAUAGAAUAAGGGCUCGCUCCUCAUUACAAAGAUGAUGGGUUAGUUGGUGCUUGCGGUGAGGCGGAUGCUCAGCUGGCGGCGAUGCUCUCUAAUGAUAGUGAGGGAGUCCAUUUUAUAGAAUAAGGGAUCGCUCCUCAAUACAUAAAUAAUAGGUGCUCUCUAAUGAAAGUAAGGGAGUCCCUUUUAUAGAAUAAGGGCUCACUCUUCAAUACAUAAAUAAUGGGCUAAGUCCCCUAAGUAUUUUUUAUGAGGCCUAAUUGAGGCCCAAUAUAUGGUACAUAAUGUAGUCCCCCAAGUCUUCGGUCAAUAGAGUCUGUUGGCUGGAGACUUCAAAUUGAAUCCAUGUAUGGGCCGAAGUGGCGGUUGUUCGGAAGCGGUAUUUGUAUACCCUGCACUGAAGCUUUAUAGGUGAAGCUUUGCAAGUGAAGCUUUGAAGCUGGAGCUCAGUAAAUGAAGCUUUUGAAGCUAGAGCUUUUGUAAAUGAAACUUUUGAAGCUGGAGCUCUAUAAAGGAAGCUUUUGUAAAUGAAGCUUUUGAAGCUGAUUCACAUGAGUGAUGCUCAUGAAUGUUUAUGUUGAUUGAUAUGAGUGAUGCUUAUGGAUGUUGACAUGAGUGAUGCUCAUGGAUGUUGACGUGAUGCUCAUGAAUGUUAACAUGAGUGAUGCUCAUGAAUGUUUAUGUAUGAUUGAUAUGAGUAAUGUUCAUGAAUGUUUAUGUAUGAUUGACAUGAGUAAUGCUCAUGUAUAAUUUGAAGUACUGGGCAUACUUUUGAUUACCUGGUUGGCGAUAAUAGCGGCAGGGUGCCGAAUAAUUUUUUGUAGUACUGGGCGUACUUUUGGUCACCUGGUUGGUGAUAAUAGCAGCAGGGUGCCGAAUAAUUUUUUGUAAUACUGGUCGUCCUUUUGGUCACCUGGUUGGUGCUAUUUUGAGCUUAUGGGCCUUCGCCCUCUACACAACAUUCCAGCCUAUUUAUUUUGGGCUUUACCGUUUUUUUUAAUUACCCUAUGAUGGGGUUUAUACAGAUGUCUCCGAAAGAUAUGAAAAAUAAAUUACAUCAUUCAAAAAUAAAUCCGACCCUCUGCUCAAUGGGUCACGCCAAUAAUUCUUUUUUUUUAUGCAUGCCAUCACCACCGCAAUUAUGUCUGCUUCUUUUUAUCUUCUUUUGCUUUCUGCUUUUGCUUUUACUUUAUCUUUCUCUUUUGGCAUAUGGCAGACAACGCCAAAACGGAAUAAUGAAUUAUUAUGAGAACAUGAAUCUUAUCUUUUGCCUGGUUUUCCACUAGUGCUCGUGGUAUUCUCAGGAGAUUGGAUCUGGGGGUAGGCGACUACCCCAGCACCUUGCCCUGAUACGUAAUAGCCUGAUGUCCCACUGCCAUCUCCAUACUGGAAGGUGUACGAACAAUGGUUAUUCUGUGUGGAACAAAUAGAAUCCGAUUGAGAUUCAAGACUGCACCUUCGAUCUGAGCAAGAAAUGAAUUGUGACGUUGAUGAACUUCUAGGAGGAGAAGCAGAGGAUCUUUGACUAUGAUGAUCUUUGAAUUCCAGAUGAAACUGAAUAAAAUGCAGGUUGUGGAGCUUGAUGUGGGCCCAGAUCUGCUUGACAGCUUUGGGGCGGGAGGAUUCCUUGACACUGAGGAAGAUUCCCAGAGCUGGAGGGAUGAGAAUCGACUUCAUAAUCCCGAUGGUGGGUUUGUGCUUGGUCGAAAGAUCAUUUCUGGCAGGGGAAAACAUGUACCAUACCUAUUGCAAAUCUUGCAAAUUCUCUGCUUCUCCAUGGAAGAUGAAGAGCAUCGAAUCUCUGUUUUCUCUCUCUCUCUCUAAAACGUUUUCGUUAUAGAGUGCCCCAAUAGAAGUGGACGGGCAGUGAGCAUGCCAUUUAGUGCCUCCUCCAAGACAGUAACUGAUACGGUGGUCUUUAUUGGCACUCCAAGUUUACUAAAAAGGGCAGCAAAAAUAGUAUUUACAGCACCCAAACUUGAAAGAUCUAGCUCCAACUAGUGGCUUUCUGUUUCAACAGCCUGAAAGCCGGCAGUGUCAUACCGACGCCGUUUGUCUGGAUCAAAUAAUAUAUUAUAAGAAAACAUGACCUUCUUGAAGAUAUCAGCUGUUUUAGAGUCAUUAGCAUUUUUGUCAGGAUGGUACUUGAGAGCCAUUUUCCGGUAAGCACUUUUGAUUUCCUGGUUGGUGGAAUUCCUAUUGAGGCCGAGGACCGCAUAAGGGUUUUGUCGGAGCUGCUUCUUAGCUUCUUGCUUCUCCGAUUUUGAUCGGCUGCCCUGCAUUUUUGAAAUUGACGGUCAAUUUCUUCACAAAACCCUAGAAAUUGCCUCUCGAUUACCUCCGAAACACAUAAUUCACGACUCUUGGUUGAAAUUUUUUUUUUUCAUUUCAAAGAAGUGGCGGAGGUAAAUCAGUUGUCACAUAGCACCGGAGCAUGAGGAAAACCUAGAAAACCAAGAGGCAGAGAGACUCCAUGCACAUCUAACCUGGAACCUUGCAGGAGAGAGCAGAGAGAAAGAGACAAGAAAGAUUGAGGGAGAAGCGAUCUUGGUGCAUCGUCUGUGAUUCCUUGGUGAUUUGCUCGAUCGGGACUCUGAAUUCGUGCAAGUCAUUGCUGUUAAGCAAGAAUCGCGAGGAGUCGGAGAGCUUGGAAAUCGAGAAGGAGAGAGGGCCUUUAGUCAGGGCUUGGAGGGUGUCGGACUCCGUCGGCCAAGAUUGGUGCACGGUCACGGCGUCUGGGCCCAUGGCGGUUGUGUAAAUGGGGGAGGUUCUAGGAGUCCAAGAAAGAAGAAGAAGCAGCGACCAUAGAUCUGGGAGUCCAUGGCGCUUGAAAGAUACGGCGAACAAGUCGGACUUGCUGCUGGGCAGCUGGCGGUGAUAAUGUUGGUGCAUGGGUUUUGGAGUGGGAGUGUUUGGAAUGGGUUUUUUGUUUAGUUUCUAUGUGUUUUUUCACAGAGAGAGAGAGAGAGAAGUGAUGGUGUUUAAGGGAUGAGUUUUGGAGCUUAGUGAAUGCUUUUUCUGGAAAAGCCCAGUGAGGUUUGUGGGUUUUUGCAGAUUUUGCAGAUUCGCGGUGGAGGUGAAAGAAUGAAAGAGAACCGACACAACUUUUCGUAUUGAUUCCCACAUACGGCGCCAAAUGUUGAUGCACAAAACCGGAGGUCUUGGAACAACGCAAAUCCGACCGUGAAUCUGCAAGUAAUGUAAAUAACACAAGAUGUAUCGUGGUUCACCCCAAUGUUUAGGCUAUGUCCACACUGAUUAUUGUAUUUCUCUGAGAGGUGAGGGAGAGCUUUGAGAGAGCUUAGAGCUUAGGGGAUGUGAGAAGGCUUAGGAAUUGGCCUCCCUUAUUUGUGAGGGUGAGAAGUCCUUUUAUAGAAUAAGGGUUCCUCACUUAUUACAUAUUUGCCCAUUCCUUUAUUACAUAAUUACAUUUAAGUCCCCCGAGUAUUUGUACGAGGUCUAAAUACGGAGGCCCUAAGUAUGGUACAAACAAAAUGUUUUAAAGAUGUUGUAUGGGGUUGUAAUAGACCUCAAACUUGAGGGGUUACUAUGUAAUUUACCCUUAAUUAAAAUAAGGGCAAAUGAAGAGGAUGGUUGAACUUGUUAAGUUUCUUAAGUGUGUCUAAUUUAAGUGUGUUGUUAAUAAACAUUUAUUAUGGAGGCAAAGAGAGGGAAGGUGCGGCAUAGAAAGAGAAGAGAGAGAUAUGUAAUUGUGAGUUGUGUUUUAUUCCAUCCCAUUGUGCAUUUAUUUAUAUUAGUUGGGAAAGUUAAUUCUUUAACCUUUUAGGAUUACAACUCUAAUAGGAAAAUAUAUAAUCUAAAAGAUAUGGUAGAAUCCCAUAAGAAUAUCCUAGAUAUGUUAGGAUUUACACAAUCAUAUUCCUAUUCCAAUAGGACUGCAAAACAUUUGUAUUUUUUUAUAAUUUUUUUGAUAAUUUGUUGGCAUUUUCAAUUUUUGUUAACAUUGAAAAUAUAACGGUUCAGAUGAAAAACCUUUGGAAAUCCAACAUUGAAAAUAUAACAGUUUGACGUUGGGCUGUGGUGAAGGAGGCUGGGCUGUCACGUGGGUGGGGCCCUCCCUCUCCCACUUGGUGAUUCAAAGGGCGCAGGCCCGUGCAACAAUUGAGGCAGCCCAUAGAGAUCCUGCGUUUCACCCAUUUGCCAUUUUUUCCACCGCUGGAGCACCAAAAUUCGGUCCAAAGGCAGGGGUUCCAAUUGCAUGGGCAAUUUGGUUUCCGCUGGAGGUGCUCUUUGUCGACUUUGUUUAUUCUUUCUUUUUAGCUUUGCAGUAAUAUUGAAGUAAUCACUCCAAUUGUAUCCGAACUUUUGUUGUCCAUCAAUUUGUAUCAAAACUAUUGGUUAAUUUACAUAUUCAGACUAACCUUCUCAUUAUUUUUAGUAUUUUUAUCAUAAAUAAUAUCUAAAAUAAUCACAUUUUAUUCAACAACCACUCAAUUAAAAAUUAAUUAAUGUUGUUUCUAAACCAUUACAUCGAGCUUUUGUAAAUACACAUCAAUAUUGCAGCGAUCCGAGGCAUUGUUUUCUACGCCUUGGAUUUGGCGAAUUGGAAAAGAGAAGAGUUACGAGUAAAAGUCCCUCACAUUAAGAGGGCUCCUCCUCGGGGAGAUGAAGAUGAUGAUCUUUUGUUUUUGUUUCUUAAUGAUUAAUCCACGCAGCAACAUAUAAUUAGAUUGUUGGGAUCUACUCAAGUUCCAUAUCACGCACUAAUAUAAAGUUUGACAAACGAAACGAAAUAUGUGCUCUCGAAAGCAAAAUGAGGGCACUGCUCCAAGAACAGGAAGGGCUCCUUGUCGAGGUUGCCAUCCGCCAUGAGGGAAAACCGGAAGAAGUUAGACAACAAUGAUGACAUCGAUUUGCAACACCCAUAUUGGGACAUCAAACUGUGAAAUAAAUACUCAAAACUCCUGGAAAGUCCUCGGGACAACAAACUUUUAUCUCCUUCAAAUAUUUCAUUUUACCAAGUUUUAUGUUUGAAGGGAGGGAAAAAAAGAGAUGAGAGAAUCCUACUCCUUAUUCUUGAAUAUAUUCAGGAAUAACUAUUGAAUAAAGAGAGAAUGGAAGGGGAUCGAAAGAGGAGGGAAGAUAAUUCUAGUCCCAAACAUAAAAAGGACCACAACUUUUAAAUUAUCAGCACGAUCAUCAUCUGAUUGAAGAGACCAUUCAUUGUGAAACAUAUCGUCAAUCAAUAUGUCUAUAUCUAUUUAUAUACCACAUUUUUGGAGUAGGAUUCUCCCCCCUCCUAUUACCAUCCCCUUCCAUCCCCUUCCAUCCCCUCCUUUCAUACUUUUUUUUUUCUUAUUCUCUAUAUAAAAAAUUCAAAACAAGAUGUAGAUGUGUCGUAAUCGCAAUAGUUUAAAUAAAAGGAGAUGGAAGGAGAGAUAAAUUACGAGGGGAGAGAAUCUUACUCCCACAUUUUUCUUCUUCAUAAACAAAAGAGAGGUUCUAGAUUACUUGACUCUAUGCCUCAUUUUUUUCAUCAAGUAUUUGUGCUAAACGGGUUCAGUUUCAAGUAUUUUAGUUUUUUGUCAAAAUUGAGAAAACUGAAAAUCAAACAUUAAUAUGCAAAAUUAAAAAAUCAACACAUAAUUAUUUAGAAAUCGCAAUAGAAAAGAAAAAAUGGAGGUUUGUGAUGAAAAAUCUUUUAUACUAAGUAAUUUAGUAUCCUUAUGCAUGAAGAUAAUCAAUUCGUUCGUUAUGGUCAGACUCUUUUUGAAUUUUUGAACACAUUCUCCAUAGGGCCUUCUUAUUUGUUCCUUCUCCGAGUUGGGGUUAUGGAAGAAGUAAAAGAAGGAACCAAGAAGAAAGUAUUGGCAACAACCGAUUUCGUUACGGGACAACUCUUGAUAUUCAUAUCGAUCUAUUAUGUACCUUUGCAUCUAGCAUUAGACAAUAACUGUCAUAGCUUUACCAUAUUUUUUUGUUUCAUUUCUUCUGAAACAAUAACACACACUUUUUUAUUAUGUGUCUAAUACUAGGAAUUCAAUACAUAAUCUUAGCAUUCAAUAGUUAUUCCUGAAUAAUUUCAUUUUUCAAUUGAUCAACCAUUUCAUUUUUCCAAGUUCAAUCAAUGUUAGUCACAUUAGUCAACAUUUAUAUAUUUUGAUGCAACAACAAUAUGUUAUUUGUAACAAGUGAUUUUGCUAGUUGGUUAAUUGGUCACAAGUUAAUGUUCGGUUCAGUUCAGCUUUUCUCUCGAUUUUUUGCGAUUCGGUUUUUUCGAUUCUCUUUAGAUUCGGUUCGAUUUUGUUUUUUUAUUUAUACUUAAUUUUUUUUAAUCUGAAAACACCAAGAACAACACAAGCAUACUCAAUCAAACAACUAUCCUUCUCCACAAAUCACAGUAAUAAUUACAUUCAUUUAGCUAAAAUGCAAAUAACUAACAAACUCACAAAAAUCGAAUAAAAACUACAAAUUGCUUACUCUUUUUCUUUGGGUUUCACUCGAAAAGUGUCGGUAAAAUUUAGGGUUUGCAAGAACGCAACCGAAAUCCAAAACGGAGGCUCUGUGGCUUGUGGGCUGCUAUUGAGUUCCAGUACGGAAAACCUUGCUUACUCUCUAUCACGGUACAAAGUAUCAGUACCUUUAGCACUGUAUUUGGUAGAACCAAAUUAAAAGCUAACAUCAAUAACAACUACCAGAGACAUAAGCUCUUAUCAAUGCUUUGGAAACAGUCAUGUAUCUCCAAGUGUAAUGAUAUAAUUAGUAAGAAAUUUAAAAGAAAAAUGGUGAUUUCAUAUAAAAUCAAUAAAAAGUUACAAUAUUGACAAUAUAUCAACAAUUUUUAUGGGGUAAAUUACAUAGGACCCCCUCAGGUUUGAGGUCUAUUACAACCCCAUACAACAUCUUUAAAAUAUUUCACUUUCAUACCUCACCUACUAUUUUAUUUCAAUAUAGUACCUCCAUUACAUUUUCCAUCAAUUGAUCCAUUAAGAGCUGAAUUGGUUGCCACAUUUGACACGCCCCGAUCCCGAUAUCCUCGGGAUAUCAGGAUGGUCACGUGCUGGCCGACACCCGAGGGUGACGAAAGCCAUUUAUUGAGUGCAAUUGCUGAAAAUAAAGGAUAGAUAAAACUUAUAAAUGUAAAAGAAUAAGGAAUAUGCAUUUAAGGAACGUGUUCAGAGCAUACAACUAACUAGAACACUAAAAGAAUGAUAUAAAAUGGAAUGAAUAAAAGAAUGAGUCUUACACCAAGAGGACUCGAAGAUGCCGAUGCGGAAGUACCUUGAUUGUCGGGAUUGUACGCCUCGAUCCUAAAUCCUGAAGGGGGCGCAAAACAAACAUGAGUGGACCAAGUUGAUAUAUAUAUAAUAAAACAGUUAUCAAUAUACUAACCCCCAGGUUUAUGAAAACAAAUAUAUAAUGAUGAACAUAGGUUUUCCGAAACCUAGCAUGAUGUGCAGUAUCUCAAAUCAUAACUCAUAUAUAAUAAUCACUAGUGAAUUGUCCGAUAACCUGCAGGCCCCAUGCCGGCUCCCCGUCUCUGAGCAGACAGUCAGAGGAAAAUACACUUCAGGCCCCAUGCCGGCUCCCCGUCCCUGUGCUAAAUAGCCAGAGGAAACACACUCCAGGCCCUAUGCCAACACCAAACCGUCGCCCGGGACGGACCGGAAUCUAUUCCUACGUCCCGUAGCGGAAAUGACCACUAGGUAAGUACAAAACCAUUGAACAUACAUAUAUUGAAAAACAACUUCAUAGUAUAAAGUCAUCCAUCAUCUAUACUAUAAAGAGGUGUUCGAAACAUGUUCUAAAUAUCAUAUCGUCAUCCAUCAGAUAUUCUAUAAGAACACGGGUUAUAGGAAAAAUAGUAAUAAUUCAAGGUAGCCUCAGUAAGCAUGUUAUCUCAAAACGUUUCAUAAAACGUAAUCAUUAAAUCAUGCAUUUCAUGUAUGCAUUUCUACUAUUAAAACAUGCUUUUGAAGGGGUCCACUCACAGUACUUAGCCGCCGAAGAGCCACGCAAACUAACGUCACCAAUAUUGCCCCUAAGCACAUAAAUGGUCCAAUUAAUAAAACUAUAUAAUAGCAAUUGGAUUUGGGAAAACGGACGUUGGAAACGGAUUCAGAACGUCGAAUUACCCUAAGAAGGGUCCCGGACGAAAACCCGAAAAGUCAACUCUAAAGUCAAUGUUGACCGGAGGUCAACGGUCAAAUUAGGUCUAACGGGUUUUAGGCUUGAAAUCCGGAUUAGGGUUUAGGUUAAAUAGGAUUAGGAUUUAUUGGGUUUUGGAAUUCUAAGGUUUUUGGGUUAAAAGGGUUUAGGGUGAAAAUGGGUGGUUUGGGCUUAAUCCCAAACUCACACACAACACACACACACACUACACAAACCCUAAAACACACACACACACACGGGCUGCACUAGGGCAGCCCUCACAACACUUCACAAAGGCCCUAAGGCCUUAUUAAAGGACAGGGCUUUAAGCCCUUUAAAGGAUACUGGCCCAAGGCCCGUCAAAAUAAGGCCCGAGGCCUUUGGGUUUUAAAAAGAACAAGAACAAAUUUAAAAGAAAAGGGGCUGGGGUCUACUGGGCUAAGAUAUAACGGGCUUAAGGCCCGUGGGGUUUUCUAAAGGGCCUGAGAGGCCUGGGUUUGUCGAAGGAGAAGGCCGGAAUUUCGGCCGGAAAACCACCCAACUUUAAAUGGCCAUAACUUUGUCAAUACUCAACGAAAUCAAGCAAGACAAAAAUGAAAGUUGUAGCCCUUGAAGCGACGAAGAGAAUGGUUCCUCACACGACGUCUAACUCGCCGUGGUUUGGCCGGAAAAUGCCUCGAAAUCCGUCGGACUCGCCGGAAACUGGGUAAGAUUCAAAUGAGUAUAACUUCUUCAAUACUCAACGAAAUUAAGUGAAACAAAAAGGAAAGUUGUAUUACUCGACGAGACGAAGAGAUUGAUACCUUACACGCCGGCCAACUCGCUGUGGUUUGGCCGGAAAUGGCCUCGAAAGGGGCGGUGCUCGCCGGAGCUUACUCCGUGCCGUCGAACUCGCAGGGUAGGGUCCGGGGUUCGUUGCAAGCCUCUCUUCGAUGGUGACUCGGUCCUAGUGAGUCCAGGGGAAGAGAGAGAUGCGAAAGGUUGAGGGAGAGAGAGACGGGAGAGCUGAGAAAGAGAGAGCUACGGGAGGGAGAAACGAAGAAGAAGAAGAGAGAGAUCAGAAAACAUAAAAAAAAUAAACAAGGUGGGCCCCACGGGCUCACCAAUUAAGGCUUUAAAACAAUUUUAAAAUAUAAAAGAGGGUUGGGGUGUUUCAACAUUUGUACCACGUGGCAAAAAAAAAACCUAAAUCUUCUAUACAAAAAAACUAAAAAAACCAAAAAAAGCAAAAUCGAACACUCCACCCCGCAAAAAUCCUAGCAUCUUCCUUUUAUUCCCCACAACCCCAAAUUCCCCCCCAAAACCCCUAAAACCCAAACCCUAAUUCCUCCCCCACAUGAAGAAAAUCCCAGUCCAAUUCAAUCCCAAUUACCUCAAAUCCCACCAUAGAAACCCUAAAUUUUGGUUCCUCAAUCCCUAGAUUUCCCACGCCUCUGUUGCCUACACCUUAUCAAUCUUUAGCUUUCUCCCUCAUCCCCUCCAUGAACGACACUUUCUCUCAUCCGCUGUUCCCCAGCAACGGCACCGAUACCUACGAGGCCUGGUACGGCAACAUCCAGUACCUUCUCAACAUCUCCGCCAUCGGCUCAUUCUUAUGUGUCUUCUUUUUCACCUUGGUCAAGCUUUGAAGCGAUCGCCGCCGCAUGCCCGGCUCGUCCUCCCUCGUUGCUAAGCUCUUCGCAGUGUGGUAUGCUACCUGUCGAGAGAUUAUGCUCCCAUGUGGCGCUGAGGCCAUAAUACUCACGCACCCAUCUACACACCCACACCACCACUACCGUGGACUCUCUCUCACUCUCCCUCGUCUUUGUAGAGCUAGGUGAAGCCUAGAAACCGAGAACUAGCUCCAGCAAACCCCGUGAGUUUCGAGCCAGAUCCCUGCCGACUCCGACCAUCCCAUGACCAAUCUAAGGUACAAAACAUUUCCCCUUGACUCUAUGCUCUUUUUCGUAUGUAGAUCGUAGGGAAAAGCCCACAGAAUGAGAGAGAAUAGUGACCUGAGAGAGUCCACGGUGAUGGUGGUGUGUAGAUGAGUGCGUGCGUGGGUGUACUGUCGGGGAUAGAGUCUGAGAGAGAUAGAGAGUGAAAGAGUCUGAGAGAAGAGUGACUUGCGAGAGUGAGAGAUUCGAGAGAGACUCGGGAAAAGAUUUAUGGGUUUGGGUUUUUCUGGUUUUUUAUUUUUAUAAUAAUAGGGUUAAUAUUAUAAUAUUUUUAAUGUAUAAAAAUUUCUUUUUUGCCACGUGGCAGCCACAUCAGCACAAAUGUGGUAGUUGUAGAUGCAAAUUUCUUCCUCUUGAUCUUGGACAAUUUUGCACCUACAAAACAAUUAACACCUUAGGUUAAGGCCAAAAGCCUCACACACCCACAAUGAAUGGGGGGCUUUGGCCGAAGAACCUCUGUUGCCAAAGUUAGAAUUUAGAGAGAAAGAGUCUUUACAGAAUUUUGGGAUUUUUGCCAAAGUGUUGGAAUGGCUUUCUGGUGAGAACGGGAUCACUUUUAUAAGGAUAGGAAGUGGUCGGCCUAGCUAGGGUUUUUGGGUUUAAUUUAGGUUUAAUUCUUCAAUUUAUUUGGCUAAUUAAACCCUAAAGAAUAAAUUGGUGGUUACAAAAUUGAUUAUUUGUAUAAAUGGGGUAAUAAAAUGGAGAAAAGUGAAAAAGGUUAGGAAAAGGGAGGUAGCUAGCUUCUUAGUAGUUUUAGGUGUGAGUGGGUGUUUUAAUUGAUAAUUAAGGGAUUGAUUAGGUAAUUAAUCCCUUAAUUAAACAAUUUUUAGGGAAUAUGAAAGGAAAUUAUUAUUUAGCUAAUUGAUUAGCUAAAUAAUGGAAUACAAAAUAUAUAGAAUAAAUUAGGCUUUAGGUAUUACCUUAUAGAAAUGAUUUGAUGAAAUAGGCUUUAAAUUGUUAACUAUUUUGGGCACUUUUGACUUGGUUGAGGAUGAUUGUCUGCCGCUCGCACGUAGGAAUCUCGAUAUGCCUUAAGGGUAUUUUUGUCCUCUUUUACCCAAAAAUCCACGUGUCGCCUUGUGAUUAUUUUUGGCUCCACAAAUGCCCCCACACCUGUUGGGCUGCUCGCAGAAAAUGGCAGCAGGUGUAGAGAUCAUCUUGCUUUAGGAAACGUAGGACUACUUCCUCUUUAGAUGUAGAUUCUCUCUUUAAUAGGAAAUUAGGUUCUUCUAGGAAAGGGAAAUAAAUUUCUGUUAAAGCCUAUUUAAGUCUACCUUAAGUGGGUUAUUAAAUCAACUUUGGAGAGCGAUUUCUUAUACCCUACAAGAGAGAGGGAGCUUAGAGAAUAUUUGUUCCCCCUCUUCUAGCAAUCUUCUACAUCUUUCCCGUGCAAAGGAUCGUCUUUCGUUGAUUUCUUCGUCUUCUCCGUGCCGCACCGAUGUAAGAAAAAUUUAAUUUUUUGCUUAUCUUCUUCUUGGAUAGUACUAUUACAGGGCAACCGUUAAGGUAGUGCGGCACGUCUACUGGCAGGGGCUAGGAGUUGGCUCGGCAUCGGUCGAUGAGGCAUUAUGGCAGGGGCCACUGCUUAGGCUGUUUGGCUUGGCUAGAGCCAAUGGCAGCUUGUGCGGCUGGGGUCGCGGAUUGUGGCGUUGGGGCGCAAUGCUAGGCGAGCCACAUGGUUAAUGUCCUUUAGGCUCUUAGACCUUACUCGGGCCAGGCUAGCGACUGAAAGAAAUGAGGAGGUCGUGGGCCUCAUGGGUUGUUGGAAUGUUGGGCAUGCAGGCCUCCUGUCUGCUAGAAUGCUAGGUUGAGCUCCUCUGCUGAGUACCGUGAAUGGCGUUGGCUGCUUAGUUCUUUUUACAGAGAGAAAGGUGGGCUGCUCCCGAAAGAGGAAGUAAAGAGGAUCAAGGUGGAUGCAUUGGCUCGUCUAAUCGCUGUCGUGGAACCUCCUAUGAAUGAAGAUGGAAAUAAGAGAUCUUCCCUGCCUACUCAAGAGAUGCCGAUCGAGAAAAAUUGAAGACUUUCUCCACUGCUGCUCAUGAUGAUUUGUCUGCUGUCGAUAGGCCUGUGAUUGGCAUGACUUCUUCCAAUGGGAAGAAAAAUGAGGCUGCUAGAUCUGAUCAUGUGGUGCCUUCCAUGUUGAGAAUUGCUAGUACAAUUGUUGAUAAGAUUGCUUAGCGCAAAGGUUUUAUCAUGCCCCCAGUACCGAAGUCUGUACCAGGACUUUCGUUUGGAGCAAAGUCUGGUUCACCUUUGGAGAUACUUGCUAUUAUGAAAAGUGGUAAGGUGGACUCUGCUGCUAAAGUGGCGUCAAGGCCCACUCCCUUUGUUGCUGAGACUGAUUCGCCUGCUAGGAAGGAAGAUACUACUUGUAUGGGCAGCUGUGAGAAAUCCACUAAACUUGCUUCUGGGGAGGCUGCUGAGAUCAUUGUGCUUUUGAAACUAUAUCUGCUUGAAGACAUGGACGCUUGUGCCAAGUUUGUUGAUGGCGGUAGAAAGGUUGUUUACCUAAGUUCCUUUGCGAAACAUACGACCCAAUAUAAAAUGACUGCUCUGCUUACUAGGAUGCAUAAAUAGCAAGGUUGUCAAGGAGGUGGCGAAGAUUAUGGCAGCUAAAGCUUAUUCCUCAGUCGAGGAGAUCAAAAGGUUGAAUUAUGAGCUUGUUGCUUUGAAAGAAAUGGAAGAACUGCAACACGUUCGUGUUAGUCUGUUUGAGAAGAAUGAGCAGCUAAACGGUAAGAAUGAUGGGCUUGAGGUUUCUCUAUUUUUCCGGAAGACUUGCUUACUUUUACUUUUGAGGCUUCCAUUGGUGAAGUAGUUGGAGACGUUAGUGCCCAGGCUUAGGCAACCGGGGGUGAAGCACCGGAUGAUGCCGCUGCUAAGAACGUUACGGCUGCUGAAGGUGUGGAGACCAAGUAGUCGUGGGAUGUCCAAGCUGCUGUAGUGUAGUAUUUUAGGUAGCUUUUAUGAUUUUCUUUGUUUUUCCUUGUAGCUCUUGUUUUGCUUGAACUUCUUCGGCCUUUGCUAGUUGUAUAAACAUGUUUUCCUUCGCUUUUCUUCAUCUUCGCUUCUUUUGUUCAUGCCCUAACCUUUAGACUUGAUAGACCAAUGGCAGGCAUGCUACUUUUUUAUAAGCAGACAAGCUCGCGUAGCCUAUGCAGCCGUAAAUGUUGGUGUAGAACUUUGCAAAGUUGUUAGCCAUUAGGUUGGUAACCAGAUACCUUACUUACAGAAGUAGACAAGUCCGCAUAACCACUAGGCUAUUAACCUUGACUUUCUCCAAUUCUGUAGGUUGCGUAGCAAGUAUCACAACACUUUAGGAAUUGGUAUAGGUUGCUCCGCACUUGGCAGAGGUGAAGCCUAUCGACUACGUAGCAUGUCGGCAGUGGAUAAAACUUCCAUAUAUGCGCGCUAGCUUGUUUAACCUUUCACAAGAAUGUGCGGUUGUAUAAGUCUAGCACGGUUUUACUGCUUGAAGGGCAAGCCGUAGGCAGUCUUCCGGAAUCCGUAGGCUACCUUAAUGUACUCGGUAGCAGCUUUAGGGUUCCAGGGCAGCCGUCUAUAGAGCGUACUGCGUAAUGUGCCCCAUCCGUCUCUAGCUCCCGGUUCCCCACAGAUUAGACCAAGAGACCCAAAAUCCUUCAGUUAGUUAAGCCUUGAAAAAGACCAUUGUGGCUACUUCUAGGAAUCCCGGCUCAAGCCAUCGUACAUCUAGUUAUACUAGGGUAGCCAGGCUCAUCAGCGUCUGGAUAUUCGGAGUGUAAAGUUUAUCCUCCCGUCUUAGAGAGCUGACCCAUAUGAGUGUCGGGGAAUUGGUUUACCCUCUCACACUAGAGAGUAAUUAAUUUACCCUCUCGCACUGGAGAGCAAUUAGUUUACCCUCUCGCACUGGAGAGCAUGGUUGGUCCAUCGGGGGGCGCAAUUCCUGCGAUGAGUCCCUAAGAAGGGCGCAGUCUUCUUUUGAAGUGCAGGAAUGAUUAGUUGUUAUAAGCAUGUGAUCGAGUCAAGUUGUGAUUACUUCUAAAUUCCUCAUUGAAAAACGAGUGAAACGAACGAGAACUUAGCCGUAAGGUAGGAACUGCAUAACAACUGGAUAGUCCUCAACUUGUGUGGUGGUACCCAUCGAGCUUCUUGAGUCUUCGGGCUUUGAUGUAGUGGGAGGUUACACAUGGCACCUUUUCAGAUUGUAGGCGCUCUACUGCUUUUCGAACUUUUUUUUUGUUGUGUAAUUGCUCUUGCUGCCUACUCGGCUAAUCUUAUACAGACUUUCUCGGAUGAGAUUCAUCUUUUUGGAGCUUCUCUGCUGGCAGUGAUGAAGGCUUUUCUUAGGACUAGAUCUCUGGGCUGGAACUGCCAGAUUUUGGCCUUUUUGUUGUGGCUGGAAAAGAACCACUGCUGGUAAGUUGUAAUGCAGAUGAUAGUCUGCUCGCACUUCUCCUCUGCCAAAUUUAAGCUUGUGGCCAUCUCCUUUCGGUUGCUCGUCUUUUGGUGUUGCGAUGUGCCCAUAGACAUCCAGGGAGUUUGUCUGGCCAUUUUCUUUUCUUAUUGGUAGGGGAUUUCUUGUGGCAGUCGAGGAUCAUCUUAGUGGAUGUUUUGGCCAGCCUAUUGCCUUGAGGAUAUCUUGGCGUAGACAUGUGCUGCUUGAUGCCAUAUUUUUAGAAGAAUUUCGCCAAAUCUUUGCCCACGAAUUACGGGCCGUUGUUGGUGACGAUGGAUUAAGGUAUGCCAAAUCGGCAAAUGAUGCUCUUUCAUAUGAAGCGCUCUAUGUCCGUUUGAAUUGUGAUCGUCAUGGGCUCUGCUUCUACCUAUUUGGUGAAAUAGUUGGUUGCCACGAUCAUCAUGCAUUUGCCCUUAGUAGUCUGGCUGGUGAUUAGCUGGGAAUCAGAAUGAAUUGAAAGCUUUUUCACCACCAAGUCUUUUGUCACUCGAAGGCCUGCUAGUGGGGCUUUGUACUCUGCUUCGUUGUUAGGUGCUUUGACGCUUAGAGUGAUCGCUUACUCGAGCAUUGAACCGUCUGGGGUGGCAAGAACCACGGUUACUUAUAAGCCUUUGUAGUUGGAUGCGCCGUCGACAUGCAAAUGCCAGAAAUUUCCAUUGAGGGAGUAGGUAUGGCUAAAGUGUGCUCGGCUACCUUCGAAGCGUCGUUGGGCCGCUUUGUUACAUUGUCAAGGCUAGGUUUGAAGGCGCGGUAGAGAGUCGUGGAGCUGGGGCCAUGUUACAUGUAGCAGGAGAUGCUCAACUUCCGGUAUUAGGCCACUCUAGAGCUGAAUAAUGGAGCAAAGGUCGGCUAGGGUCGUAUGACGCGCAGCAGAAGGUAGUGCUCGACUGCUAGUACAUGUUGCUCUUACGUAGAAUCUUCUGAGGCGACGAGGACAAAACUUGCUUUUAAGUGUUCCUUCUAGUGUUCGUCUGCCCUUGGCGUGUCUUUUGGGCUGAGUUGUUGCGUUCGUCAGAAAACUUUGCAUCUGCCAGGGUUUACGUCUUUAUCAUCACGGGUUUGGAUUAGGCGGAAUAGUGCGUCAUGAUGAUGACUGCGUACAUUUGAAGGUAAAACUUAAGCUUUUGGGUUACAACAACUAUCACCAAAGUUAGCUUUUGAAUUUUUAAUAGCAUCGAGGAGAGCUUUUGAACUAUAAAAUACAUGUAGUUGGGCCCCCAACUCUUCUCGCAUGACGGUACAGCUUAUUUCUACUUUAGAUACCGUCAAACAUGCGAAUAAGUCCUCUGCUGCUUCUAGGGAGGUGAUGUUGGGUACUUCUUCAAGCCCUUGAAUGUGCAUUGGCGAGCCUCAUCCCAAAGUGCAUGCUUCUCUGCCAAAGAAAAAGAGUCUACCAGAGUUAGAUAUUCUUUCAUGAUCAAUUUUCUAAAUAGCGGUGGUCUGCUGGAAGGCCUUUUUGGAAGGCUGCUCUAGCUAUUGAGUCGCUGCAUCCGACUAUCAUUGCCUUCUCUGUUUUGAAUCUCUUCACAUAGUCACGAAGUGACUCCUUUGGGUUCUUUUUUACGUCAAACAAAUGGUCGGACUUCUUUUUGAUCGAGCAAUAAGAUGAAUAUUCUUUGGUGAAAACCAAAGAAAGUUCGUAGAAAUUCUAGAUAGAUUGUGGCGGCAGGGUGUAGAACCAAUCUUGUGCCUCGCCUUCAUAGUGGUGGCGAAUAUCUUGCACAUGAGAUCAUCGUUGUUUCGAUAAAGGAUCAUUGUGCUUCGGUAGCGCUUUAAGUGUCUCUUCGGGUCUUCAUCCCCUUUGAAAGAUAUGAAAUGUUGCAUACUGAACUCGCAUGGAGGCUCUGCCAGCUCGAUCUCAUCCGUGAAGGGUGACCUGCUUAUGUUGGUCAUGUUCCGUCGUAGUGCCUCGUCGGUGACCUUGUUGCGUUAGAAAUCAUGCAAUCGCUUGAUUAAAAGUCUCUCUACUUCUUCCUGAAUUUUCAUUUGUUAGGGUAGCAGAGCUCUCGGCUGCCCCUAGCCAUAACUUACUGGUCUAGGAUGCUCUUCCAUGUGUUUGGCUCGUAUACCGUGGAUGCAGUGUAUGUGGUGCGGUCCUAGUAGGUGAGCGAGUUCUUCGCAGGCUGCUAGUUGAACUUGAGCUGGAUUGAGUGACUACUUCUCUCCGUCCGUCGUGCUGCCUACUCCAAUGUGAGGUGAAAGAUGCUCCUUGCAGGCUUAGCCACGAAUGAACACUUUACCUGGAAGGUUGCUCAUGUUGACUAUCAGAGUAUGACCCUAACCGUGAAUGUAUAUUCACCCGUGGGCUUAGUCGAGAGUGCACGCUCCUCCGCGCGCUAAGACGAGAGUAUACGUUAUCUCGGGAGCCCAAUUGGGAGUGUACACUGCCCGAACGCUCGGCUCGUGGCUGGUCGAGUGGCUGCUUGCCGAAACGCUGCGGGAAAGGUUCGUCUGCCCUUGUCCUACUUCGGGAUACCUUGUUUGGGGCACGUUGGAUUCUGGUGCAUUGCAAAAGUUGAUUCACCAAGGUUGUCUGUUGUGCAAGGGUGCUCGUAAACGCUACGACUUGUCGAGACAAGUGUUGUUCGUCAUUUGGAUUGGAAUAGCUUGGAAGGAAUGUGCCUUCUUGGGCAGUGGAAGGGUGGUAGACUCCGGGCUCGAGAUUUGAGUUGGGAAAUGUCAAAUCUACGAAAAAAUGUGGUGAGAAUGCCCCCGGCUCGAUGGUAGGUCCGGAUGGUUGAGAUAGUCUUGGGCCGACUUGGGCUGCUUGGAAAGCCACGGGAGCAGGCUGGGCCACGAGAGUGAGCUGCUCGGCAGGAGUAGGCUGGGCUACGAGAGUGGGCUGCUCGGCAGGAGCAAACUGCUUGGAGUGUGAUGCACAUGGGUGCGAGGCUUGGGCUCGGCUUGGUAACACAUUGAGUUCGGGUUUGGCUUGGAGUGACAUGACUUGGGCCGUGGCCUUGGUGUCGUGAGCCUUGGAUGGCACGGCUCGGGCAGUGGUAGCUGUGCCAUGGACCUCGCCGCGGGUAGUGGUGACCGUGAUGGCCACCGCGGUGGUUGCCAUGGUGGAGCCCCGUAGUGAUGGUGCCGCUCCUAUGAUCACAUUUAGCCUCGUGGAUCGUCGUGGUCCCAUUUCUUGAAUAUUAGAAUUUUCACUUAUGGAAUUUUCUAAAUUUCUAGCCAUUAUAUUUUUCUUAUACGUUUUAUCAAAGAACCUUUGCAAAUAAAAAAUUCUAAUAAUAAGAACGUAUGAAAAAAUAUUCAAAUGGACUAGAAAAUAGAGAAAAACCUUUUUAUGCGAGAGUCUUCUACGAGUAUAGAUCUCAACUCUCAAUGAAAGCACCAAUUUGUGGAUGCAAAUUUCUUCCUCCUUGAUCCUAGACAAUUUUGCACCUACAAAACAAUUAACACCUUAGGUUAAGGCCAAGAGCCUCACACGCCCACGAUGAAUGGGGGGGCUUUGGCCGAAGAACCUCUGAUGCCAAAGUUAGAAUUUAGAGAGAUAGAGUGUUCAGAGAAUUUUGAGAUUUUUGCCAAAGUGUUGGAAUGGAUUUUUGGUGAGAAUGGGAUCACUUUUAUAGGGAUAGGAAGUGGCCGGCCUAGCUAGGGUUUUUGGGUUUAAUUUAGGUUUAAUUAGUCAAUUUAUUUGGCUAAUUAAACCCUAAAGAAUAAAUUGGUGGUUACAAAAUUGAUUAUUUGUAUAAAUGGGGUAAUAAAAUGGAGAAAGGUGAAAAAGGUUAGGAAAAGGGAGGUGGCCGGCUUCUUAGUGGUUUUAGGUGUGAGUGGGUGUUUUAAUUGAUAAUUAAGGGAUUCAUUAGGUAAUUAAUCAAUUUUUAGGGAAUAUGAAAGGAAAAUAUUAUUUAGCUAAUUGAUUAGCUAAAUAAUGGAAUACAAAAUAUAUAGAACAAAUUAGGUAUUAGGAAUUACCUUAUAGAAAGGAUUUGAUGAAAUAAGCUUUAAAUUGUUACCUAUUUUGGGCACUUUUGACUUGGUUGAGGAUGAUUGUCUGCCGCUCACGCGUAGGAAUCUCGAUAUGCCUCAAGGGUAUUUUUGUUCUCUUUUACCCAAAAAUCCACGUGUCGCCUUGUGAUUAUUUUGGCUCCACAACAACCACGUCAGCAUUUAACAGACCAAUGGAUGGAAAAUCUAACGGAGGUAUUAUUUUGAAAUAAAAUAACAAGUGAGGUAUGAAAGUGAAAUGUUUUAAAGAUGUUGUAUGGGGUUGUAAUAGACCUCAAACUUGAGGGUCCUAUGUAAUUUACCUAUUUUUAUGUUAAUUAUGAAUAGGUCAAUCAUGUAGAACCAAAUUAAAAGCUAACAUCAAUAACAACUACCAGAGACAAAAGCUCUAAUCAAUGCUUCGGAAACAUAGUCUUGUAUCUCUAGGUGUAAUGAUAUAAUUUGUUGGAAACUUAAAAGAAAAUUGGUGAUUUUGUAUAUAAUCGAUAAAAAGUUAUAAUAGUGACAAUAUAUCAGUAAUAUUUAUGUUAAUUAGGAAUAGGUCAAUCAUGUAUUUAAUACUUACAUGCAUUUAAAAUAAACACCUUAUCAAUGUUUUUUUAACUGUGCUCAGUUUUUCUCCUUCGCUUUGGUUUUGUUCUAUUGGAUUUUUCAACUAUCAUUAAUUGUGAACAUAACUGAUCAUUGAGACACAAACAUCCAAGGGAGAGUACCGUGGAACAAAAUGUGGAUAUCUUUAUACAUUGUAUGGUAGUAAACCAUCAUAAACACCAUAAUAAUGUAGAAACGCUCUUGGGGUACCUUUGGAUGAUAACUCAUGUAUUUGUUGCCCUACGUAAAGAUGGCUAAUGAUAAUGGAAGUCUAAUUUUCUCAUCCCAAUCUCUCCUGUCUCUCUUGUUCUCUUUUCUCUAUAGUUUAUUUCCAACAAGUUGUGUUAUUUUUUUUUUUUAGUAUUGUUAAGCAACCAAUAGAUUUUAAUUAGCAGUCUUUGUUUUUUUCUUUUAUAUUUUUAAUCAAUUUCAGUUGCUUAUCCGUUCUAGCAAAUUGAGCUCUUUUACAGCAAUUUUUUUCUUUAAAUGAAAUUAUUAUUAUUAAAAGAGUGAGAAAAUUCGAAAUUAUUACAACAAUUUAAAAAAAAGAAGUUUCGAAUCAUAAACACAGAGGGAGUUUACAACAUUUUAAUUAAGAAAUUAGGCUUCAGCUCAACUCAUCUUUGCAACGUCGGUUCCACUUCACAUCAACAUGCAAUGUUUCAGAAGGUCACGCGGUUUUGGGGUUGUUGUGUACCAAUAAUAUUAUAUAUAUAUAAAUUAGGAUUGAAGGAUACACGCAUUUUGUAGAGCUUAUUUUGUUAUGUAUUUUAAUGAUUUAAAUGCUUACGUUUUUCUUCACUACAAAUGAGUGAAUUAAUGAUUUUAGAAUUUGUCUAAUUUUUUACAUUGAUUAUUUAUGAAUAUUGAAUUGAAAUAUAGACGAUUCAAAAAUCGUUGAUAUACAUUACAAAAUGAACUCCACAAAAUAAGCGUCAAAAUAUGUAUAUAAAAUGGACAGCGUGAAAGGCUUGGAAAUUGGAAUAGGUUUGAAAAUUGUGCUUUUUGUAGCAAAUUGUAGCAAAGUUUGCUUGGACUUUCACAACCGUAUAAAUUAUGCCGCAGCACUCUCUAUUUUCUCUCUCGCUCUAUAUCGUGGUCCCUCUCUCUCGCCGUCCUCGAUUGCUCGAACUCACUAUCCUUUAUUGCUCGAACUCACCGUCCUCAAUUGCUCGAACCCACUGUCCUUUAUUGCUCGAACUCACUGUCUCCAACUUCCUCUGUUUGGUUCCCGAUGAAGAUGGUAAAACAGUAGGGGCAAGAAAUUAUGACAAUGUUAGAUUUGCAUAUUAAUCUGGUAGGGCUACAAUUCUCCAAUCCACACCCCUUCCAUCUAUGCUAGUGUUUGUACCCAAUAUUAGAUAUCCGGUCUGUGCAAUCGAGAUCGUUGAAUGAGAAAAAUUCUAAGCCGUGGGAUCAAAUAUAAUGAUGUGGAUUAAAUAAGAAAAAUUUAAAUGUUUAUCUUGGUUGAAUUACCAUGAUAAUAUUGUGGAAUUAUCUUCUGCAUAACGGGAUAGCGAGAAAAGUCCAAGGGUGUAGGGAAGUUGUGUGGCUGACUACCGCUUUUUUUUAUGGUGUCAUUAGUAGAGUAAUAUCACACUUAACAUUUAUUUGUACCAUCUCUCUAAUAAAGAUAAAGACCAUCAAUGCAUAAAUAAUGAUACAAAUAUAUAAUAAGAGUAUCAUAUUUGUAACUAGAAUAGGAGAAGAAAGACUUCAAGAUGGGGUCAGCCAAAUAAUUAGCGUCAGGAUAAAAAUAUGAGUAAUGAUAUUUGUAAACAUCGAAAUUUCGGUAAAUAAAUGUUGACCGAUAAAUCAAAGUUUCAACGCUCAUGUAUUACAUAAAUUUUACACGUAGCGUAUGUCUAAACAAAAAAUCGAAAUAAGUUGGAAAAGUCAUCAAACAGGACACAUGUCAACACCUGGCAGAAACGACUUAUUUCAUCUGGAAUAUUAUAUUCAAAAUUAGGCAUUGGAAAAUUCUAUAAAUAGAAGCCAAUUUCAUUCAUUUGAAGGAACCAAAAUCAUUAGGCAAAAUUCUUGAAGCUCUGAAGCUCUGAAACUCCGAAACUCUCAAGCAUCCAGGUUCCCGAAGAAUCAAGAAAGCUCUCUUCGUUCUUCGUUCUUCGUUCAUCGUUCAUCCUAAGAUCAAGCUCCAACGGCCCUUUAGAUCAACAAUCAUCCACUAAUUCAAGAUCAAGCCCCGACGGCCCUUGAAGAAAGUGUUCUUCAUUCUUCGUUCAUCGUUCUUCCAAGAUCAAGCCCCAACGGCCCUUUGGAUUAACAAUCAUCCACCAAUUCAAGAUCAAGCCCCAACGGCCCUUGAAGAAAGUGUUCUUCGUUCUUCGUUCAUCGUUCUUCCAAGAUCAAGCCCCAACGGCCCUUUGGAUUAACAAUCAUCCACCAAUUCAAGAUCAAGCCCCAACGGCCCUUGAAGAAAGUGUUCUUCGUUCUUCGUUCAUCGUUCUUCCAAGAUCAAGCCCCGACGGCCCUUGGAUCAACAAUCCACCAAUUCAAGAUCAAGCCCCAAAGACCCUUGAAGAACUUCUACCAAUUCAAGAUCAAGCCCUGACGGCCCUUGAAGAAAGUGUUCAUUGUUCAUCAUCCGUUCAUCCCGAAGAAUCAAGAAAGCCUUAUUCGUUCUUCGUUCAUCGUUCUUCCAAGAUCAAGCCCCGACGGCCCUUGGGUCAACAUCAUCAACAAAUCCACACAUCCAACCGUUCUUCAAGAUCAAGCCCAAAAGCCCUUGAAGAUCCGUUCAUCACCGUUAUUCAAGAUCAAGCCUUAACGGCCCUUGAAGAAACACUCAUCCUCAAGAUCAAGCCCCAACGGCUCCUUGAAGAUCCGCUCAAAUCCACCUUCAAAGAUCAAGCCCACGGCCCCUUGAAGAAACAUCCAACAGUUCAUCCAAGAUCAAGCCUCGACGGCCCUUGGAUCAACGAAACAUCUACAAAUCAACACCUUACGGAGAUCGAAUCAGAUGAUCAAAUUAGAGAGAGAUUGUAACCCUAAAUCAUCAAAAUACAAAUAUUAUUUUGUGCACGUUGUUCUUAUCUCUUUCGUUUCAGGAAAUUUUCGUGUUCACAAUAUUCUUACCAUCUAAAUAUACUAUAAUUUUAUACCAUCUUAUGUGGCAAUUGAGAUGGACUUCCACAUAAGUUUUAAAAAAAUCUCAUGUCAGCUAAGGUGGAUAUUUACGAUUUUACGAUUUUACUCAAUGAUUUUUAUUAAUAAAAUAAUUAAAAAAUAAUAAUGAAACCUACUUGCUCCCGUUUUCAAGCCUCAUCGCUGGGCCUCCUCCCUCUUCGCUCUCCAAUUUCACCUUCCUUCACCAACGAUCGAUGGUGCUCGACCCCCUUCAUCAUUGCCAACUGGCCGAAUAUCUUGAUGGUGCUCCCAGUGAUUGUUUUGCUCUGCCACCAAAUCAAGUUUGCAAUUUUAAUGGUUUAUGCCUUCUGGCCAAGUGUUGGAUUUGAUAGGUUUUUAAUUCCAGCAACAUUGAACAAAAAUAUGAAAAGGAUUGGAUACGAUAUUUUCCUCUGUUCUACUGCUGAGGAUUUUCCGAAUAGAAGAAGAUUUGGAAGACAACCUCUUUUCUUUUUUCUUCAUGGACUUUUGGUUAGCACCAAAAUCUUUUCCUAAUCCUCUAUAGGAAUGAAAAUUUCAUUCCAUGUUAUAUCCCGAUGUUGUCCAAGGUUUUGGCUUGAAUUUUCAUUGGAAUUAUCAUAUGUUGGAUCAGAUCAGGUGGAGAGAUGAAACGUAUCUAACAAGGAAGUUGAACGGGUAGGGUUUGAGCAAAAAUAAACAGAAAUUCCACCUAGGUUGACACCUAAGCUUCCACAUCAUGUGGUAUACUAAAUGUGGUAUAAUAAGAUGGUAAGAAUAGCAUUAUUGAAUGGGUAAUGUUAAGAGAAAUUUUUAGUUGUGACGGGAACACGGAUGGUACACCAUGCGUUUUUAUGUAAAUGGUGGAAAAUUUUAAUUUUUAAAUUAUUAACCUUUUAGCACACAUAUCCCACCAUUUAUAUGAAAACACGUGAUGUAUCACCUCGUGUGAUAGUCACAUUGAAAAAUCUCUCGUAAUGUUAGGAAAACUAAAUUUAUAAACAAAAGUUACAAAUUAAAUGAUGGGUUACCAAUAAGAAUGAUUACGUUUAUCAAUGCUUAAAUAAUAAAUCAUUCAUCAACUUCCAGUCCUUUAGUUUUUAAAAUUUUGUCUAACAUUACCCUUUCAAAACUCAUGAAAAUAAUUUUCAAUUUUUUUAACUGAAAAGUGAAAGUUACUAAACAAGAUUUCAGUUUUUAGCUUUCAAAAAAAUAAAAACAAAAGCUAAAAAUAAAAUGGUUAUCAAACAUCCCUAGAAGUCAUUCUUAGUGAUAGUAAGGUCAUCUCCAACCGAAAGAUCCAGGGGGCUAGAGGGCCGAAAAUAGUCUGAAAACCAUUUCCAAUCAAAGGCCAUGCCAAAGGGGUCGUGGACCCCAUUAGACAAAAAAGGGCCAAAGGGCCAACUGGCUGGCCCCAGUUCCAACAAUAACUAGAUGACGUCAGUUAACCGUUAUUUUUGAAUUUUUUUUUUAACAAAUUUUAACUUUCUAAGCCAUUAAACAACAUUAAAUUAAGUAAAAAAGAAAAUUCCUAUAACUUCCUAAGUCAUUAAACAAUAUUAAAUUAAGUAACAUGAAACAACAUUAAACAAUAUUAAACAAAAUUAAACAAUAUUAAACAACAUUAAAUAACAUUUAACAACAUAAAAAUUAUACAACAUAAAAAAAAACAUUUAAGAACAUAAAAUUUAAAUGCCUACUUCAUGCUUCUUUUGGCCCAAAGAUGUGCAACAAGAUCCUAAUGUAGGUACUUGUUUGUGGCACGAGAGCGUAUCAUCCUAACCGUUAGAUUUGAUUUUUUUUUGUUUUCGGCCAAAUUUUUUUAAAUUUAAAAAUAAAUUAUGUUUGACCUUUUGGCCCUCGAUUGGAGAUAGUUUUUUUUGUGACAUGACUAUGUUUAGCCCUAUGACCCUUUGGCCCUCAGUUAGAGAUGGUAAGAAAUAUGACCCAACAAUGUUCAUUAAAAUAUUAAUUUCUUGAAGAGCCAGAGGGCUAAAACGAGCCAUCCUUCGGUUGGAGAUGGCCUAAGAAGAGACUAGAGAUAGAGAGAUUCCUAUACUUAGCUGUGAGAGUUUCCUAUAUAUGAUUUUCAUUAACAAGAUUGAACUGAUUACAUAGAGAAGAAGAUCAAGUAUGGUUAUUUUUAUUUGGGAGACUUUGGAUGUGGUCCUUAGUUAUGAAUAUUAUUUGAUUGAAAUCUUGUUGGUUUUUAAUUUUUUAUCAAGAUCCCUGAAAUUAAUGUGAUAAUUUAUUUCUAUGUAAGUUACUAUAUUUUUUUAAUUAGAAAUUAGAAAUUUUAGUUGUUUAUAUAAAUGAGAUUUUAAAUUAAAAAAACCAUAAUUUGUGGGAUUAAAAAUAUUAAAAUAUAAAUAUACUAUUGUGUGUGUGUGUGUGUGUGUGUGUGUAUAAAUAUGGGUACAUUCAUCAAAAUUAACCAAAAAAUUUAUUGUAUCAAAACAUGGGUACAUUCUUCAAAAUCACAAAAAAAGAAAGAUAUUAGGCUUAAUAACAUUAGUAAAUUUCUUCGAUUAAACUUGACAUGGAUACAUUUUAAAAUCAAAGAAAAAAAAUGUACCCAUAUAAGUUUAAAAAUGGAUUAGAAAAAAAAAUUGAAUAGAUUUUAUACAAAAAAAGGGUACGUUUUACAUAUAACAAAUUGGUAUAUUUAAGAAUGAGUACAUUUUAAGAUUAAAAAGUUUUACAUGAAUGGGUUCAUAUAAUUAGCAUGGGUACAUUUAGCAAAAUAAAAAGUACAAAUACAAAAAAAUAUAUGUGUACAAAUACAAAUAAACUUUAAAAAAUAUGGGCACAAAAAGAAAUUAAUAUAUGGGUACAAAUUAAAACCGAAAAGAAAAUUGGUACAAGUUAAAAAAGAAUUACAAAUUAAAAAUGGGUACAAACUAAAACUAAAAAUAUAUGAUAAAAAAUUUAGUCAUAAAUAUAAAUAUACUAAUUGUAACAUUUUUAACAUUAAAUGAAUAUAUUUAGACAUAAAAAAUAUAUUUUAUUAUUGAAAUAAUUAAUGAUGUUAUUAAUACCCAAGGACCUUGAUAAAAAAUUGAAAAGAAAUAGAAUUUUAAUCAAUGGAGUAGCAAAAGAAAAGAUGAGAACCUAAUUUCUCCUUUGUAUUGUGUAGACAUUAUAACUAUACAUUCAUAAUAACAUGAGUAAUGUUAUAUUUAUCACAUUUGUACUCUUUCUCCAAUAAAGAUAGGGUCCAUCAACACAUGUGGGUUCUAUUUGCCCAUCAACACAUGCGAAUCUCAUUUUUAUUAGAAAAAUAGUACAAAUAUGAUAUGGAAAUUAUGAUAAGAUCGCAAUUUUGUAAUAACAUAUAUACUCAACUAUUUAUAUACCAACUCAUCUCCCUUUAGUGUAGUUAAUAUUGUUUGUUCAACCAAAAAAAAAAAAACUGAACUUGUCAUAAUCAUUGAAUCCAUUUACCAUGAACAAACGGCAGUUUACUAAACUUGCCCUCAGAGUAUAUAUAAAAGGUGAAUCACAAUCUAUUGCAUUAAUAUAAGGAAACAAUUUAUAGGGUUUGACGGGUGACUUAAUAUGCUAUAUGGCACAAUGAAAAUUAAGUUCACACUUUAUCCCAAAUAAGGUGUUGCACCUUUAAUUUAUGGAUGCUGGUUUGACGUGUGACCGAAAUAAUCAAAUUGUAGCCAUUAAUCAUUUUACAAGUAAUAAUAUGUGGUUUUAUUGUUUACGAUUCACACAACAAUCUGCUAGGAAGUAGAAAAUGCAGUACUUGUCCCUCUCACAGAAGUCAUGAAUAAUUAUCAAAUUCAAAGAUAAAGAAAAACCACACAAUUUACAAGAGGAAAGAAAAUGAAGGGAUAAAGAAAGUAAGAAAGGAAUACCUCUAUGGGAGGACUCUUAUUUGCUUCAGAUGCCUACAAUAUUCAUCAUAUAAACACUGAUUAAGUAGUCAUCGAAAACCAAAACAAAUGUCGAACAUAGGGUGAAAAACAGAAAGAAUAACCGCAGCUCAUCAUACCAAUAGAGAUAGAACUGCCCGAUGCCCAAGUAUGACUGAAAAAUGGCAAUCCAAACAUGGCGCCUUCUAGCUCAUCAAACUGUCAAAACCUAGGUUCCACCAAAAAGAUACAAGUCACCUAGUUACUUGUAAAAUAAAAAUCUGUUUCAAAAUAGUGGAAAAUAUUAUUAACAUUGUUCAAAGUCCACAUUGUUGUACCUACCAAGAAACAAGAAGGAUUGUAUCUUAUCAUGAAAAAGAACAUAGGUACCUUUUCAAUUGUAAUUGUACAAAAAUGAGAGACCACUUCCGAACUUCUCUUGGAACUUCAAUCAAUUUCUGCCCACUUUUAAAUGCCUUGACAUACUUAAGCCUAUUUCUUUGAGCUUCAGUUUUGGCUUCUGAUGCCUUUAAAUUUCUUAAAGAUUCUUACCAAGUUUUACAAACUCACUUCUAUACAACCAUUUGUCAGUAUACAUACCAUUUUCUUUGAGCUUCAGUCUUUGCAACACCAAAACCCCCCAAAUAGACCCGGAAUUUUGCAAUGUGCAGGGAAUAUACAAAAAAAACCCUCCUAUCCAUCUAAAACGAAAUCAGAACGCAAACCACAAUCAAAAUCCGUAAAAUUAAUUUAGCCAACCCCUAAAUCUAAUAAUUCUAACAAAUAUUAUAGUAUCAAUUGAGAGAGAAUUUGAGAAGAUACCUAGAGAUGAAAGGAAGAGCGUUUCCUCUGAUAGGGGUUCCGUGAAAGCAUCUGUUGACCAGAAAAGAAAAGGCAAAAAACCCCAAAUUACAUAUCAAGCAAUUAUAGAUAGAUCGAACCUUGAAAAUUGAAAUUUCAAACAAGAGAAAGGUUAUAAACUUACAACGAUCUGGGUGUUGGUAACUGGGUUUGGAUUUGGGUUUCUGAUAAGAGAGAGAAUCGUAUGAGGAACCGAUAGAGGAACUGCACCGGCAACAGAGAGCAAUUGAUAUGGUGGAGAACAGACGAGAAUAGCUGCUUGGAUGGUCAAUCCAAGAAGAGAAAAUCUUGCCACAAUCGCGGUACUUGAAAAAAAAAAAAACAAGUUUAAAGGAGGGAAACAAUCGCGCCUUUUUCUAAUAGACUCUGUCGACGAUAUUCUUGACAAAUAGAUGCUUCGUCGGGUGAGCUUAUUUUUCACAACAUUUUAUUUAGGAUUGGGUUCGGUUGGUAAACCGUGUCAAAUUUCUUGUGCCACUUGCCAGCCACAUAUACAUAAUUACCGAAAAUCAGUUACCGUUAGCCAACCGUCUUCUUGCGGUUGCCAAAAAUCGGUUCAGCCAAAAUGAUUGGCUGGUUCGGUUGGUAAAUGGCACAACCGGUGGUUUCCACUUCUUCCUCGCUAUCUUCCAGUUCCAAGGGCUCAAUUUGAUUUUCAGAUUGGGAUGCUUGUUCGGUUGCAUUGUGUGGUUCAUUUUGGGUUAAUCCAUGUUGUGCACUAGUAGUUGAUUGGCUAGACUCCAUUAUCCUAAACAUAAGCAACAAAUAUACAUUCAAAAUAAUAUAUAUGUACGUGUAUAUAUAGUAUCAGUAAUCAUCAUGCUAUCAAUUUUGUUAACAAUAUUUUCUAUAUAUUGAUUUUGGCAUGAAUCAUAUACACAUACAUAUAUUUUUAAAACCCUAAAACUAAGGAGUCAUUUAUUUUCUAAACUCUAAAAUUGAGGAGUCAAGCAUGUAAAAAAAUACUUAAAAUAUCUAAAUAGAAAAAGAAAAAGAAAAAAAAAUAAAUAUAUAUAUAUAUCGGUAGGUAUGGCAUACCGCCGGCAUACAAAAUCAAUUACCAAAGCCAUGCCAUUAAUUGUCGGUUCGGUAAAAUGCCAACCGAUUAUGAAAAAAUGUCAAAACUAUACCAUACCAUUUUGAGCCAACCAGUAUGGUUUGGUCAGUAAAUCGGUUUAUGGCAAAAUUUCUCACCCCUAAUUUUAUUUGUCACCUUAAACCUAUUGGUUUCUAGCCUACAAUUCGGAUAUUUUGUUGGGGAAAGAUUUUUGUACCAAUAAAAUUUUGCUUUGUCGGCAAAAUGACAUUUUCUAGUAGUUAUAAUAUUAGGUAGAUCAAAUUUGUAAACUAUGUGAUGUGUCACUAAUAGGAAAAAAUUUCAGUGUGCUGAAAAUACGGUCUAGAACACCAAGUGUCAUAAUAUAUACUUGGUUGGAAAUCUUUUAUUUUCAAGUUUCCAACUAGUUGUAUUGUAACAGUUGGUGUUCCAAGCUAUUUUCUCCAUGCGCUGGAAAAUCUCUUCACUAAUUAAAAAUAAACAUAUUAAUUAACACUUAAGUAAUAAUCAAAGCAUCAACAACUACGUCAUAGAAUUUACGAAAUAUGAUCUUAAUUAAUGAUCUCCAUUACCCUUUAUCUUAGCGUAUACGUACGCCUUCACAUGUUUAUUUGCUGAUAUGCAGCUUGAGUAAAAAUUUCUUUUUAAGAACAUAUAUGUGAAUAUAAACAUAUAUAUCUAGUGAUCCAUGUUGCGUUAUUUAAAAAUAAACAAAUUAAUUAAUUAAUGAACUGUGUACCUGUCUGUGUAGAGUAAUCCAUAUGCAUGCUUGAAUCCUGAUCACCACGAAACCAUAAUAUAAGCUACUCAAGGCCCGGAAGCUAGGAUUGAAGAGAAAAACACCCAGUCAGAUUAAGCCAAUACAUCAAAGUUAAUACUUCCAAAUGUAAGCUUUAAGAUAGAAAAAUCACUUACUUCCUUGAGCAGUCGAGCUUCUUCAAUGGCAUGAAGCUUUUAGCAUGAGAUUGACUGCAUCACAACUAAAAUUUUCUCUUGGAAACUACAUAAGGAAUAGCAUGUAUACCUAUAACGUUGAGAAAGUACGCCAAUUUUUUCCUUCUGCACAUUCAUGUUUAAAAGUAAUCCUCAAAUGAACUUGCCCACAAUGAAAUGCAAUUUGAGGUAGUCGAGUGUGUUCCAUUUCCAUCCCAUCGGAAUUACUACUAAACUUUGAGAUGGUAGAGGAUUCAUGAAAUUUUUUACUUUUGAAAUAGUCUCCUUAGCAUUUCUCGACUAUAACAAUGAGGAAAUACUUCACCUUGUAUCAAACAAGGGAGACCGAAAAUCAACUACUAAUAGCAUCACAGAGCCAGCAGAAGAUUGAGGAGGCCAUGAAAAGGAAAGAGAAAAUACACUCUUUUUUUGUAAGGACAGAGAUAAUACAUUCAAUAAAGGGUACUGAUGUUUAUAUGCAAAGCUGAUUAGGUUUAAAUAGUCGUAUUUAUUCUGUACAGUGCCAAUAUUACCACCCGUUAGUACACUUUCAAGACACUGUAAUCCAGUGUAUGCACUAUGCAGUACGUAGUACUCCUCAUUUUUUUGGGGAAAUUCAUUAUUGGUCUUCAUAUCUUCUUUAUUUUCCUUGUCCUCAUUGUGCCACGUGUUUAAAUCACUAAUUAUAGGUAAUCUUUCAAUUUAAUUAAAUCUUAUGUAAAAAAAGAUAAUUAAAUAUCAUUUAGUAUUACAAUAUAGUGAUAUUCCUCUUUAGUAUAAAAUUUUUAUAAUUAAAAGCGUUCAGCUUUUUAAUCUUCAUUGGAAUAUUAUCUAUAAAGAAAAAUUAUUCGAAUCAGAGAUCAUUUAUGCAUUCAAAUGUAUAAAAUACAUCGACAGUGUGAGAACCAACUAAUAUAUUUUUGAUGAAGUACAAUUAUUGAAUACAUUUGAACGAUCAAAUGAUAUAUGAUUCAAAAUACAUAUUAAGAUAAUAAAUAUAAAAGAAUUGUUAUUUGCACUUCAAGAAUCUCAUUCUACACUCUAAAUUUUCUAUAUAUUAAAAGAAAAAUAAAUUUGUGAAAAGUGUAGAAUGAGGUUUUUUUAAAUGCUAAUAACACUUCUCUAAAUACAAUUAUGAAAUUAAUUAAGUAAAGAUACAUGACCUCGUGAAUGAUGAAUGUAUUAUUCAAAAAAAUAUUAAAAACAAAUUGAAAAAGGACGCUGUUGUUGCCACCACUUAUGCAAUGAUCGUCGCUGCCAUCACCAACCCCCAACACCCCAUUACAGCUCAUAAAAGCACAUCAUAAGCAAUUUAUGAAAUAAAUUUACUGGAAUACUAAUUUCCCCCUUAGUUUAGGUCACCAAUGUUUAAAUUUAGGGAUCGUGAUAUCCACACACAUUUUUUACUUCUUUCACACUUUUUUUUUCGGUUGUCGGAUCAGAUGAAUUGAAGAAAAUCAAUGAACAGAAAUUAACAAGGGGUGUGUGAGAAGUAAAAAUGAAUGUGUGGAUAACACACCCCUAAAUUUAUCACAACUUUCAUUCCAAAUUUAAUUUUUAUCCGUAGUUUUGUUUGUUCAAAUUUACUUUGACAUUUCCAUUAGUAUUAAAAUCUAAUUUAAAUUUUAGUGUUCAAGCUAGAAAAAGUGUUCCAUUUAAUAUUUAAUCUCAGUUUUUCUCUUUAUUCUUUUAUUGGGAUUUGGUUGCAUCGUAUCUCCAUUUUUCUCGGUGUUGUAUGUUCAUAAGGCCUGUGAAACGUUGGCACGGAGUGAAGGGUACUCACUUUUUGGCCCAAAAUGCAUAAGGCAUGUAGAUAUGUUAAUCAAAUUUUGUAAACUAAAGGAUAUAGAAGUUGAUAAUUAGAUUAUAAUUUAAGAUAAUACUAAGGAGACUAAAUUUGCAAACUAAAUGAUGUGUCACCAAUAAAAAUAAGCACGUUUAUCAACAAUUAAGUAAUAAAUCAAUCAUCAACUUUCAUGUCCUUUAGUUUCCAAGAUUUAAUAUACAAAUUUAGUCUCCCAAGCAUUACUCUAUUACUUAAGUAUUGAUUAACAGACUUAUUUCUUAUGGUGACACAUUAUUUAGUUUACAAUUUUAGUCUACCCAACAUUACUCUUUUGAAAUUGUCUUGUCCACUGAUAUAAUUCUAUUUUUCUUGUGAUCAAAACUUCAAAUGUUAGCAAGUCGCACGUAAAGUCGCUUAUGAGAGAAUGUGCUCACAUUGUAGUUGAAAGAUUAUGUGGCUAGCAACAUUACAAAUUUAAUUUGGUAUAAUUCUAAAAUAUAGAUUGAGGAAAAAAUGAUCACAUUAACUAGAAACUGAAAAGGUUUCAGCACAGUUUGUUCAAGCAAGAAAUUCAAUUUUGAUGCUACCGAUCUUAACAGCCUGAGCGCCGUACCUGGGCACCAAAGUCACCACCACACUCUCAUCAUCUUCAGCACCCAAAUCCUCCAACAGGUCCGUUAACCCCAACCUUAAACAACUCUUGCUCUUUUCCUUCUGCUUAUGUGGCACACUCACAAAACUCCCAGCAAACUCGCUCUUGUCGGGUCCACUCGGUGCCGCAUCCUCAUCGUCCACGUCAUUCACAUACACACAUCAAACUUCACAGCCACAUCUUUGUCAAGCUCAAUCCCCUGAAUCACCAAUAUCUCCUCCUCAUCCUCUUUCUCCUUCUUGCUCCUCUUCUUCGGCUUCGGCCUUGACACCACCGUACUUAUCUUCGUCUCCAAAUUUAUUGGAAAAUCUUUACCCGCCACCACCUUCCCUGAUGACGUCGUCUCAGUGGCCUUCGCCACUCCAGCCGCCUUUGCCUUUCUCGCAAGCUUUGUCCGACGUGGCGUCGGUCUAGACUUGAGCCAUGGAAUCUCAACAUCUUCAUACGUAUACCCUAGCUUUUUAUUAUCAAGAGUGUCCCUCACCGUGACCCUAACAAGCUCAGCAUUCUCGUCAUAAAACAAAAACCCCGUAUCCAACCAAUCCUUAUCGUUAAUAUCGUUAUUUUUAGUCCCUAUACUUUUCCAAAUAUUCCACAUUCGAUCUAUAUUCGAAUGGUGCGAAAAAAAUAUUGGAUCCCUUGCAGCGGAGUAAAAAUUCCCCAUGUCUUCAAAAUUAGGCUGCGUGUUAUCUCCGGUCCAUAAAUGAACCGGACCAUGUGGGGUCGUUUCGAUUGAACCGCCCCCUGGAUCUGGUUCAGUGUCAGCCCUGUAGGGCGAACCAAAGAACAACAGCGGUUUCUUGGAGUUGGAAACCAUCUGCCUAUACAUGAUUUUGAGGUUGGCGUCGAUUUGAGCAUCCUUGGACAUUGUUUCAUCCGUGCCGUUGAAGUCAAGAUCGAUGAGAGUCGGCGGCUGAUGGCUGGCAGCGCGGAGCUCGUCGUAAAGCGGAGAGUCCGGGUUAGCGAACAAGGCAGGGAGUUGCAUGCCAGCUGGCGCGUCCCAGUUCCAAAACGGCAACGCGAACGUCGGAUCGUCUAUGAGUUUGGCCAAGAUUCUUUCGUAGAAGUAUACGUAGUAACGAUGGAAGGGGAAGAAAAGCCAGCAUUGAUGGAUUUGGAGCUCGAGGUUGGGGAAGCCGACUUGGUCGUACGCGCCGUCGCAAUAGGCACAGUGGAGAUCGGCUUGCUGGGUGAAGCUACGCGGAUCGUCGUCCGGGAGGGCUUUCAUGAGCUCGAUGGCUUUUGAAUAUUUUUCGAUGUAGGCUUUAUCCACGGUGUGAGCUGCCGGCCUGACGCGGAGUUUGGUAGGGGAGGGGAAUUUGAAGUCUACGAUUUUUUGGGACGUUGGCGGGCAACAGUUGAUCGGGACUGCUCCACUUGGAAAGUCCGCAGCUCCGCAUUUGGCUAGGUCAGGCGGCAACACUGGCUUUGCAACAGCGAAGGGGUCGCUGCCAAGACCAGCCACUCCGGCUUUGCAACAGCGAAGGGGUCGCUGCCAAGACCAGCCACUCCACCGUAGAGGCUUCCGAGACCUAUAAGAAGAUAGAAUUCAGUUCUUGGCAGUAGAGGACUCUAUUGCAGGGAAAAACUGAUUUGAAUUAGGAAGGCUUAAGUAGUUUUCCAUAAGGAUUUUAAUAGGGAAUCCAUAUUCUAAUAUGAGAAGGAUAUGUGUGUACAUAUAUAUAUAUAUAUAUGGCAAUCUCUUCUCUCACAGGUGUGUGCUCUUUUGGAACUAAGCCCUAUUCUUAGUUUGAGUGAUAAAUACCCUGACAGAGAGAAGAAGAAUUGAUGUGCUUUUCAGGUUGAUCGAGAUCCACCAUGACUGCAUCAAACGGGAGUUCUACAGGUUAGUAUAAUUAGGUUUUAUUUGGAUUGAUGUUUUGUGUCUACUUGGUUGUAGUUUAAGUAACUGAAUCUUGCAGCUAGAUUUUGGUUUACAUGUGGUAUCAGAGCCAUAGAUUCAUGUUCUUAAAUUCAAUCGAUAAAAUUGAUUGAAUCCAAAAUAAAAUUCCGAUCUUCAGACUUCGAAACAGGUUCUGGUAGUUAAAAUUAGGAAAAGAAGAAACGGUGCGUUUUGAUUAAAAUAUGAUGAUUAAUACUUGACCGUUAAGAGCUAAUAAACUAUCUUCUCUUCCGAAUUGGGAAUACAAAUCGACAUCUAUCGAUUUCGAUUUCGGGGUUUGAAAAACUGGGUUAUAUGACAUCUAUCGAUUUCGAUUUCGAGGUUUGAAAAACUGGGUUAUAUGAAUUGUUAUUGAGUAUCCACAAUUUAUAUUAAUUGCUUCCGCUGCUGGGUGUUGAUGCUCAUAGAACAAACGGGUAUGUCUCCUGAACAUUGAAUUGAAAUUUGUUUUUUAAUCAAUCUUAUCUUGAAUUUCAUUAUGUUCUACAGCAUGAUUCGAAUAGUGAGCAUAAAAAUAUGCUUAUUUAUGCUGAUUAGUCCUAUGUUUAUGCGUUUUUCUCUAACCAUCUAUGGAAGGGAGUUCUUCGAUAAGAACCUCUGCAGAUUUCACUUGUUUUAUGCAGAAAGUUUUAUGAAGAACUGUUCAUUUGAUAAAGAUCUGCUAAAACUGUGUUCUUAAAUGGAAAAAUCUUUUAUUCUAUAUGUGCUUAUCAAUUCUUCAUUGUUAAGAUUAUAUAUAUGGAUAAAAGGUUUUGAUGAUAUGAUGUACAAAGGAUUGUGAGAUGAAAUCUGGAACUCUAAACGUUCUUCUGUGAUUCAUUGUGAUUUCAUUGUGCUACAGUGUCUGCAAUAUCAAUGAAGACUCUGAAUUUGGCUAACAUCCCAAUUCUUACUGGUGGGGGAAAUUACAAGAAGUGGAGAAGGGAAAUCAGUUUGCUGUUGACUCUAAACGAGUUUGAUAUAGCAAUCGAGAAUCCCAAACCCGUGGUCAAUGAUCAGAGCAGCACAAGGGCUGAAAAGGCAGAUUUUGAGAGAUGGACAAGGGCUAAUAAGGUAGCAUUGUCCAUCCUUGAGAGUGGCAUGACUGAUACAAUCAGAUGAGGAAUUAAGAAGCACGAUUUGGCUGCUGAUUACCUAAAAGCUAUUGAAAAGAAAUUUCAAGAAUCUGAAAAAGCUGAAGUGAGUCAGUAUAUGUCUUUAUUAACUACUUACAAGAUGGAGGGUACAAGCUCUAUAAGGGAUCACAUAAUGAAGAUGACAUAUGCUGCAGAAAGACUCAAUGCAAUGGAUAUAAACAUAGGUGAAAAGCAGUUAGUAUUCAUGAUUCUUCAAGCACUUCCCAGUAAAUAUAGUCAGUUGAAGAUCUCCUACAAUACUCAAGACAAAAACUGGGAUAUUGAUCAGUUGAUUGCACAGUGUGUGCAAGAAGAAACUCGUCAAAAACAAGAAAGAGGCAAAGAAGUUGAGGACAUCAACUUUGUGCAAACUAUAAAUGACAAAAAGCAGUUCAACAACAGAAGCUUUUCUGGUUCUGGUAAGAGUUCUAAGCCUUUUAAAACUUCUAAUAAGUUCAGUAAUUCUGCUAAAGUAGUUGACUCCCCUAGAAAAUCUAUCAAGUUUAAAGCUAAACCUAAAGAUGUGUCUAAAUUAAAAAUGUUUUUGGUGCAAAACUAAGGGCCAUUUAAAAGUUAACUGUGAAAUUUUCAAAGAUUAUGUAAAGAGCAAAGAAAAGGAACAAGUACUUGUCUGUAUUGAAUCAAAUUUGUGAAGUAUACCUGUUGAUUCUUGGUGGUUUUGAUAUACCGGAUGCUCAGUGCAUAUAACUAAUUCUUUAAAUGGUUUUCAAAAACAAAAGGAAUUUGGAAAUGCUACAUAUAAUGUUUUUGUUGGGGAAGGAACUAAAGUUGCAGUAGAGUCAAUUGGGAUAGUCAAAUUAGUCUUAUGUUCUGGUUAUGUUUUAGAGUUGAAAGAUGUGUGCUAUAUGUGCCUAAGAUGAGAAGAAACUUAAUUUCUGCCCUCUAAAAUUGUAAAAGAUGGUUUUUCUUUUCUUGGUGAUGAUGAGUGCCUCAAAAAUUUUCAAGAAAAACUGUCCUUGUCCUAACACUAUUUUAGGGACUGCUUUUUUGUCUGAUAAUUUAUGGAAUCUAAAUUGCACUGUUAAGGCACUCAAUCACACGAUUUUCAGCAUUAGUACUAAGAGAAUGAUAGGUCAGGAUACUUCAUACAUUUUAUGGCACAAAAGACUAGGACACAUCUCUAAAGAAAGGAUAAUUAAGCUGUAAAAAACUGACUUGAUUCCAAAAUUAGAUCUUUCUACUGCAACUGAAUGUGUUGACUGCCUAAAGGGUAAAAUGACCAAUUUUAGAAAAACAGAUGCCAAAAUGAGCCAGGGGUUACUUGAAAUCAUACACACUGAUAUCUGUGGUCCUUUUCCAGUUAAGACAAUAUGUGGAAACAAGUAUUUCAUUAAUUUCAUAGAUGAUUUUUCAAGGCUGGGAUAUACCUUUCUGAUUAAUGAAAAAGCUGAUGCCCUUAAGUGUUUUAUAAUUUACAAAACUGAGGUUGAAAAACAGUUAGGCAAGGUUAUUAAAAUUGUUAGAUCGGAUAGGGGAGGUGAAUACUUUGGCAGGUACACUGAAUCCGGGCAGCAAAAGGGACCAUUUGCUCUCUAUCUCGAGAAGAAUGGUAUUGUGGCGCAGUACACCACACCUGGAACGCCUCAACAGAAUGGUGUUUUUGAAAGAAGAAACAGGACUCUUAUUGGUAUGGUUAGAAGCAUGAUGUCCAGAUCAAAAUUGCCAGGAUUCUUGUGGGGAGAAGCUUUGAAAACAGCUAAUCAUAUAUUGAAUCGAGUUCCAAGCAAGGCAGUAUCUACCACACCCUAUGAGUUAUGGCAUGGGAGAGUUCCUAGUUUUACUUAUUUCCAUGUUUGGGGUUGUAAAGCAGAAGCUAAGUUAUAUAAUCCUAAUGAAAGAAAGCUGGAUUCAAGGACUCAGUCAUGUUAUUUUAUUGGCUAUCCUGAGAAAUCAAAAGGAUACAGGUUCUAUAUCCCUCAAGGUCACACUCGGAUCCAAGAGACACACAAUGCAGUUUUCCUAGAAGAUGAAGAUGUCUCUCAUUUGUCAAGGGAAAAUUUCAUAUUUGAAGAGAUGCAUUCAGAUGGUGGGGACCAUGUGACAAUGGAUUAUAAUAUCGGUCUCAUUGUUUCCCAAUCAAUCAUCAAUUGCCAUUGAAGAUAUGAGUGAAGAUUUAGGAGUUCCUGAUGACAACUCUGUAGGAGUUGAUUCCACAACAUAAGCUGCAACAAUUCCUUUUGCAGAAGCAUGUGAACCAGUUGCUGUUCCACCUCCAGUUGAAAUCAGAAGGUCACAAAGAGCUCGGAAAACCACUGCAAGCAAUGACUAUGUGUACUUAUAAGAGACUGAGUUCGAUAUUGGUGACAUUUGAUGAUCCUCUUACAUAUACUCAGGCAACUGAAAGUCCUCAAGCAGUUCUUUGGAACAAUGCAAUGAAGGAUGAGUUAGAUUCAAUGUCCAAAAACCAGGUUUGGACAUUGGUGGAAUCCAACUCUGAAAUUAGGCCAAUAGGCUGCAAGUGGGUAUAUAAAACCAAAAGGGAUGCUGCUGGAAGAAUUGAAAGAUAUAAAGCAAGGUUGGUUGCUAAGGGGUUUACUCAAACGGAGGGGAUCGACUAUAAUGAUACUUUCUCUCCAGUUUCCUCCAAAGACUCCAUGCGAGUUAUCAUGUCUUUAGCUGCCUACUUCGAUCUUGAAUUACAUCAAAUGGAUGUAAAAACCGCUUUUCUUAACGGAGACUUACAAGAGGCUAUAUACAUGAAACAACCUGUUGGAUUUGUUGAAAAGGGGAAAGAGAAUUUAGUAUGCAAGCUCAAUAAGUCCAUAUACGGCUUGAAACAAGCAUCAAGGCAAUGGUACCUAAAGUUUGAUCAAAUUGUCUCUGCAUAAGGUUUUGUAGAAAACAAACUGGAUGAUUGUAUAUACAUUAAGUUCUCAGGUUCCGAGUUCAUCUUCUUAGUACUUUAUGUUGAUGCCAUUCUCCUAGCUAGUUCAUGUCCCCAAUUGCUUCAUAGCAUUAAGAGAAUGCUAAGUGAUAACUUUGAGAUGAAAGAUCUUGGAGAAGCACAUUAUGUACUAGGAAUAGAGAUUGUUCGAGAUAGGAAAAUGAGGCUCCUUGGUUUAUCUCAAAAGGGGUACAUUGACAGAGUGUUGGAGAAAUUUCAUAUGGCAAAUUGCAAUUGUGGUCAGGUUCCAGUCAAUAAAGGUGACAAGUUUUCGAAGAUUCAAUGUCCAAGAUCUGAUUUGGAGGUGAAGAAAAUGCAAGCUAAGCCUUAUGCCUCGUUGAUUGGAAGUCUUAUGUAUGCAACUAUCUGUACAAGGCCUGAUAUUGCCUUCAUAGUUGGUAUGCUAAGACGAUUUCAAGCAAAUCCUGAGAAGCACAUUGGGGGUGGCAGCCAAGAAGGUUCUUCGAUACUUGCAGAGAACCAAAACUCACAUGUUAGUAUAAUGGCCGAACUGAUUCUUUGGAGCUCAGGGGGUAUAUACUCGGAUUUAGCUGGAGAUGUGGAUGACAGGAAGUCCACAGGGGUUAUAUCUUCAUACUCAAUGGAGGGGCAGUUUCGUGGAAAAAUGCAAAGCAAACUAUUAUAGCCACAUCAACUAUGGAAGCUGAGUUUGUAGCCUGUUUUGAAGGCAUGAAACAGGCAGCAUGGUUGAAGAAUUUUUUGACAGAUUUAAAGAUUGUGAAUUCGGUUCAGAAACCAGUAACAAUGUUCUGUGAUAAACAACUCGGCUGUGUUUUUUGCUAAGAAUAAUAAAAGGACUUCAGCAUCUAGAUUUGGAUGGACGAAGUUUCUUAAGGUCAGAGAACAAGUCAAGAAAGGAGUUAUUGAAGUACAGCACAUUAGCACUACUAUGAUGAUUGCUGAUCCCUUGACUAAGGCACUGCCAAUUGGAGAAUUCAAGAAACAUGUUUCUUCAAUAGGAGUACUAGAAGGUUUUGAUCAGUGGGAGUAAUCACGUGUGUGUUAAAGGCUUGGGAUUGCAGAAGCAGAAGUAUAUAUGUGUUUCAAGAACUGUAUGUGCAAUUCUGACAAGCUGAACUAAGGAUGCUUUAUGUUUUAACUUGCUUUAGUUAGUUUGUUAAGGUUGUUUGUGUUUUAAUAAGUGUCCUUGUCUGCUACUCAAUACUUUGGCUUUCAGGUGUUGAGGUACGGAUACUGGACUGAGUUAGAAUUUAGUUUCAUUAGUAACUUUGAAAGAACAGUUUGUCUGUUUUUUAAGUUUGUGGUUAAUGAUGUUAUAUAGUCAAUUACUAUGUUGCUUUUCUGUGAAGAUUAAUGUGUGUUGUGAUCUUUUGAAAAGUGGGAGCAUAAUGUUUGACGGUUUAUGUUAGUCAUGAGUCAUAUUUACAAAUUGAAUAUAUGUGAGCCUUGAAUUAAUACUACAAUUUGGUUGUGGUCUGAGAUUCUUGGUUUCUAUAUUUUGAGAUGUAAUGGGACAGUGGUCAUGAUGGUUAAAUCUUAGAUGAGGUUAUGUGAUCACUUCUUAUGAUUGGUGACGGCAAGGUUUGAUCUUUGUCUCAUGUUCAAGUGGGAGAAUGUAAGAAUGUGAACAUGAGAUAAGAUGAUCGGAUAUUAGUUGUUUGAGUCCAAUCCGAAUAAGAAAGCCUCUAAGAAGAUGGAAUUCAGUUCUUGGCAGUAGAGGACUCUAUUGCAGGGAAAAACUGAUUUGAAUUAGGAAGGCUUAAGUAGUUUUCCAUAAGGAUUUUAAUAGGGAAUCCAUAUUCUAAUAUGAGAAGGAUAUGUGUGUACAUAUAUAUAUAUAUAUGGCAAUCUCUUCUCUCACAGGUGUGUGCUCUUUUGGAACUAAGCCCUAUUCUUAGUUUGAGUGAUAAAUACCCUGACAGAGAGAAGAAGAAUUGUUGUGCUUUUCAGGUUGAUCGAGAUCCACCAUGACUGCAUCAAACGGGAGUUCUACAGGUUAGUAUAAUUAGGUUUAUUUGGAUUGAUGUUUUGUGUCUACUUGGUUGUAGUUUAAGUAACUGAAUCUUGCAGCUAGAUUUUGGUUUACAUAUUUUUCGAUGUAGGCUUUAUCCACGGUGUGAGCUGCCGGCCUGACGCGGAGUUUGGUAGGGGAGGGGAAUUUGAAGUCUACGAUUUUUUGGGACGUUGGCGGGCAACAGUUGGUCGGGACUGCUCCACUUGGAAAGUCCGCAGCUCCGCAUUUGGCUAGGUCAGGCGGCAACACUGGCUUUGCAACAGCGAAGGGGUCGCUGCCAAGACCAACCACUCCGGCUUUGCAACAGCGAAGGGGUCGCUGCCAAGACCAGCCACUCCACCGUAGAGGCUUCCGAGACCUAUAAGUACAUUUCUUCUGUCUAGGUUUACUAGAGAAGGGUUUUCAUGGUCGUGAUCGUUGGAGCUAGUGGAAGGGUUUUUGUUUUGGUCACUACUAUUAUUUGUGGCUUUGCACGAGACAGCUUGUAAAUUGGAAUGCCUAGGGUUUCCAAAUGAGGAUAUUCGGUGAUACUUUUGGGAGAAAGGGGAGAGAGAAGUUGUGGGGAUGAUACUUGUGGCGGAGGUGACGAGUGGAGCUGACAUAGAAGCCAUGGUACUUGACUCUGAAUAAUACGUUGUAUUGGCUUUGCUUUUAUAAUGUGUUCUAGGUUUUACGUUUCUUUGCACGGGUGGCAGGCCGUACACACGUGGUCGGUCCUUAAGGGUUUGACGAGGAAUACUACGCAGUCAUUUAGUACAUGACAACCAUACACUAUAGCACGUGGCAUGUAUUUAGAGAUCGAGAGAGAAUUGGGUAAGGUUCACGAGGGAUUGUAGUUUCAGAAGGUGAAUUGGUUUUGGUCUUCUUGUGUACCAAUAAUUUUUACUUAGUCAUUUAGUGCAGGACAACCAUGCACUAUAGCACGUGGCAUGUAUUCAGAGAUCGAGAGAGAAUUGGUUGGGUAAGGUUCACGAGGGAUUGUAGUUUCAGAAGUUCAAGCGGUUUUGGGCUUGUUGUGUACGGCUGUGGGUCUGCUGUCACGGACUCUCUGUCUCAUUUGUGUCUUAUUUUUUAUUUUUUGACACGUUUUAACGUCAAAUCAUUAUAGCAAUGUUAUGCAAUUGGGAGCUAAAUGACCGAUGCUCUUAUUUUUUAGUUUGCUUUUUUUCCAGAUCUGAUCAAAUCAUGAUAGCAAUGUUAUGCAAUUUUCAAGAGGGAGAGAUGCACCUGGGAGAGAAACGGUACGGUGACUUCUAAAUCACCGUCCAACAGAACAAUUCUCAGUAGAGACUACUAGAGAGAGAUGCACCUCACCAAUGAAAAAUUUAACUGCAAAAAUUCUGGGUAUCGGGAGUUGUGGGGUGGGUCUUGGCAGUUUUCUUAUUUCUUUGAAUUUUUUAUAAUUUAUUUUAUAAAAGUAACAGUGUUUUGUGGGGGUUAAAUUGUAAAACACGUGUCAUCAAACUAAAUAAAGAGACACCAAAGAGACAUGGAAUUCGGGACAACAGACCCACAGCCGUUGUGUACGGAGGCAGACUCUCUGCUCUCCUACUUUCUGUGUCCUCCUGUUUUGUGUAGUCACGAUUAAAUCACGUCAAUAUUUUAUAUUAUUAUUUUAUAGAUAUAAUAAGACAAAAAAGAAUAGUAAUUUAAAAUAUUAACGUGACUUAACUGUGACCACACGAAUAGGAAGGCAUGAGAAGUGGGAAGGCAAAGAAUAUGCCUCCGUUGUGUACCAAUAAUAUUAUAUAUAUAUAUAUAUAUAUAUAUAUAAUUAGGAUUGAAGGAUGUAGAGCUUAUUUUGUUAUGUAUUCUAACAAUUUAAGUGCUUAUCUUUUAGGUUUUCUCUUAAACAGCAUGCCUAUAAAAAAUCACCAAAAUUCAAACCAUAUGACCAUUAGAUCCAUAGUCAUUUUAGUGUUAAAUGAACUUCACAAAAUAAGUCUCAAAAUAUGUAUAAAAAAUGGACAGCGUGAAUGGUUUGGAAAUUGGAAUAGGUUUGGAAAUUGUGCUUUUUGUAGCAAAUUGCAGCAAAGUUUGCUUGGACUUUCACAACCGUAUAAAUUAAACUGUUCGCUUUGUUGGGAAAAACAAGUUUGCCGCUGGUCUUGGGUUCCAAGAUCGGCCAAUUUGACGGCACACUUUUUGGCGUUGAGAAGCAGUACGGAGAUGUGCAGAUUAACUUGGAUUGAUACUCCUCCAUCUUCGUUGGUUCGUGUAUUGAACAAAGAUGGCCUUCCUUGCCCUCCUUAAUAUUUUUUGUUCUUCCUGCAGUGGAGGCGGUGACGCCUUGCUCUUGGUGCAGCGUCUAGUGUUCUGUACCCUCCUCUUCUGCAUAUGUUUGUAUUUCCCCUCGUUGCCCCUUCUAAGUGGGCUUCCUAUUGUUUUGGCUUCGGCCCUGGUUAUGAAAUAUUUCCAAUCUUACCCAAAAAAAAAAAAAAAAAGAAGAAGAAGAAGAAGUCAAGCACGGUGGGAGACUGGUCAUAGUUUCUAGAUUGAUGCUCUAAUUCUAAUGUUAUACAACGCGUACGCUAAAAUAUUUUUAUCAAAAUAUUAGUUUUAGUGUUAUCAAAACAAUAAUGUUAUUCUUACCAUGUUUUUGUAUCACAAUUAUAUACCACCUUAGAUGGCAUAUGAUGUAGAUAGCCACAUCAUUUAAAUUAAUAAGCAUUUAAUUUCAAAUGUUAAUCAAUAAUUAAUAAAAUGAUUGUUAAUUAAAUGAUGAUUAUGGUAUACAAGGAGUCUCCUUCUUCCUUCCCCUUUCCAUUCUGCUUUUUCUUCCUACCACUUUCUGUUUUUUUUUUCAUGCCAGUUUUUGUAUUGAUUUCUAUUGAUUUCCAUGAUUAUGGUCAAUCUUUAUAGAAUUUACUCGUAUACCACAACCACCAUUGAUUUCUAUCUCUAGACUCAUGCCCCGUAGCCCUAAUCCUCAUUCCCCUUCAAGUAUUUCUGUCUCCAAUCUUCUUUGGUACUCCAUGGUUGUUCAUCUCGUGAUUUUUUUUUAUUAUUUCAUUAAGUAACGCCUAUUAGCUUUCAUGCGAAUUAGGAGUCAAAAUCAAAUUUGUCUAUCGGAUUAGGGUUCAUGCCCAAUUAAGUUACUAACGCAAGAGAGAUUUUGAAGUCUACAAUUUUCCUUAUUUAAGUGUUUUAAUUAAUAAGAAAAUUGAAAUUAAACGAUUUAGCUUGUCCAACUCAUCUGCCACCUAAGAUGGUAAAUAAAUGUGGUAAGAAUAGCAUUACUCUUAUCGAAAUUACAAAAAAAAAAAAAAAAAAAAAAAAAAGCUGAUUCAAUAUUUAGUUAUUAAAAAAAAUAUAAAAAAAGUGAUCAAGUAACUAUCCAAUACCCAUGUAUUGGGUGCUUUGUUUGAAAAUUUUCAAAAUGAUAUUGGGCUCGUUUGGAUAUGUUUUUAAAAUGACUGAAAGCGUUUUUAGAGAAAAUAUUUUUUUGAUUCCAAAAGCACUUAAAGUGUUUUCUGCAAAAAGCACUUAAAGUGCUUUCUGCAAAAAGCACCAGUUAUGUGCUUCUUCCUAGAAGCACUUUAAGUGUUUUUCAAGCAUUUACUUGCUUUUUUACUAAGGAUUGGUUCCAAAAACAUUUUCACAAAAAGUGUUUUCAGUCAUUUUAAAAGUACAUUCAAACGAGCUCAUUGUUUUUCCUAUUUUAAUCAAGUGCGUCGUCCCCUGUUGAGAAUGAAUCUCAUAUUAUGGGGAGAGGGGUCUUGCAUGGAUGAGAGGAGGGACCUUGCAUGAGCUUAUAAGUAAGUUGGGUUACUCUCUAUAUUGCCAAGAGAAAUUUUAUUUGGACCUACUUUUCCUCUCUCUAAACCCAACUUUAAUAUUUUGUUACCUAAACUCUCUAGUUUACCCUCAUAAAUUAUAAACAUAAAUAAACUGGAAAAAGAAAAACUCAUCAAACCUAUUUCCCAACUGUUCUGGCGUCUCUUCCCUGUAUUUGUUGGGUCUAUCUCCCUCCCGACUGUUUUUUUUCCCUGAUAUUCUCUGUGUGUUCCCCCACCUCUCCCACACCCACCGAUUCUUUGUGGUGGCUAUUCCACCCAACGUCCAGUGAAUCUUUCCAUUUUUCUUCUAUUGCGCGUGAUAGGGCCUUGCUGUUAAUAGGCAAAACUAAGCGGCAUCGUCGACUCUGUAAGCGACUUGUUGCAGAAGUCCAAAAUGGAGUCAAAAGGAUUUUGUAUUGGGUCGGGUUGUUGAAGGCGAUGGCUGAUUUAGCAAUCUCGCCUAACUACUUCUAUAUGCAGGAGAAGGAAGAGGGAGGAAGGUCUAAAGUGGUGGUUGAGUGGUGGCGAUGUAUGUGGGUUCUAUCUCGGUUGAAUGGGUGUAGAAAGAUAUUUAAUUUUCAGUUUCUUAUUUUAUUUUGUAUAAGGGAUAAUAUCGGAAUUACAUAAAAAGUUUUUUUUAUAGCUGGGUGUAGAAAUAGUAUUGUUGGGUCUAAAUAAAAUUACCCUAUUGCCAAACAUAGUAUUGUUGGGUCUAAAUAAAAUUACCCUAUUGCCAAUUAGCUUUGUUUGAAAAUUUUCAAAAUGAUAUUGUUUUUACCAUUGAACCCUUGUUAUAUACAGUGAUGGCUAAUUUGUCAAGUUCUACGAAGUUGGGAUACCCAGCGUUUUAGCAUAUAACAUAACUUAGUAUUACAAGCAUAAUUAAUUAAAAUAAAGGAAAAUGAAGAGGAUAGCUUAGUAUUACAAGCAUAAUUAAUUAAAAUAAAGGCAAAAGUAACAGCCUGUCCCUAAAAAUGACGAUUUUAUAAUCUUAACACGUGAGUUUAUGAAGAUGCCCUUCGAGGCAAAGUGUUGACUUGUGUUGACUACCGCAUCGUGUCAUGUGAGACUCAUCUUCUUGGCGUAUUCUCGUUUUACUUGUCACUACGGACGCAUGGGCGCAAACGGGACAUGAUUUGGAGCUAUAACGAAUGAGUUAUUAACAUUUAAAGUUAAGGACAUUUUAGUAAAUUAAUUAAUUUCAGAUUAUGUUGAGGGGAAAAUCUGGAGUGCCGGUGGGUGGCCCAGAUUAAAGGAAAUGAAGAAUGGAUGGUGGAGGUGUAAAGGAAAGAAGAUAAAAGAAAAAUGAGAGGAAGUGUGUGACUAAUAGGGAGAUGAGAGAGUUAGGAUGGCCCAAUCAGAAACAAACGAAAGGAGGAAAAAGGAGAGAAGAGGGGAGCGGGGGAUCCCUUCGACCCGGUUCCAUUUUCCGACCCGACCCGAUCCUUUUCAUCUUCUUUGAUGGUUUUUCGUCGGUUUUUUCCGACGAACCACGUUAUCUAACCCCUUGGAAAAUGUUCCACAACCUUCCCUCAACUAUUACAAUCCAAAAUUGUAGAAAUUUAGCCAUGAAAGUAUGAAAACCACACCGGUGGGUGCGGGAAACCCUUGUCGUCGAUUCUCCCAUUAUUGCAACGAUUUUCACCAAUUACCACCACCUACAACAUCCUCUUGAGGUCUGGAAUAAAGCCCAAACAAGUUUUGCACUACUACAAUAUUAGCUUUAGAUGGCAGAUGAUGGUGGCGGAUUUAGAAAAAUAUUGUCGGAUAAAUUAUAUCUGACACAUUAUUUAAUUAGUGGUGAAUAUAAGAAAAAUCAUGUCGGUUAUAACCGACAUAAAUUCGUGGCAGAUACUAGCAGAUAUUAAAAAACUCAUGUCGGUUAUAACCGACAUAAAUUCCUAGCGAAUAAUUACUGACAGAUAUUAUAAAACUUCUGUCGGUUAUAACCGACAAUAUUUUUGAAUUGGGGGAAUUUAAAAUUUUGGGAGGGAAUUUAAAAUUUUGGGAGGGAAUUUAAAAUUUUGGAGGAAAUUUUGGGGGGAUUUUUACCCAUAUUAAUUCAUGGCGGAUAAUUACUGACGAAUAUUAUAAAGCUCAUGUCGGUUAUAACCAACAAUAAUGAAAAUGUUUAUGUCGAUUUUUAUUAAAAAAAUGUUUCUGUCAGUUUUAACCGACAUUAAUGAAAAUAUUCCACAGUAAAACCCCUACUUCUUCUCCUUGUGCUGGUGCCUUCUCCCUUCCCCCUUCUUUCCCCCUUUUCUCUUCUCCUCAUUUCCUUUUCCUUUGUAUUUUUGAUUUUGACAAGGUCUCUCCUUUAUUUGAUUCUUUGUUGUUCAUCUCUCACAAAUGUAGAGAGAGUAAAGGAGAUGCUUAGAGCGCUUUCUUUGUUCCUUUUUUUUUUCUUUUCAUUUUUUCCCUUUUCAAACUCCGACUAUGUCUUACAUGGCCGGUCCCAAGCCCGGAUAAAGGAGGAGGGGGAGGGCGUCAGGUAGUCGACAGCCGGCACUCCAUGAUCACGUCGAAUCCUUAUGAAAAUGAAUCCAGAACAAAAUCGCGCUAAAGCUAGGGCGCCACCCGUAAGUGGCGCGCUGUGUGGCCCGAGCACAGUGAUAAGUGAGCAAGGGUCGCUGUAUCUCCAUCGGCACUCGGAUGCAGUGUUAAAUGAGCAAGGGGGCCAUAGAAACUUCUUUUCGAACGACUCCACUCAAAGUUGUUUGGGAGCAUAUGCUCCUAUCAACUUUACCCGGGACACACAAAAGAAGUACUUUGAUCCUAUUAGACGGGGGAGGGUGAAGAAGCUAGGACAGAAGGGUAGAGUUCAAGAGAGCAAAAUGCGUUUAGGAACGUGGAAUAUAGGAACCUUAACGGGAAAAUCUAUGGAAGUAGUGGAAGUUAUGGUGAGGAGAAGGAUAAAUAUUAUGUGCCUACAAGAAACUAAGUGGGUUGGUAGUAAGGCAAAGGAUCUAGAAAACUCAGGGUUUAAACUUUGGUAUUCGGGCACAAAUAGAACGAGAAACGGUGUUGGCAUCAUCGUGGACAAGACCUUGGUACAAGAUGUUGUAGAUGUCAAGAGUGUAGGAGAUAGAAUCAUGGCAAUCAAGAUUGUAAUAGGACAAGAACUUAUCAAUGUGAUUAAUGCGUACGCACCUCAAGUAGGGUUGGAUACGAGUUCGAAGGAGAAAUUUUGGGAAGAUCUUGGAGACUUGGUGCAAGGAAUUGCUCAGACGGAGAAGUUAUUUAUAGGAGGAGAUUUAAAUGGACACGUGGGCAGGGAGACAGGCAACUAUGGAGGUUUUCAUGGUGGCCAUGGUUUUGGGGAGAGAAACGAGGAUGGGGAAGCUAUCUUGGAUUUUACAAUGGCAUAUGAUCUCUUCUUAGCCAACACCUUCUUUAAGAAGAGAGAAGAACAUGUGAUCACCUACAAGAGUGGGUCGUCAAAAACACAAAUAGAUUUUCUUCUAAUGAGGAAAGGGGAUCGUAUAACUUGUAAGGAUUGCAAAGUUAUACCAGGAGAGAGCGUGGCUAAUCAACAUCGCUUGUUGGUGAUGGAUGUACAUAUCAAAAGAGUAAGACAAAAGAACAAGACUUGGAAGUGCCCAAGGACUAGAUGGUGGAAUCUAAAAGAAGAAAAACAAGUCAUUUUCAAAGAGAAGGUAAUCACCCAAUGUGUGUGGGAUAGAGAGGGGGAAGCUAGCCAAAUGUGGGAUUUCAUGGCUAGUUGUAUCCGAAAAGUAGCAAAAGAGGUAUUAGGAGAGUCUAAGGGCUUUGCCCCACACUAAAAGGAAUCUUGGUGGUGGAAUGAGGAGGUACAAACAAAGGUGAAGGCUAAGAAGGAAUGUUGUAAAGCCUUAUACAAGGAGAGGACCGAUGAAAAUGGUGAAAGGUAUAGAAAAAAAGCGAAGCAAGAGGCGAAGAAAGCUGUCAGAGAAGCUAAGUUAGCGGCUUACGACGAUAUGUAUAAACGACUAGAUACCAAAGAAGGAGAGUUGGAUAUCUAUAAACUAUCUAGAGCAAAGGAAAAGAAGACAAGGGACCUAAACCAAGUGAGGUGCAUCAAGGAUGAGGAUGGAAAGGUUCUUGCUACAGAGAACGCGGUUAAAGACAGAUGGAGAGGUUAUUUUCAUAAUCUUUUCAAUGAAGGACAUGAAAUGAGUGCUUCUUUAGGGGAGUUGAGUAACUCAGAAGAGUGUAGAAACUACUCUUUUUAUCGUCGAAUCCGGAAGGAAGAAGUGGUUGUAGCUUUGAAGAAGAUGAAGCAUAAAAAAGCAAUAGGCCCAGACAAUAUACCAAUCGAAGUGUGGAAACUUUUGGGAGAGACAGGUAUAACAUGGCUCACUGACCUUUUCAAUAGGAUUUUGAAAACGAAAAAGAUGCCAAAUGAGUGGCGAACGAGCACUUUGGUGCCUAUCUACAAGAAUAAGGGCGACGUACAAAAUUGCAUGAACUAUAGGGGUAUUAAGCUAAUGAGUCAUACAAUGAAGCUCUGGGAGAGAGUCAUUGAGCAUAGAUUGAGGCAAGAGACACGGGUUUCGGACAACCAAUUCGGGUUCAUGCCAGGGCGCUCAACCAUGGAGGCAAUCUAUCUCUUACGAAGAUUGAUGGAAAGAUAUAGAGAUGGGAAAAAUGAUUUACACAUGGUCUUUAUAGAUUUGGAAAAAGCGUAUGAUAGGGUCCCAAGAGACAUUCUUUGGAGGAUUUUAAAGAAGAAAGGAGUACGAGUAGCAUAUAUCCAAGCUAUAAAGGACAUGUAUGAAGAAGCAAAGACUGCCGUAAGAACUCAUGAAGGACAAACCGAAAGCUUUCCCAUAACUGUAGGAUUACAUCAAGGCUCAUCCUUAAGUCCUUACCUUUUUGCGUUGGUAAUGGAUGAGUUAACAGGACAUAUUCAAGAUGAUAUUCCUUGGUGUAUGCUUUUCGCAGACGAUAUAGUGUUGAUAGAUGAAACUCAGGAAGGGGUAAAUGCAAAGCUUAACCUUUGGAGAGAAGUGUUGGAAUCUAAAGGUCUUCGCCUAAGCCGAUCAAAGACAGAAUAUAUGGAGUGCAAGUUCAGUGCAAAUGGAGGCCAAAACGAGUUAGGGGUGAGGAUCGGAGAUCAAGAAAUACCAAAGAGUGACCGUUUUCGUUACCUAGGAUCUAUCUUGCAAAAGAACGGAGAAUUAGAUGGAGAUCUCAACCAUAGAAUACAAGCUGGAUGGAUGAAGUGGAAGAGUGCAUCUGACGUGUUGUGUGACCGUCGUAUGCCACUGAAGCUCAAAGGAAAAUUUUAUAGGACGGCAAUAAGGUCGGCGAUGAUUCAACUUGGCGGGUUCGAGCAAAUAGGCGUUGGGCCAUAUUAGACACAGAACCUGCACACUGAACACUGAGAGCUAGCGAAUCCUUAACAGCUAACUCAUCAGACCGUUUGGAAAGUAGUCUGUUAUCUUUGGGAGUGAGAAGGUUCCUGGCCACCACCGCAGCGGUCAUAUCAUUCUUCAUCACGGAAUCCCCAACGGUAAGAGGACCAGUAGGGGAGACAAAGGAUGGGCGCCAUAUGUUGUCUGGAGAAGGCGGGGCUGCCUCUUCAACAAGGUUCAAGUCAAAAAACGACGGUCGGAGGGCCAGACAUUUUCAAAGGUGUUGAAGAGAGAAGAGGUCGGACACAAAUCAAGAUCUUAGAAGUGCAAGAAUGAAGCUUCUACUGGUGGAGAUUCAAGUGUGCUUUGGAACUUAAUGCCAGCCCCUAUAAAAAUCUGCACUCGACGGAGCUUCAGAAAUCGAAGAGGCGUUUGCUUUCUCAAAAGCUGGGCUGCUUAGAGAUCACGAGGGUUGAUCUCAGGAAUCGAAGAGGCGUUUGCUUUCUCAAAAGUUGGGCUGCUCAAAGACCACGAAGGCCGAUCUCAGAAAUCGAAGAGGCGCUCACUUUCUCAAAAACUGGGCUCCCCAGAGACCACGAGGGCCGAUCUCAAAAAUCGAAGAGGCACCUACUUUUCCAGCCUUGUCAGCACCUGUCACACGCACACUCAGCUUUGCGGAAAUUAUGGGCAUUCUGUCGAAGACUUCUGGGGAAGUAGAAAACACAUGAAUCUUACUGUUCAAUCACCCACUUCCCACACGCAAUAAUAGCUCAUGGGUACCACAGAUAACUUUGCCAAAGUUCUCUGCCAAAGUUGAGCACGUGAAGCUUGCAGCUCCCACUACAUCGCUCUGACCAAGAAGGGUAAAAAGAAUAGCAAAGAAACAGCACUAACAAAGUUUAGACCCAUAAAUUUUGAAGGUCUAGCUACCAUAUUAUUACCCACAAGGGUAAAGGAACAGUACCACUGCUGGAUAAUUGGAAAGUCCCUAUGUGUCAACCUCUGUGCUUCGUGGCAAGGUAGACUAGCAAACAUGCCCAACCUUUACUCACAUUCGAGAAAACACUCCCAAUAAGAUUGCUUGCUCCAAAAUCGAAGAGGCACCGUCCUCCGAAUCUCGAGAGCCAGACUCCCAACAUGACUACUUUCUUAAAAAUCGAAGAGAGGGUAAAGGAACAGUACCAUUGCUGGAUAAUUGGAAAGUCCAUGUGUGUCAACCUCUGUGCUUCGUGGCAAGGUAGACUAGCAAACAUGCCCAACCUUUACUCACAUUCGAGAAAACACUCCCAACAAGAUUGCUUGCUCCAAAAUCGAAGAGGCACCGCCCUCCGAAUCUCGAGAGCCAGACUCCCAACAUGAUUACUUUCUCAAAAAUCGAAAGAGACACUGCUCCCCGAAUCUUCGAGAGCCAGACCCCCAGCAUGAUUGCUUUCUCAAAAAUCGAUGAGGCAUCGUUCUCCGAAUCAAUCGAAGAGGCGCUCGCUUUCUCAAAAGCUGGGCUGCUCAGAGACCACGAGGGCCGAUCUCAGAAAUCGAAGAGGCACUUACUUUUCUAGCCUUGUCAGCACCUGUCACACGCACACUCAGCUUUGCAGAAAUUAUGGGCAUUCUGUCGAAGACUUCUGGUGAAGUAGAAAGCACAUUAAUCCUACUGUUCAAUCACCCACUUCCCACACGCAACAAUAGCUCAUGGGUACCACAGAUAACUUUGCCAAAGUUCUCUGCCAAAGUUGAGCACGUGAAGCUUGCAGCUCCCACUACAUCGCUCUGACCAAGAAAGGUAAAAGAAUAGCAAAGAAACAGCACUAACAAAGUUUAGACACAUAAAUUUUGAAGGUCUAGCUACCAUAUUAUUACCCACAAGGGUAAAGGAACAGUACCACUGCUGGAUAAUUGGAAAGUCCCUGUGUGUCAACCUAUGUGCUUCGUGGCAAGGUAGACUAGCAAACAUGCCCAACCUUUACUCACAUUCGAGAAAACACUCCCAACAAGAUUGCUUGCUCCAAAAUCGAAGAGGCACUGUCCUCCGAAUCUCGAGAGCCAGACUCCCAACAUGACUACUUUCUCAAAAGCGAAGAGAGGGUAAAGGAACAGUACCAUUGCUGGAUAAUUGGAAAGUCCCUGUGUGUCAACCUUUGUGCUUCAUGGCAAGGUAGACUAGCAAACAUGCCCAACCUUUACUCACAUUCGAGACAACACUCCCAACAGGAUUGCUUGCUCCAAAAUCAAGAGGCACCGCCCUCCGAAUCUCGAGAGCCAAACUCCCAACAUGAUUACUUCCUCAAAAAUCGAAGAGACACUGCUCUCCGAAUCUCGAGAGCCAGACCCCCAGCAUGAUUGCUUUCUCAAAAAUCGAAAAGGCAUCGUUCUCCGAAUCUCGAGAGCCAGAUACCACAGACCACUUUUUCAAAGUGCUCUGACAGAGUUAAAACAUGUGAAACUGGCAGCUCCCACUACCGUGCUAUGACCAAGCAGGGUAAAGGAAUAGCAUUACUACUUGUUGUUAGGGAGACUCCUAUAUAUGUCGACCUCCAUCCCCAACGGACAGGCAGACCUGCAAAAAUGCUCAACCCUUCAUCAUAUCUGAGUGGGCACUCCCAACGAAGCCUUUCGAAAUAUUCAGCUUUCUUUCCCCCCGAUAAUACCUCUGCAAACAAGCUAUACUAGAGCAAGAAUAUCUCAUAUCAUCAGGGUUAAAAGCAAGAGUAUCCCAUAUCAUGCUUUUUCCCUGUCUUUUCCUUUGGCCUUGUUUUUACCUGCAAGACAAGGAGAAAGAGAGCAAUCAGUCAGCACUUGGAAUCAAGCUUCCAACCAGGAAAUGACUGCCUGGAACCCCUUACUUGGCAUUGCUCUCGAGUACUCAUCUUCAACAUCUUAUGUUUCCAGGGAAGAUUCUGCAUCUGCUUGAGGAACAGAUAGGGCAAGUGCGAAGGAUACAAGGAAGCAUGCGGAGACAAGCGUAACAGCACACGUGCCGAUACAUCCAUUACUCUGUCAAAAGCAAAAGUAUCCCAUAUCAGCAGGGUGGAACGUACUCUAGAUUUGAUGGACUUGUUUUGACCCUCAAAUUCUUCAGUCGGCCUUAUAUUCUGGAGGAAACCAGAAAACCCUCCAGCUCAGUUCAAGAAUAAGCCUGUGGAAAGUUACUUCUUCAAAAGCAAAAGUAUCUCAUAUCAUCUCUUCUCAUUUUUCUUCUCUCUUUAUCCUUCAUGCUGCUGCAAGAUGGGGAGAAGGUGAACAAUCAGUCGGAGCUCUGAUUGCUUACCUUGUCUGUCACCUCUUUCAGCAGACCCCCUAGCUCGGCGACUUGGGGGACUCCUACUAAAUGGUUUGUAUCGCGCUUGACCAAGCCUGAAACUACAAGUAAGCUUCAAGUGAAAUUGAUACAUUACCUUGUGCAUCUCCACCAGUUAAAGAUACCACCCCUGGAUGGAGGAAGAGUACUUCCAGAGAAGAUGCCACAUCUACCUAUGAGACAGAUAAGGCAAGUCAAGACGACACCACACUCCGAUACUUAGAAGUUUCGUGAUUAUGAGAUCAUUCUCCCACAAUAUUUCCUAAUGUCAUUUGUACUAAAUCAUUCACUUGUACUCACUAAAGGAGAGCUUGAACCUAUGUACUUGUGUAAACCCUUCACAAUUAAUGAGAACUCUUCUAUUCCGUGGACGUAGCCAAUCUGGGUGAACCACGUACAUCUUGUGUUUGCUUUCCUAUCUCUAUCCAUUUAUAUACUUAUCCACACUAAUGACCGGAGCAAUCUAGCGAAGAUCACAAAAAGCGACCGUUUUCGCUACCUAGGAUCUAUCUUGCAAGAGAACGGAGAAUUAGAUGGAGAUCUCAACCAUAGAAUACGAGCUGGAUGGAUGAAGUGUAAGAGUGCAUCCGGCGUGUUGUGUGACUAUCGUAGGCCACUGAAGCUCAAAGGAAAAUUUUAUAGGACGGCAAUAAGGCCAGCGAUGUUGUAUGGCACAGAAUGUUGGGCGGUGAAGCAUCAACACGUACACAAAAUGGGUGUAGCGGAGAUGAGGAUGCUUCGUGGGAUGUGUGGGCACACGAGAAAGGAUAAGAUUGGGAAUGAGGAUAUCCGAGGUAAAGUAGGAGUAGCCGAAAUUGUAGGAAAGAUGAGAGAAAAUCGGCUCCGGUGAUUUGGACAUGUGCAAAGAAGGCCGACUGACGCUCCGAUUCGAAGAUGUGACUACGGGACAGAGGUUCAGGGCCGAAGGGGUAGAGGAAGACCUAGGAAAACUUUGGAAGAGACUCUAAGAAAAGACUUAGAGUACUUGGAUCUAACGGAGGACAUGACACAAAACCGAGCGCAAUGGCGUUCUAGGAUUCAUAUAGCCGACCCCACUUAGUGGGAAAAGGCUUUGUUGUUGUUGUUGUUGUUGUAUUUUUUCCCUUUUCAAAAUCGAAAUGUUCUAAAUUAUUUCACUAAUCCUUGCUAGUUUGAACUGCAGGAGUCUGUCUCUGGAUUUGAAAGAUUAUCUGGACUUACAGUUUUGAAGAAUUGGGAUUCUAGUGUUACACAUAUUAUUGCAUCGACAGAUGAAAAUGAAGCAUGCAGAAGAACCCUUAAAAUUUUGAUGGGUAUCUUGGAGGGGAAGUGGAUUCUGAGUGUGGAGUGAGUUUUACUGUUUUCGUUUUAAUUGUUCUUCCUCAAGUGCUUGGACUUUACAAUUGUAAUGAGUACAGAAGCCGAAAUGAGAUAUUGAUAUACAUGUUCACAUUGCUGAUAAUUCGUUAUCCGUCUGUUUGUGUAGGAAUUAAUGCUUGCACAUAAGUAAUGAAACUAGUUAAUGAGGAGCCUUAUGAAAUCAACGUUGACAUUUAUGGAAUCAGGGAUGGUCCUCGACUUGGUAGACUAAGGCUGCAGAACAAGGUUAGCUUUUCCUCGAGUUUAACUAUCAUCACGAAAACUUUAGAUUUUCAUGGAUUCACCAUAGGCAUUGUUAAUCUUGUUCAGUCCAUAAAUAGGUUACACACUUAUCUUAACAAAGGUGAGACCUUCUCAAUUCCUCAUCGAGAUGAAUCAAGAGCAUAAUUGUAGCAGUGAUCAAGAGCAAUUUUUUUAUGUUUCUUCCAAAUUGUUGAGAUGAAUCAUCUGUGUUUUGUUCUAAUAAUCUUACAAAUUUGUUGAGCAAUUUUUGUAAAGUCAGAAUCUUUGGUUUCGGUUGUGAGGUAUCUGAUUUGGGUAUAUGUGUUUUGCAGGGCACGGUGGUUGUGGCGGAGGAAGAUUAGGAUUGACGACAGAGCUCUGGCCAUGAACUAUCAGCUCUGUCUUUCUCUCUCUAACUAUGAAUUGAAUACAAAAGUCUGUGUUGAUAUGGAAAAUGUAGCUCAAAAUUAUUACACAAAUGGCAAAAAAAAAAAGUUCGAGUGUGGAGUUUCACUUACUGAUACAGGGCUUUUGAAACAGGGUUGUCUAGACUGUAGAAGAAAUCCAUGGCUUUUGGAAGAGGGGAUGUUCCAAAUCUAUCUUUUCUCCCUCUCUAAUGUUCUUCGAGGGGUUCUUGUGAUGCAAAAAGUGGUUUAUAUAUAUUUUUUAUUAUUAAUAAAUUUUCUGUCGGUUUUAUCAGACAAUAAUUCUUUUAUUUAUUCUUAUUAAUAAUUUCUCUGUCGGUUAUAUCUGACACAAUUUCUGUCGAUUUUAGAGUAUUUUCUAUCGAAAAUUUCAUUUCCUGACGCAUCAAUUAUGUCGCUUAUUAUAUCCGCCACUGCACUCAUUUCAUGUCGGAUUUUGCUUAAUUUCCAACAGUAUUAUACAUUUCUUGUCGGUUUUUAAACCGACACUAAUGGGUACUUUUGUAGUAAUGUUGGGGCGUCGGAGUUCGUUUAAGGUCGAAUUGAGCACACCCAAAUUCAAGGGUUCCGUACGGUUCAUGGUAAUUUGAGGUAUUUCUCAGCCAAAUUGUCCUUAGUCACAGAUAUGAAAGUUGCUCCACUCGUUGAGAUCUUCAUUUAUGUCAAAUUUGAGAAUUUUUAGAAAUAAUUGGAUUUUCCAGCGAAUCGGGGCGGCGGACCACCACCGGACAGCGCAUGGCUAGUGGGCCCCCAAUGUCAUUUUACGUUAAAUUGGUAUCUUGAUUUUAGGUUUGAUGUCUAUAUGUUAUGACUUGAUAUGUGAACCUAGUUUAAUUAAGGUGCGUUAAUUGGUAAAAAUAUGAAACGACGAUCCGACCGUGGGAUCGUCACCAAUCUUUAUUAUGUUAUAGUACAUUAUAUUUGAGAAUCAUAGGGACUGACGGAUAGGAAAUCCGAUAUACGGAUCUUCCUGAAAUGGAAUUGUAAGUUCGAAGAAUAAACGUUAACCGCCACUUUGUUUUGACUAUUGGUGAAGAUCCAACCGUUGGAUCAUAAUGAAAUUUUAGGAUGAUGUUUUAGAAGCAUAAUGUGGAUCUUUGGAAGUUAUUGAUUGGAAAUCCGAGGAGCGAAUCUUCCGGAUUGAAUUACGUAAGGUUGUGGACCCUACCGUCGAUCGUUGACUGACGAUCGACUUUUGGUCAAUGGGGCUUAAAUCACUCUAAAAUGUUUUUAGGGAUGUGUUUUACGUAAAUUACAUUAUCUAUGGAUAAGAAUUCUGAGAUGUGGUUUGAUAAUUGUCCUGGGCGCCGAUCGUUAGGAACGCUUCGAUGGUUGUGCUAGGAAAUUGUAGCAUAGACUCCAGGUGAGUGAAUCUUUUCCUUCUUAUAUAUAUAUAUAUAUAUAUAUGAUUGACAAUUCCACAAACGUUUAUAAAUUGAUUAUUGCAUAUAACUACUGUAAAUACUUUGAAGUACUUAUGCGAACUACGAAUGGCUUGAUCCCUAUUUAGGGUACGUAUGCAGUCUAACAAGACAUUAAAUGCAGUCAUACAAUAAUUGAGAUUAAACAAUUGAGACAAAGCCUUGUAUGGGGAACUGGGCAAGGUGAACGAAUUUGGUAAAAAUGUGAGAUUUAACCUUCUGAAUUGGUGAUUAAAUGUUGGUCAUAAAUCAAUGUGUAAAGAAUCAAGAAUUUGAAGUAAGGAAACGUAAGUAAUGAUAAUUAAUUAAACUAGUGUCUAGUUGGGCUUGUCACCUAUAAUUAUCCCCAAAAAUGAAUAAUUCGGGAGUAGGGCGUUAUAGCUUCUGCAUUUUUAUGCCACAUUAUAUAUAUAUAUAUAUGUGUGUGUGUGUGUGUGUGUGUGUGUGUGUGUAUAAUUGGAAAUGCUAUAACGUGGUUGAGUAUCAGAUUUCAUCAUGGUUUAUCUAUAUGUAUAUUACCUGCACACAAUUAUUAUGAACACUUUGAAGUGCAAAGGUGAACGCAAGACACCCAGGAAAGUUCAGGUGAGUUUAUGGUAUUAGUUGAAAUGAUGGGGUUAUGGUAACUACAUGUAUGUUUAGGUUGCAAUGAUAGGCAACUCCGACACUGUCGUACAAGUUGCCCAUGAAUUGUAUAUGUUACAAUAGAUAGAGUUAGAGGUCAUAAACCUGCACCCCGGUGUUAGUGCUCCCACCCGUGGCUAGGGCACAGUCUUUCACGAGAUGUUCACCUCUCGCAUCUUACGCUCACCUUGGAUCCAAGGUAGGUGCACAGUCAUGUCAUAAAGACCACUAUAGGUGGUUCCGACUAGUAGAUGACCCGUGAUUAUUCGCACAGUCUUCACGUGAUUGUAGCACUUGAGCGUAUUUAUUUACACCCAGUCCUGUCGUACAGACCACUUUAGGUGGUUCCGACUCGUAUGCAGGUAUACUUAUUGAGCUAUGGAUAAGUCGUACAGGUCACUAAAGGUGACUCCAACUUAUGAGCUAGCAUAUGUGAUGAAAUAUGUGAUGAGCUAGCAUAUGUAAUGAGAUAAGUGAUGAGCUAGCAUAUGUGAUGAGAUAUGUGAUGAGUUAGCAUACGUUAUGAGAUAUGUGAUGAGUGAUAUAAUCAUAAUUGCAUACAUUUUCAUGCCCUUUUAGUUUAGAUUUUUGUUAUCCUUUUGAGUGAAUUUAGUUUGUUUCACUUAGUUUUAUGUUUUUCUUAGAUUUGAAGUGUGAAGAUGAAGAAAGAAGAAAAAAGAGCAUUUUUAGCGAUUGAAAUGAGUUUGGCAUGCUGGAAGCAGAGGCUAUUUGUGCGGAUCAGCCAACUUUACGGAUUAAACUGUACUUCCUUAGAAUGCCAGCUGUUGAGUCUUAUACCAUUGGAAAGAUAUGAAAGUUAGCUUUCAGAGGAAUUUUACGAUUCGUGAUUCCGAGUUUCCUAGAAGACGUUAUAGUGGUUUUUCUACCAGAUGUCUGCCAGCAAGGUUUUACGCGGGAUUUGCAAAGAGAUUCCAGAUUUACAAAGUUUAAUUAAAGGAAACAAGCAGAGAAAAAAGAAGAGGAAGCUUUUAGAAAAGUUCAGGACUAUUCUAAACGGUGCAUAGUUAAUAUAUUUAAUAGUUUAGUGUGCCACAUCAUCAAUAAACUAAUCUAAGUCAGAAGAGAAAUUCAAGAGUCCCAUUCAAGUAAGUAUUCCAGCAGUUUUAUUCAGGAAUAAAGGAGGGCAGACCGUCGGACUUUAGGAGCGGACAGAGAGAGUUUUUGGGUUUUCGAAGGUGCAGAGAAGAGGUCGCAGCAAGGAGUGAAACAGAGUCGCCGAUCAUCUGGGCAAUCCAUCACCAUCGUGUGGAAGUAUUUUAUGUUUUUCAGAUUUUUAAUUAUGUUUUCAGAUUUUAUGAGUAACUAAACUCUUUUUCUAAGGUUAGGAUGAUGCCCUAGCAUGGAUGUUUAUGGUUUGUAAUGUUAUUCAUUGGAUUUCCAGUUUCUUUUAGAUGAAUGCUUAAUCACUGUUUGAAUUGUUACUGUUUGUUUGAGUUCUUUGAUUGAUCACCUUAGGACUUUGCAUCUAGUAAGAUUGGAAGAUGAAUUUGAGACUGAACUAACAAUAUAAUUCAAUUAGCUUCUUGUGGUUAAGUGUGGUAAAUUACAUUAUUGCUUGAAAAAGAAUAAUGGUUUGUUUGGGUCCCUUGUUUUCUAGAGGGUAAAGAGUCCUACUUGUUAAAUUUAUGCCUUAACUAGGAUAGACUGCUUGUUAGGAUAUACGACCUCUGCCUAAACUAGGAGAGAAUCAUUCACAUAAGGAAAACUAUGGUCUAAUAUGCCUGACAAGGACUUAGAUACGGGAAUUAUCAUCUAAAGAAUUGAAAGAUCCAUUGAAUGCAUUGAAACCUAAACUAGAUUGCUUGUGGUUGAUUCCGAAUCCCUAGAUUUUCAUCACUUGCCUUAAAACACAACCGUUUCUUUUCUUUAAUUUCAGUUUUUACUUAAGGUUCUGUUUUUGUUCAUUUAUAAAAUCAUCACAACAAAUUUUUUACAUCUUUGAUUGACUUAUUAAUUAAGAUCGAGUCUAGUUCGUUGUUUGGGUUUGUGUGUCUUUAAUAUAAUUAGAUUUGGUUUAGUUUAUCAAAUUGGAGAUUGAAUUAGAAUCCUCGUGGGAACGAUACUUGGACUUGCAAAACGUUAUAUUACGACUAUCUUGUGCACUUGUAAGUUUACACCAAGUUUUUGGCGCCGUUGCCGGGGACUCUAAUUGAGUCCCCCAAUUUGAUAUCAUAUUCCAUAUCUAAUAAGUAGUUUAUUGUAGAUUAUUCAAUUUGAUUUUGUUUUGUUCUCUAGUUUCGAGUAAGAGUCAUAACUAUUAAGAUAAGUAAAAGUAAUUUUCGUCACUGUUUUAUUUCAGUUUUGUAUCACUGUUUCGACACAGUUUUGGACUAAACUAUUCGAUUUUUUACCAGGAAUAUUGUGUAUCGUUGGAAAGCCCCAGAAGUCUAGUUUUCAACCCAAAAAACAGAUCAAUGAUUGGAUUUUUGAGCUGCAAGAAAUGUACAAAAUACUGAGCAGUGGUCAAACAAGGAGCACAGUCUGGUCGUAUAUGCAAGGUAGACGUUCGUUGCAAUUUGAGUUGAUUCAUAUAGACCAAGAACUUGUGCGUACUUUAAGAGAACAGUGGAGGCAGCGAGUGUGUCAAGAACCAGCCAUGGAGGAAGUAGUUAAUAAUGGUGGAAAUAAUCCUCCACCAUUGCUACCACCACAACCAAGGCUCAUGCGUGAUUAUACAAAGCCAACGGAGUACAACGCACCGUCAUGCAUUGUUUUGGCUCCAAUUGCGCAGCGAUUUGAGAUUCGUCCACAAAUCUUUCAGUUGCUGCCUAUAUUUCUUGGGAAGGAGGAAGAAAAUCCAUACCAUCAUAUCAAGGCGUUUUUCAAGCUAUGUUCCACAUUCACAUUCACCAAUGUUACUGAAGAGCAAAUUCGACUUCGGUUAUUCCCAUUCUCUUUGAGGGAUAAAGCAAGCAGUUGGUUGGAUUCUCUUCCCGAAGCAUCUAUCGACACAUGGACAAAAUUAUCGAAGAAGUUUUUGUCCAAGUUCUUCCCCGCUCGAAGAACCAAUGCUCUGAUCAAUGAAAUCAUGAGCUUUCGACAACAAGAAGGUGAACAGUUUCAUGAAAGUUGGGAGCGCUAUAAGGACUUGUUUCUUCAAUGUCCUCAUCAUGGUUUCAACACUUGGCAAAAGGUUCAUUAUUUUUACAAAGGUUUGAACUCUCAAUGUAGGAGUUUGGUUGAUUCAACGGUUGGUGGAACCUUGAUAGACAAAACUCCAGAAGAUGCCAUACAUGCCUUUGAAACUAUAUGUGAAAAUUCUGAGCAUUGGGAUUUUCCUACAAAAGAUUUGAGAGUUCCAACUGCAUCGUCAACAAAAAAAGGAGGCAUUUAUGAAGUUAAUACAAGGACGGGCUUAGAGGCACAAGUGGCAGCCCUCACCAAGCUUCUCACACCACUUGUAAGCAAGAUAGCCACGCAGCCAUGUACUUUAUGUGCGAGCAUCGCCCAUGACAUGGAAAAUUGUCCAACAAAUGCUAAUCUAGAAGGCAUCCAAGAGGUCAAUGCAUUUAGUGGGAGGCCCCGGAAUGAUCCAUAUUCUAAUAAUUAUAACCCGGGAUGGAGAGAACAUCCAAAUUUUUCUUAGAGAGAUUCACAAAAUAGCAUGGGAUCAUUCACUUCAACAAAGCAAUAUCAGCAACCUUAUCAAGCUCCUCCAAUUCAACAAAAAGACUCGUCUAUCAAGGAUAUGUUAUCUCAACUCUUAAAGAAAACUGAUCGGUAUGAACAUGAAGUUGUGUCGCUUAGACAAAGUCAGACGGUGUUGGAAAAGGCUCGAUCUAAUUUUGAGACUCAGUUGGGACAGAUAGCUACUACUUUGAACAAGCUGGAGUGAGCACAAGGGCAAUUUCCAAGCCAAACUGAAACAAAUCCUAGGAAUCAAAAGCAUGUUCAAGCUGUCACCACUUUGAGGAGUGGAAAGACGAUUGGUAAUAAUGUGGAAAGUUCAAAAAUUAAUAAGGAAGAAGAUGAAGGGGUCAGCACAUAUCGGGCAGCAGCUUGACAAGACAAGCUAAAAAAGAGAAGUAUAUGGGAGAUAUUUUAGAGCAAUUUAGAAAGGUGCAGAUUAAUAUUCCUUUUCUCGAUGCCAUCAAACAAAUUCAAUCAUAUGCGAAGUUUUUGAAGGAACUUUGUACUAACAAGAGACGGUAUGAAGAACAUGAGGAGGUGAAGUUAUCAGACACGGUUAGUGCGGUUCUUCAAAGAAAAUUGCCACCAAAACUUCAAGAUCCUGGUAGCUUUACAGUCCCAUGUGUCAUUGGAGAAAGAAAAUUCGAAAAAGCUUUGCUUGACUUGGGAGCCAGUGUGAAUUUGAUGCCCUAUUCUGCUUAUAAACACCUCAAAUUAGGCGAACUAAAGCACAUAUCCAUUUCUCUACAAUGCACUGAUCGUUCUGUGAAAUAUCCAAGAGGGAUUGUUGAAAAUGUACUUGUGUGUGUUGAUCAAUUUAUUCUUCCUGCUGACUUCAUCAUUUUGGACAUGGAAGAAGCCGAAAUUCCUGGUCGUGACUUGCCUCUCAUUCUUGGCAGACCUUUCAUGGCUACUGCAGGUACGAAGAUUGAUGUUAAAUCGGGAUUAUUAACUAUGACUGUGCAAGGUAUUACUGUAGAAUUUCAGGUCUUCGAAGCAUUGAAGAAGCCCAUGGAUCUUUAUGACUGCUUUCGUGUUGAGGUAGUGGAUCCAAUUAUAAAAAAAAACAUUCAUUGAAUCAAGCAUCUCAGAUCCUCUGGAAGUUUGUAUCUCUCAACAUGGGAUGAGUUUUGAAAAGGCUACCAUCAUUGAAGCAGAACGAGAUCUCAAUGCCGUAACGUCCUACUCUCUUAGAUGCCAGCCCAAAUUUGAAGCGUUGCCACUCACAAGCCAAAAUUGUACCAUCCAUUAUACAACCUCCAAAGCUUGAAUUGAAGCCUCUUCCAGAGACUUUAAAGUAUGCAUAUUUGGUGAUUCAGAGACUCUUCCUGUGAUUAUAGCUGCUGAUCUUAACCAAACAGAAGAGGAAAAGUUGAUGCAAAUGUUGAGGGAGCAUAAAACAGCAUUGGGAUGGAGUAUUGCAGACAUAAAAGGAAUUAGUCCUCAAUUUGCAUGCAUCGGAUAUAUCUUGAGGACAAGUCAAAGCCUUCUAGAGAGGCACAGCGACGUCUAAAUCCACAUAUGCAAGAAGUGGUUCGGGCAGAAGUUCUUAAAUUACUGAAUGUCGGCAUUAUUUAUCCUAUAUCUAACAGCAAAUGGGUAAGUCCACUGCAGGUUGUACCACAGAGAUCUGGAAUUACAGUUGUCAAGAAUGAAAAUAAUGAGCUUAUACCCCAGAGGACUGUCACGGGUUGGAGAAUGUGUACAGAUUACAGAAAGAUCAAUAAUUCAACUCGAAAAUAUCAUUUUCCACUCCCUUUCCUUGAUCUCAUGCUUGAGAGACUUGCAGGCCAUAGUUAUUAUUGUUUUCUUGAUGGCUAUUCCAGAUAUAAUCAAAUUCCCAUAGCUCCGGAAGAUCAAGAAAAGACUACUUUCACAUGUCCAUUUGGAACUUUUGCCUAUCGACGAAUGCCUUUUGGGUUAUGUAAUGCUCCCGCAACAUUCCAAAGAUGCAUGAUGAGCAUUUUCUCAAACUUGGUGGAAAGGUGUAUCGAAGUGUUCGUGGAUGAUUUUUCCGUGUUUGGGUCAUCGUUUGAUCAAUGUCUUCAUCAUCUUUCAUUGGUGCUCUAACGGUGUCAAGAAACCAACUUGAUUUUAAAUUGGGAAAAAUGUCAGUUUAUGGUGAAAAGUGGUAUUGUUCUUGGUCAUGUAAUUUUAGCUGACGGAAUUGAAGUUGAUAAAGCUAAGGUGGAGCUGAUUUCGAAGCUUCCUCCUCCCACUUCUGUAAAAGAAGUUCGAUCCUUUCUCGAGCAUCCAAGUUUUUAUCGCCGAUUUAUUAAAGAUUUCUCGAAAAUCACCAAGCCACUUUGUGAUCUGCUUGCUAAAGAUUCUGUGUUUAAUUUAAAUGGUGAGUGCUUACAAGCUUUUGAGACCCUCAAGAAAGAAUUAACACAAGCCCCAAUCAUAAAAGCUCCAGAGUGGUCUCUUCCUUUUGAAAUCAUGUGUGACGCCUCUGAGUAUGCAAUAGGUGUUGUGUUAGGGCAGCGAGUUAACAAACUUCCUCAUGUUAUAUUUUAUGCUAGCCGAAUUCUCACUUAACAACUUUCAUAUCCCUUAGUUUCCAAAAUUUAAUAUACAAAUUUAGUCUCCCAAGCAUUGCUAUAUUACUUAAGUAUUGAUUAAUAGACUUAUUUCUUAUGGUGACACAUUAUUUAGUUUACAAAUUUAGUCUAUCUAACAUUACUCUUUUGACAUUGUCUUGUCCACUGAUAUAAUUCUAUUUUUCUUGUGAUCAAAACUUCAAAUGUUAGCAAGUCGCACGUAAAGUCGCUUCUGAGAGAAUGUGCUCACAUUGUAGUUGAAAGAUUAUGUGGCUAGCAACAUUACAAAUUUAAUUUGGUAUAAUUUUAAAAUAUAGAUUGAGGAAAAAAAGGAUCACAUUAACUAGAAACUGAAAAGGUUUCGGCGCAAUAUGUUCAAGCAAGAAACUCAAUUUUGAUGCUACCGAUCUUAACAGCCUGAGCGCCGUACCUGGGCACUAAAGUCACCACCACACUCUCAUCAUCUUCAGCACCCAAAUCCUCCAACAGGUCCGUUAACCCCAACCUUAAACAACUCUUGCUCUUUUCCUUCUGCUUAUGUGGCACACUCACAAAACUCCCAGCAAACUCGCUCUUGUCGGGUCCACUCGGUGCCGCAUCCUCAUCAUCCACGUCAUUCACAUACACAUCAAACUUCACAGCCACAUCUUUGUCAAGCUCAAUCCCCCGAAUCACCAAUAUCUCCUCCUCAUCCUCUUUCUCCUUCUUGCUCCUCUUCUUCGGCUUCGGCCUUGACACCACCGUAGUUAUCUUCGUCUCCAAAUUUAUUGGAAAAUCUUUACCCGCCACCACCUUCCCCGAUGACGUCGUCUCAGCGGCCUUCGCCACUCCAGCCGCCUUUGCCUUUCUCGCAAGCUUUGUCCGACGUGGCGUCGGUCUAGAGUUGAGCCAUGGAAUCUCAACAUCUUCAUACGUAUACCCUAGCUUUUUAUUAUCAAGAGUGUCCCUCACCGUGACCCUAACAAGCUCAGCAUUCUCGUCAUAAAACAAAAACCCCGUAUCCAACCAAUCCUUAUCGUUAAUAUCUUUAUUUUUAGUCCCUAUACUUUUCCAAAUAUUCCACAUUCGAUCCAGAUUCAAAUGGUGCGCAAAAAAUAUCGGAUCCCUUGCAGUGGAGUAAAAAUUCCCCAUGUCUUCAUAAUUAGGUUGCGUGUUAUCUCCGGUCCAUGUAUGAACCGGACCAUGUGGGGUCUGUUCGAUUGCACCGGCCCCUGGAUCUGGUUCAGUGCCAGCCCUGUAGGGCGAACCAAAGAACAACAGCGGUUUCUUGGAGUUGGAAACCAUCUGCCUAUACAUGAUUUUGAGGUUGGCUUCGAUUUGAGCAUCCUUGGACAUUGUUUCAUCCGUGCCGUUGAAGUCAAGAUCGAUGAGAGUUGGCGGCUGAUGGCUGGCAGCGCGGAGCUCGUCGUAAAGCGGAGAGUCAGGGUUAGCGUACAAGGCAGGGAGUUGCAUGCCAGCUGGCGCGUCCCAGUUCCAAAACGGCAACGCGAAGGUCGGAUCGUCUAUGAGUUUGGCCAAGAUUCUUUCGUGGAAAUAUAGGUAGUAACGAUGGAAGGGGAAGAAAAGCCAGGAUUGAUGGAUUUGGAGCUCGAGGUUGGGGAAGCCGACUUGGUCGUACGCACCGUUACAAUAGGCACAGUGGACAUCGGCUUGCUGGGUGAAGCUACGCGGAUCGUCGUCCGGGAGGGCUUUCAUGAGCUCGAUGGCUUUUGAGUAUUUUUCGAUGUAG
rnacentral:lncRNA from 1 species